UUCAUCUUCAACAUAUCUCCAGACCUGAUCAAACAUUGACCCCAUCCCCACUGUUGGUUCAGUAGGCAUUUCAUGGACUACACCUACCGGUAAGCUUUCUGUUGCCACCUCUUCAAAGCUUCCCUUGCUUUUCAAGGAAUCCACUUCCACCAACAUUUUAAACACUUUUUUCCGUACUUGUAGCUGGGAAAGUAGUUCUUGGAGCAGUAAACUCCGCUACAUGAUUUCUGAAUUUCUCGAUCUGCACAAUUUUGAACUUCUCUGACUCAUGUCUCAAUAGUUUCCGCCCUUUUAAUCCAUAGUUGUACCUUGUCCAAGUGCUUCAUUGAUGUCUGAAGCUCAGCAACCUGAACCCUUCUCACGACAUCAUUCUUUAAAGCGGUCAGUUCUUGCAAAGAACGAUCCAGAUUCCAGAGCUUCAAGGUUUUGUCCGAGCUUGCUGAUGUAGUUUGCUUGUUGACUAAGGAACCCCCAGCAGCAGAAGUUAGCUGUGGGAUCGCAAGAUAUGGAGACUGAGAAAAUGUUCCCCAUGGCUUGCAGGAAUACUGAAAAAUGAAAAGAUGGUACUUUUGUUUGGGAGAGGAAUUAGGUAAGUGUUUUGUUUUGUAAACAGGAUGAUAUGUGGAAUGAAUUAUUUCAAUGCCUGUACGUCUACGUGGUGUCGGUCGGGCUCACCAGAAACUUCAAUGUCACUUUAAUCCGAAGACCCAAUAAUUCACUCUAGACUUCCAGAUACUUUUUAGGAUUCAUGUUGUGAAUUGAGUUCUCGUAUCAACAAGGAAAUUUGCAAAUAGGGUUUCCUUUGAGAUUUAAUGUUUUAUCGAGACAAGUUUCAGGUCAUUUGAAAUUAAAGGAAUUGGAUGUUUUCAUUUUUUUAUUUUUUUUCUUUUCGCAUCAAGUUAUGUGUCGGUCGGGCUCACCAAAAACUUUAUGCCACUUUAAUCAGAAUACCCGAUAAUUCCGGUUUUACCCCCGAGUAUUUGGCCUUUAUUCCAUCUUUGCCCAUUUGUCUUGCUGUGGAGAUGGUGACACGUGGGACUCCCAACCUCCUCUACCUUGGCCACAAGUCUAGUGUUUCUAAAUUGGUGUCUCUUAUGUGUCUUAUUUCUAUCAUUUUGAUAUAUGUCCUCAACCUUAACCUCAAAUUUAAUAGUGUUAAUCUUUCAAGAAUGAAUUAAAAAAAAGUAAAAAUUGAUAAUUAAAAAAACAACGCAUUCUCGAUGGUCAUUCACCGCCAGCAAAGCCUCUUUUACUCUUCCCUCUCUUUCCGAUGAACUCACCCACUGAUUAUUAAUUUUACUCUUGGGUUUCCUUUCCCCUCUUUGUGUGUUCACUUUCCCUUUCAUAUAUAACCGUCAAAUCCUCCCCAAAUUUCUUUCAUUAUUUUCAGGAUUUGUUAGAACUUUUACAGAAGAUAUGUUCUAUUGGGAUUUUCAACCAAAACCCAGAUUAUAUCCCUAAUCAAUGACAUUAUUCCUAAGAAAAUUAGCAAUAGAUUCUACCCAAAAAUUAAUCUGACAGAAGUUUGAUUUGACUGUGGAUAUUGAAAGGGAAUAUAAUUAUUUCAAUCUUGGGCCAAGAGAGAAAGAGAGAUAGAGGGAGGAUCCGAGGGGAGGCUUUGGCGGCAACGAGUAAGAGUGUCCAGAGUUGGGUUACUGGCGGCUAAUGAGGUUUAUCUGGUUGCGUGGACAUCAUUUGCUAGUUCUUUGUUUUUUUUUUCUUAAGUGUAGAUGGAAGAGGCUUUGGCGACAUGAGUUGGGGUAGCCGCUCCUGGAAUGGGGUUGGCCGGCGUGGGUGACUGUCUGGGUUGCUAGGGCGGGAGAUUUUCGGGAUCCGGGGUGGGUGGGAAGCGGUGGUUGCAAAUUUCUUUAUUUUUAGUUUUAAUUUCUUAAUUUUAUUAAAAGUUAACGGGGUUAAGGUUAAGUUUAAAUGGUUGGACACAUGUCAAAGAAAUAAGAUAUGAGACUCAUAGGAGACACCAAGUUAGGGACAGCAUACCCGUUGCCCUCUACCUUUUUUUUGUCGCUCACCGCUUCAUUGCAAAAAAAUUAAACCAUUUCCCUUUCAAAUUUCAAGUUUGAACCACCGCUAGCACAGUUUUCCUGCACCUCAGCUUUCAUCUGAUUCUAUUUCUUCUUCUUCUUCUUCCCUAAAACCCUCUAAUUUCCCCAAAACCCACCCUUCCAAAUCCCCCACUACCCCCUCAUCCCUCACAGAGUUAGAUUCCCCCCAAUCCUUCCAACCCAACGGUCCAAAUUUUCAAACUUUCCUCCCAGUAUGCAUCCAUUUCCCAUUUUGAAUUUUGAUCAUUUAGGUCAAAUUUUGAACCUUUAGACCAUCUCCAACUCUUGGGCUAAAAGCCAAAUUUUUUAGCUCGAAAAAUUUAGCUUUUAGCCCAUAAGCAGCUUUUCUGCUCCAACUCUUCUGGCCUAAAAUUUUAGCCCAGAAUUAUUAAAGAAUGAACUUAGGCUAAUUUUUUCUUAAAUUUAUUUAAAAAAAAAUUAUGUAGACUAUAUCGUAAAUUAAUUUUAUGAAAAUUUUAAUCUAAAAAUAUUUAAAUUUCGAUAAAUAUUGAAAAAUCACUAAAUCGAUACAUGUGAAGCACAUACAAAACACAUGUGAAGCACAUACACAUGUGAAUCACAUAACCUUCACUCAUCCUCUAUAUAAACACAGGUUGAAUAUUAAUUGAUCACACAAUCUUUCAACCUUCAAUCAUCCUCUAUAUUCACCAAUCUUUCAACUUUCAAGGUAUUUUUGUUUCCUAAAAAUCCUCAAUAUCUCAUUAAUGGGUGAUAGAAGAAGGCGUAGUAGGACAAUGAAAAUGUGUGGAGUUCCAUAGUUUCUGAAUUUUAUACACCUUUUUCUAGUCGUGCUCAUUUGAUUAAACUUUUAGACUUCUCUUUUUAUUUAAUCUUGCUUAAAGGGGAACAUUUUUAUUUAGCUUAGGUUAGCUAAGUUUGGGUUGAAAUUAUUUGACUAUGAACCUUAUACAAUUUUUAUUAACCCAUUUGGACUAGGAAAGUGAGGACAAAUGGCUUUCUUGGAGUGGCAAAGUUUGCCACGUAGUUCACUCACCAUGCCGACCCAAGGACACUAAUCUGAUCAUUAGCUUGUUUGGUGAAAAGUAUGUAGCUUAGAUGUUAUCACAUAGGGCUUUUAGAGUGCUUAGUAAGCACUUUAGGGUGAUGACUAUUGAAGCCUAGGUUGACAACUAAUCAAGCCUAUAGCUAAUGUGGAAUGGUGGAUUAGCAAUUGAAGUUGAAACUUAUAACCAAUGAGAACAACUUUUGCCGCCUUAUUUAUGGUAUAAAUAGGAGCAAUGCUCAAUCUGUGCUUUUUUUUUUCCUUUGGCAAAAUGCAAUACGUACCGUAUGUAGAAAGUGUGUAAGAGAGUGUUAAAGGAGAUAAGCAAAAGAAGUACUCAUGGAGUAAGAAGAGAGGAUUCGAGGUAGGGGAAUUUGGGGAAUUAAUUGAUUGCAUUUGUUACUUGUAUUACGUGAAAUAUUGUUAUGUGAACUUGAGAUAUAUUCAACUAUUGACUUAGAUGUGCUUUAUUAUGUGAUAUAUUCAACUAGUGAUCAUUAUCAUUUGUCAACGAAGUAAAGGAGUUACUUAUGUUAUGGGAAAAUGUGGAAAUUAUAGCUUUUGUGUAGUUGAGUUUGUUCAUUGUGAAACCAGUUUCAGGCAAGCCCAAUGUGCACAGUAGAAUAGGAUAUCGACGGGAAUUGUCGAUGUGGGUGAUUUGGGUUGGAGAUCAAUGAAUCAGAUAAGAUGACUAGCAAAAGGGGUUAUGAACUUGGGUUAGUUGAUGUGGGUUAUUCUAUAUAUUAAAGCACUCGGGGCCACAAUAGUAAAAUGCAUGGUAUGGGACAUGCAGGUCUGGUUGCUUCAAUAUAUAGAUUAACGGGUUGGGUCUUGCAUUACAUUACUCAUAAAAUAUUCAUAACAUUAAUAAUAUUAAUCACUUGAGACUUUGGGCCCCUAGUGAGCUUUUAGCUCACCCCUUAUUAGUUGUGUUACAGGAGAUGAGACAUGAAUCUAGUGGUUGACUUGGAAGAAAGAGACUGCUUAUAAAUAGUUUUAAACUUUUUAAGGAGUUGUUGUCGUUUUCUUUUAUGUGUAAGGACUAUGUAAAUUAUUUUGUUUAAUGAAACAUUUUAGUUCAACACAAUCACAUGUUAUUACCUUUAAGUUACCCAUUUUAUUCAUGUCCAAAAAAAAAAAAAUUAGGGUGUGACAAGAUGGCACAAUACCAACCAAGCCUUGACAUUAAGGGUGCAUAAAUGAUCAACGCAUAAGUUGAAUUUGAAAACUCGCUUAUGCAAUAUGAGCACCAUGCCGAAUCUAGCUAUCGUGGUUCUGUCACGGGGCGGUCAUUUGUGCAGCGUGAUAGAGAAGAGUGUCAUGACCGAAUGAUGAAAGAUUAUUUCAUCGAGCGUCCGAGAUUUCCUGCUCAUGAUUUUCGAAGACGGUUUUGAAUGAGGAUAGAGCUUUUUGAAAACAUCUUGAACGUAGUUGUUAAUCAUGAACGUUAAUGUGUUCUUGUGUUAUGUAAUAAUUUUAAGUGUACUAUGUUGGUGUAUUAAUGUGUUCUUGUGUUAUGUAAUAAUUUUAAGUGUACUGUGUUGGUGUAUUAAUGUGUUCUUGUGUUAUGUAGUUAUUUUAUGUAAUAAUUUUAAGUUUUCUUGUGCAAAAUUAUUGAAGGCAUCUGGAUGUGCAAAAUUAUUGAAGUGGCUUCUUGUGCAAAAUUAUUGAAGUGUCUUAUUUUGUCUAGUACGUUGUCAAAAUUAUUGAAUGUCGUUUGAAUUAUUGAAGGCAUCUAUUGUACAUCAAAGUGUGCAAUAAUAAUUACAAUAAUUAUUAAAGGCAUCUAGAUUAAUAGAAACAUUAAUUAAUAAGCCAUAAAUUUAAUACACACGACAAUUAAUAAAGCACAUAAACUUAAUACAAACGACAAUUCAUAAGCCACAUAAAUCACAUAAACUUAAUACAAUCGAUAAUUCAUAAACUAUAUAAACUUAAUAAUGAUAUCCACCAUCUUCACUUGGUGGUGGACUUGGGAUAUAGGGUUGAGAUGAUUCAUCAUCUUGAAAUAUACUCUUUGUGGCAUUCUAUCGUAAAAUUUCCUUUUGCUUACCACACAAGAACUUCUUCCUCUCUGGAGUGUAUUUGUUGAGGUCCUCCAUCAUGCAAUUAAUUUUGAACCUAUUUUGCUCACUAUCCCCUUCUUCCUUCAUUUUCAAACGCAUUUGGGCCGCUUCUUCUUGGCGAGCGCUAUGGGUUUCACUCAAUCUUGCAAAUCCUGUAGCAAUGUGUCCACUCAUUAGAUCUUGAGACUUCCCUUUUCUCUUUGCUUCCUUUUGCUUAUAUCUUCCCGGAGGCCUUGCAAAAGGAGUUGGGGUCAUUUCAUCGACACCUUCAUUGACACCUUCAUCUCCGGCAUUUGUCGGUGCAGCUUCACGUUGAAAUAAUUUGUUGGUCCGCAUCCGUUCCCCACCUCGGACAAUCCUUGAGGACGUCCCAAGCAUGUUGCAACUUAAAAACUUGAUUUUUUGGUGUUACUCUUGUCUUGUAAAUUUCCAUUGCUUUGUCACCCUAUGCAAAAUAUACACAAAAACAAUUAGUUGCAAAAUAAUAUUAUGUACAUGACAAAUUAAAUAUCAAUAAAAAAGCUCACAAUUUCUGCGGUGCUCCUUCCAAUAGCCAUGCUAACCACGGCUCUCUCCAAGCUUCCUUUCCAUAAAGUGCAUGCUUUGUUAAUAGUCUUCCACCGAUCGUAAACACCACCACCUUCCCUCCCGCCAUCGUUUUCAUGAAACUUUUCAAUGAUUUUAUCCCACAAAACCUUUUAUUUUGAUUCGUGCCAACUGCACCAUCUUGGCUAACAGAAACCCAUGCCAAGCAUAAAGCAACAUCUUCCUCACUGGUCCAAUUACGACCUCUAACAUGCUCUUGCCAUGUUGAACAAUUUGGAAAUGGUAGAAAGAAAAAUUGGAAGAAUUGUAGGAGAAAAUUGAGUUUUCUGUGGAUGUUUGAACAAAUACAUAGGUAUUUAUAGAGUUUUUGGGUGAAUUUUGAGUUAAAUAAUUUUUUUUAAUUAUUUUAGUUGUUGGAUUUAAAUUUGGGAUGUUAUAUCUUUUUUUUACCGUUAGAUUUGAUUAUAUUCGAUCGUAGCCGUUGGAUUCAAUGUAUUUUAAAAUAACAUUUUUUAAAAAAAACAAAAUUUGAGUCUGGACCGUUGGAUCAACCAAUGGUCCAAAAAUGUGAGUCGUCCGAUGAACAAAAGAGCCGUUGGGCUCAUAAUUGUGGCCAACAGUGGCCUUGACAGUGGGUCCCACCCUGUCGAGCGUUGAAGGCUGAUGCUUGCGUGGGGUGAGUUGCGUGCAUUACCGGGCCGAUAGUAGGCUGGGCUUGGGCGCGUCCUUGUGUUCCUGGGCUAUUUCUUAGGGGGUAUUUGGCCUUAGUUUGGCAUUUAGCUUUUAGCCCAAAGAUUUGGCUUGGGUUGGGUUCGGUUGGGUUUGGGGGGGGGGGGGAAUAAGUGGGGAAAUUUGACAAAUAGCCCAAGGUUGGGUUUAGUCUUAGUUAUUGUCAUUGCUUAAUGUAGUUGUAAUUUAAAGUUUUAUUUUUUUAGUUUUGUUAUUUCUUGUGCAGGAUGUCGUUGCAAAUUUCCGCCGUCUUCAGUCUUGACGAAAAUGUACCUGCAAAAUAAUCAAUACCUUUGAUCAAAGACCUAAGCCUCACGCACCAUGAGGUGGGGCGUUAGGUCAAUGAAUCUCCGAUACCUAAGUCAGUUUAUUUGAGAGAGUAAAGUGUUUAGGGCUUUUUUAAGGUAGCAAAAGCGUGUAGAAGCAAUAUGUUUUUAUUUAAAUAUAUAUAUAUAUAUAUAUUUAUGUAUUUUUUUCUUUUGUUUUACUAAAACCAUUAAAUAUAUAUAACCUAACUUUGAAACGUGAGAAAGCUUCUCACAUUAAAUAAUUGGAUGGAAUUCCUUUUCUGAAUAAAGAAGAAGAUCAGGUACCCAUUCAUUCUUUUGUUCCAUUUUGAUUAUUUACUUUUUGAUUUCGUCCAUUUUAAUUCUUUAAGAUUUUCAUGCCACUGAUUCUCUCAAACUUGCAACGUAUACUUUAUCUUUUUGUACACAUAUAUAUAUAGGUUUCCUAUAUCGAAGGAAUAUAUAGAGAAACAAUAGAGUAUAUAUUUUCUCACCACAAAAAAAACAAAAAAAUUAGCUUCCUUUUGCACCACUGUCAAACCAACUCUCCUAAAGAGCCUACUAUUGCACAAAUCAAAGCUUCACAAACUUGGAUUGAAAAUGAUUUUCUUGCUUAGAAUUAUAUUCUUAAUGGAUUGUCUGAUGACCUUUAUGACUACAACUUUGAUUAUGGCGUUGCUAAAGAUUUAUGGGAGGCACUUCAGAAAAAAUAUGACACUGAGGAAGCUGGGGCUAAGAAGUUUGCUGUUAGUCGUUAUUUGAAAUAUCAGAUGGUUGAUGAUAAAUCUAUUGAGGCACAAUCUCAUCAACAACAACAACAACAACAAAGCAUUUUCCCACUAAGUGGGGUCGGCUAUAUGAAUCCUAAAAUGCUAUUACGCUCGGUUCUGUGUCAUGUCCUCCGUUAGAUCCAAGUACUCUAAGUCUUUUCUUAGGGUCUAUUCCAAAGUUUUCCUAGGUCUUCCUCUACCCCUUCGGCCCUGAACCUCUUCCCGUAGUCACAUCUUCGAACCGGAGCGUCAAUAUGCCUUCUUUGCACAUGUCCAAACCACCGUAAUCGAUUUUCUAUAAUUUUUCCUUCAAUUUCGGCUACUCAUACUUUACCUCGGAUAUCCUCAUUCCUAAUCUUAUCCUUUCUCGUGUGCCCACACAUCCAACGAAGCAUCCUCAUCUCCCCUACACCUAUUUUAUGUACGUGUUGAUGCUUCACCGCAUAAUAUUCUGUGCCAUAUAGCAUCGCCGGCCUUAUUACCGUCCUAUAAAUUUUCCGUUAAGCUUCAGUGGCAUAUGGCGGUCACACAACAUGUCGGAUGCACUCUUCCACUUCUUCCAUCCAGCUUGUAUUCUAGGGUUGAGGUCUCCAUCUAAUUCUCCGUUCUUUUGCAAGAUAGAUCCUAGGUAGCGAAAACAGUCGUUCUUUGGUAUUUCCUGAUCUCCGAUCCUCAUCCCUAACUCAUUUUGGCCUCCAUUUGCACUGAACUUGCACUCCAUAUAUUAUGUCUUUGAUCGGCUUAGGAGAAGACCUUUAGAUUACAACACUUAUCUCCAAAGGUUAUGCUUCGCAUUUACCCCUUCCUGAGUUUCAUCUAUCAACACUAUAUCAUCUGCGAAAAGCAUACACUAAGGAAUAUCAUAUUGAAUAUGUCCUGUUAACUCAUCCAUUACUAAUGCAAAAAGGUAAGGACUUAAGGAUGAACAUUGAUGUAACCCUACAGUUAUGGGGAAGCUUUCGGUUUGUCCUUCAUGAGUUCUUACGGCAGUCUUUGCUCCAUCAUACAUAUCCUUUAUAGCUUGGAUAUAUGCUACUCGUACUCAUUUCUUCUCUAAAAUCCUCCAAAGAAUGUCUUUUGGGGCCCUAUUAUACGCUUUUUCUAAAUCUAUAAAGACCAUGUGUAAAUCAUAUUUUUCAUCUUUAUAUCUUUCCAUCAAUCUUCGUAAGAGAUAGAUUGCCUCCAUAGUUGAGCGCCCUGACAUGAACCCGAAUCGGUUGUUCGAAACUUGUGUCUCUUACCUCAAUCUAUGCUCAACGACUCUCUCCCAGAUCUUUAUUGUAUGACUCAUUAGCUUAAUACCCCUAUAGUUCAUGCAAUUACAAAAAAUUGCUUAUGAAAUUAUUUCUAAAGGCAUGGUUUUAAAUGAUCAAUUUUAGGUUGCCGUUAUCAUUGAUAAGUUGCUACCAACUUGGAAAAUUUUCAAGAACUCACUCCCCACUAGACAAAGGAUUUCUCCUUAGAAAGCUUGUUCACUCAACUUCGUAUUGAGAAAAACGCCAGGAAACAAGAAUUGAAGGAGGAAAUUCUGGUCAUAUCAAACAAUAAGAGGACUACUAACUUCAACCGGAACAAGACUUUAGCUGUGCUGAAGCCAAAUGGAAAGAGCAUGAAGAUUCAGAACAAGCGCCUCAACAACAACACUAACAAGGUUCAUAAUCGAAAUCCCUUUCAUCCUCACAAUAGGUACCAACCUCCCUCACGUGCUGCUUCUGAUUCAAGAAAAUUUGAAUGUUAUAACUAUCACAAGCUGGGCCAUCUUGCCCGGAAUUGCAGAAAUAAGAAAAGCCCUGCUCCACAGGAAAAUAUUCUUAAAGAGCAACUGAUUGCAAUGAUAUCAGAAAUCACCUUAGUUGAUGGAUCCAAGGGGUGGUGGGUGGACACUGGCGCUUCUCGCCAUGUCAGCUAUGAUCGUUCUCUUUUCAAGACCUAUCUUGUGGCUGAGGGAAGAAAGGUGUUGUUGGGUGAUACGUACUUAACUAAUAUUGCUGGUACUGGAGAGGUGGAGUUGAAGUUCACCAUUGGAAAAACCAUGAUACUGAAAGAUAUGAUGCACGCUUCAGCAAUAAGGAAUAAUCUGGUCUCGGGCUUUCUUUUCAACAAGGCUAGAUUCACUCAAACCAUUGGAACAGAUACACAUACUCUUACUAAAAAUGGGGUUUUUGUGGGAAAUGGAUAUGCUACUGAUGGAAUGUUUAAAUUGAAUGUUGAUGCUGAUAAUAUGUCUACUUCUACUUACAUGUUGUCUUAUUUUAAUACUUGGCAUGCUAGACUUUGUCAUGUUAACAAACGCUUGGUUAAGAACAUGAGUAACUUAGGCUUUUUACCCAACUUAUCAUUGAAUGAUUUUGAAAAAUGUGAAUAUUGUAGUCAAGCAAAAAUCACUAGAACUUCGCAUAAAUUUGUCAAUAGAGAAUUUGAACCAUUUGACUUAAUUCAUUCCGAUAUAUGCAAAUUUGAUAGAGUGUUAACUAGAAAUGGAAAACGUUAUUCUAUUACCUUUAUUGAUGAUUGUUCAAAUUACUGUUUUAUCUAUCUUAUGAAAAAUAAAAGUGAAGAUAUUGACAUGUUCAAAACUUUCUUGACUGAAGUUGUAAAUCAAUUUAAUCGUAAGAUUAACAGAUUUCGUAGUGAUAGAGGACAAGAAUAGGAAUUCACUGAAUUUGAUAAUUUGUUUAAGUCUCAUGGAAUUAUUCAUGAAACUACUGCUCCUUAUUCUCCUGAAAUGAAUGGUAAAGCAGAAGAAAAAAUUGAACUCUUUGUGAAUUGAAUGUUGCUACUUUACUUAGUUCUGAAGCUGCUUCUUAUUGGUGAGGUGAAAUUAUGUUGACUGUAUUUAUGUGUUAACUAGGAUUCCUAACUCAAAAACGAAAAUUUCUCGUUAUGAAAUUUGGAAAAAUAAGAAACCAAAUGUGUUGUAUUUCAGAACUUGCUUAUGUCCUAAACCUAAUCCAAAAAGAUCGAAAUUGGCUAGUAGAGCAUAUGAAUGUGUUUUUAUUGGUUAUGCAUGUAAUAGCAAAACAUAUAGAUUUUAUGAUUUGAAAAACCAUGUCAUAAUUGAGUCACUUAAUGCUGAUUUUUAUGAGAAUAAAUUUCCUUUUAAUCUUCGAAAUAGUGGGGGUUCUAAUUUUUCUAGAAUUUAUGAACCUACUGUUGUAGAACAUAGUGAAUCUGCAUUAGAACUGAGGAAAAGUAAAAGAGCUUGAAUAGCUAAAGAUUUUGGGCCUGAUUUUCAUAUAUAUGACUUACAAGAAGAUCCUAAUACAAUUCAAGAAGCUUUAACUUCGUUAGAUGCAGAUUUGUGGCAGGAAGUUGUAAAUGAUGAAAUGGACUCCCUGGAAUCAAAUGAAACUUGGCACUUGGUGGAUCUUCCACCUGGUUGCAAAACAAUAAGUUGCAAAUGGAUUCUUAAAAGAAAAUUAAAACCUGACGGUUUAGUUGAAGAUUUUAAAGCUCAACUAGUUACCAAAGGCUAUAGACAAAGAGAAAAUAUUGAUUUCUUUGAUACCUAUUCACUUGUGACUAGAAUAACAUCUAUUCGUGUAUUGUUUGCUUUGGCUUCUAUUCAUGAUCUUGUUGUGCACCAUAUGGAUGUUAAAACAGCUUUCUUGAAUGGUGAAUUAGAGGAAGAAAUAUAUAUGGAUAAACCAGAGGGUUUUAUUAUUCCAGGACAAGAAAAUAAAGUUUGUAUAAGUCACUUUAUGGAUUGAAACAGGCUCCUAAACAAUGGCAUGCAAACUUUGAUAGUUUGGUUACUUCAAAUGGUUUUAAAAUAAAUGAAAGUGACAAAUGCAUCUAUUAUAAGUCUAACAGUAAUAUAUGCACUAUAAUAUGGCUAUAUGUGGAUGAUUUGCUUAUUUUUUGUUCGAAUAUUCAUGUUGUGAGUAAUGUCAAAUCUUUGUUAUGUGCUAAUUUUUAUAUGAAAGACUUGGGUGAAGCUAGUGUAAUACUUGGUUUGAAAAUAACUAGGUCUGAACAUGGGUUUUCUUUAGAUCAAUCUUACUACAUAGAAAUUUUUUUAAGAAAGUAUAAUUAUUUCGAUUGUAAACCAGCAUGUACUCCUUAUGAUUCUAGUAUAAAACUAUUCAAGAACACUAGUGACAGUGUUAAACAAUCUGAGUAUGGGAGUAUUAUUGGUAGCCUUCGUUAUGCUACUGAUUGCACUAGGCCUGAUAUAUCUUAUGUUGUAGGAGUUUUAUGCAGGUUUACUAGCAGGCCUAGUUUGGAGCAAUGACAUGCUAUAGAGAGGCUUAUGAGAUACCUUAAAAGGACGAUGAAUUUCGAAUUACACUAUGGAAAGUUUCUCGAUGUCCUAGAAGGUUACAGUGACGCUGAUUGGAAUACAUUUUCAGAUGACUCUAAAGCCACUAGUGGAUACAUUUUUAGUGUUGGUGGAGGGGCUAUGUCAUGAAAGUCUUAAGAAACAGACUAUCUUGCUGUGUCAUGGAAGUCUUAAGAAAUAGACUAUCUUGGCUUGGCUCAGUCUACUAUGGAAUCAUAAUUAAUAGUGCUCGCUACAGUAAGCGAAGAAGUAGGAUGGUUGAGAAACUUACUGUUAGAUAUCCCUUUAUGAGAGAAACCGAUUCCAGCAGUUUUGAUCCAUUGUGAUAGCACGACGACAAUAGCUAAAGUGCAAAACCGUUAUUAUAACGGGAAAAGGUGACAAAUACGUCGUAAGCACAUCACUGUAAAAGAUUAUCUCUCUAAUGGAGCUGUAAGAGUGGAUCAUAUACAGUCUGAAGAAAACUUGGCUAAUCCUUUGACAAAAGGACUAGCACGCGAAAAGGUUUGGAAAACCUCAUAAGGGAUGGGACUAAAGCCCUUAGAAAAUAGAGUCAUUUGUGAUUGGAACCCAACAUAUAGACUGGAGAUCCCAAGAAAUAGGUUCAAAGGGUAAUAACAAGUCACAAGUGAUAUGAGUGAAGUCUUGCUAAUUUUAAUUUGGAAUAUUAUUCUAUGUCUAUCCCUAAGAAGCAUGACAUCUUGAAGCCUUUUUAGGUUGAUAUUUGUUUUUCUCUUUGUAAGGUCUAUACUCUAUGUUGAGUAGGAUAUCUAGCUGCAGGAAUAUCCCUGAUAAUCUUACCUAUGUGAAUGUGGAAGUGAGGCCGCUUCCUAUGAAAUCUUGGGCAAAUUUCUAGAGUGUUCACAAGCACAUGGCCAUAAUGUGUUGGCCUUUUGAACUUUACCUUAAUAAAGUUGUGUGUGUGGUGUUGUUACAUAUAGAGUUCAAAACUAUAAGUUACUCUAGUAUAAUCUGAAUCACUAACACUAUGUACAUGUUCAAGUUGAGAAACACCUUUACUUAUGCAUAGCUUUAUAAUAUGUUGCUUGAUUUACAGAUUUAAACAAAAACAAGUGAGGGAUUGUAGAAGCAAUAUAUUUAAAUAUAUAUAUAUAUAUAUAUAUAUAUAUAUAUUUAUCUUUGGUUUUACUACAACCAUUAAAUAUGUAUAACCUAAAUUGGUUUUUAACCUUAUCUUUUGCUAAGGAGUAAUCUCCUUCACUAACUUUGAAACGUGAGAAAGCUUCUCACAUUAAAUAAUUGGAUGGAAUUCCUUCUCUAAAUACAGAAGAAGAUCCGGUCCCCACUCAUUCUUUUGUUCCAUUUUGAAUAUUUACUUUUUGAUUUUGUCCAUUUUGGUUUCAUCCGUUUUGGUUCUUUAAGAUUUUCAUGCCCCUGAUUCUCUCAAACUUGCAACGUAUACUUUAUCUUUUUACACACACACACACACACACAUAUAUAUAGGUUCCUUGUAUCGAAGGAAUAUAUAUAGAAACAAUAGCGUAUAUAUUUUUCUUAAAAAAUUGAGUUCUAAAGCAAGAUAUAGAAAGGGUGUGAGUUCGAAAGUUUUUUUCAUUGUGCAACAAAGAACUUAUUAGAGGAAGAAGGUUUUGGGUUAAUUUAUCCUGAGGACGAUGUGGUGUUUGUGAACAGCUUGCAGACUUGGGGCAGAGCGGCAAAACGUCUUAAAGAGAGUGACUUAUUCUGCGACUCAUUCUAAGAAUCAUUCAUCACUCAAGGCUUCUACAUUUUUCGUGUAACUUUGUUCCUUUCUAUUUCAGUUUUCAGCAAAGCCUCUGAAAUUUGGUAAAAUAUGAGGUAUUUAUAGGGGAUAAGGCUGGCCAUAGUGUAUGGUUUUACCCUACACAUGACGACAUCCUAUUGGCUAAGGUAUUUAUGGAGAAAUAUUCUCAAGAUAUUAAAUAGGAAAUAAUAUCUUGAGAUAAUGGAGUAAUUAUCCCUAAAUGAUUUAAAUUAGGAUCACUUACCUGAUUGGAGUUAAUCUUCAAUUGCGAAUGUAUUAAAGAUAGGAUUUGGGUAAUUAAUCCUUAUCUUUAAUGCUUUGACUUUUCCUUGCCAAAGGCAGGUGAGCUGUGGGCGACUAAUAUUCAGCUGCUGGGACCUUCAGGGGUGUGAGCUGCGUGUGGGAGUAUAUGAGAAGUCUACCCAUUUAUUGAGGGCAAUCUUGUCUUUCUUGAAUAAAAGUCCACGUGUCGCCUUUAGAAUUUUUGGGAUUAUUUUAGGCUCCACACAAGACAUAUUUGAUCUUUCAGAUGACUACUUUGCGCAGCUUUCGAUAAAGUACGUGACUUUUUAUGACAGAGUUAUCUCAAUAAGGAACAAAGGAUAGGUUCAUGUAGAAUAUAUUACAUAGCAAAAGUUGGGGAUUAAGCUAUUUGCGUUAUUUGAUUAUAUUGUGGGAUAUUUGGUUAGAAUAUUGCUGAGUUUUAUGCUAUUUAUGUGAUUGUAUUUAUCCAUUAGGUUCGUUCUACCCAAAUACCAGAGUAUCAAUAUUUCAUAUUGUUGAUGCACAAAAUCAGUGAAAACUUUGGUACAAUAGAAAGUGUUAAGUUUGUGACCUUCGCUAGAUUGCUCCGGUCACUAGUGUGGAUAAGUAUGUAAAUGGAUAGAGAUAGGGAAGCAAACACAAGAUGUACAUGGUUCACCUAGAUUGGCUACAUCCACGGAGUAGAGGAGUUCACAUUAAUUGUGAAGUACAUAGGUUCAAGCUCUCCUUUAGUGAGUACUAGUGAAUGAUUUAGUAUAAAUGACAUUCGGAAAUAUUGUGGGAGAAUGAUCUCCUUUUAUGGAAGAGUUUCUAGCUUUGUUUUGACAUUGACACGUGUCAUGUUGUGAUUGGUUUUUUAUGUUGACACGUGUCGCGAUGUGAUUGCUUUUGAUGUCGACACGUGUCGCACUGUGAUUGGCCUCCUGGUUGGAGGGAAACUCUUCUGGGUCCUUGACGGUAUAACGUUGACUAGUGCUCAGUAGUUUCGGGAUUGAUCAAAUAUGGUUCAAACACAUAUGAUUUUAUUGUUGGGUAGUUCAAGUAAGUUUUAGCUUUGUUAUUUUGUACUUAUUUGGAAUUUGAUGGUGUUUGUAUGUUGUUGUAGGUGAUUACCAAAAGAUCUCUUGCAUAAAAUUCGUACCAAUAAGUUAUGCAUAUCAUUGUUGCCGAACACCAGAAUAAAACAUAUAUACCUAUAGAGUGUAAAUGUGGAUUAUAAUCUAUGAUCUAUAAGUGAACAGAAGAUUAUGAGUUGUAGUAGGUUGCCGCAUCUAUUUUAGGAAAGAGAUCAUCUUCGGAUCUCUUCCACCAAGACCAUCGGAUCAAGUGAUUAGGAUCUUUGAAAUUUCAUCCAACGGCAAAAAAUUAUUAUAGCUUUUAAGGGAUCAAAAUAGGUAGGUCGUUGGAUGAAAUUUCAAUGGUCCGGAUCACUUGAUCCGGUGACCUUGAUGGAAAAGAUCCGGAGAGGAUCUCUUUCCUCUAUUUUCAUGUUUCAAUUACUGUAUCAAACCUUUGAACUUUCCAAUUAUUGUCCUUUUUGUCGUCUCCCAUUCUCAAACUGUCACAUAAGUUUUGUGGAAUUUUUUCAAAAACUCGCUAACUAUUCCACCUAUGGAGUUUAGAUGCUCAUUGGAUGUGGUUGUUUUAGAAUGACAAGCCCUUAAUAAACAUUUUUAAUUUCUGAAAAGAAAAUGAACUAAAAUUCUUAGAGGGAACGGAUAACUAUUUUUAUUCUUUUUCUAGUGUUGUUCAACCACAAAUGAUUUUCCAUAUUCAAUAAGGCGUCUGAAACUUGAAGGAAUAAUUAACCCAGCACAAUUGUUCAUAGCAGCGACAAUGAGUUCCUUGGCAUAUGGAGCUUUUGAGAUAGAAGGAUUUGGUGAACCAUAUCAAGAAUGAAAACUUUGGCCCGUACAUGGAUUGGAUUUAAAGUCUCCAGCCAAAAGACUCUCUUGACUGAACACUUAGGGGACUCCUGUUGGUACCAUAUAUUGGGCCUCGUUACUGAGCCCAUAACCCAUGUAAGAGGAGGAAACCCUUACUCUAUAAAAGGGAUCCUCCUCACCCUCAUUCUAGAGCCAAAAAAAAAAAAAAAAAAAAGAAAACAAGAGAGUCUCACAUCCCUCACAACAAUAGAGGGCAAUACCUUUUUAGCCAAAUAGAGAGCCAAAUGGCAAGGGUUGCAUCCACAGAGAGCUCCCUUGCCGAUCUAUUGUAAUCCAGACAUUCAUACAGUGAAAUGGAAUCAACAUCAGUGUGGACGUUGCCCAAACAUUAGGGUGAACCACGAUACAUCUUUGUGUUCUUGUGCGUUUGUGUGAUUCACGGUCGGAUUUACGUUGGUCCAAGAUCCUUCGGAUUUAAAUUGGUUUUGCUUCACACUGUCUUGAUCAAGAGUGUGUGAAGCUUUUGAGAAAUGUGGUUGCCCUCCAUUGAUAAAGCUCUUGUUGACACCAUAAAUUGGUUUUGCUUCACACUGUCUUGAUCAAGAGUGUGUGAAGCUUUUGAGAGUUGUAGUUGUCCUCCAUUGAUGAAGCUUUGUUAUAUUUCCCAAUUUCCCUUUUUCGAUUUUUUUUUUGGGAAAACUGGAAAUUUGAAAAUGUAGGAGAGACAACAUAUACAAGCGCCACCUUGUAGUAGUCGAAGGUUUGGAUGAACCAUAUAAAUUGAAUUUUCUUCGAACAAUCUUGAUGAUGAGUGUGUGAAGCUUUCUACGAGUUGUAGUGUUUGCAUCGUUACAGAGGAGAAAUGUCUGAAGCAGAUGCAAGAGGGAUGAAUAGCUUGAUCUUCGUAUGCCAUGCACUGAAGUUGUUGUUGGCUUGCAAUAAGACUUUGUUGGUAACUAUAACUCUUGUUAGGUAUAAGUGCUCCCCUAGUUGAGUUGUAAAGCAUGAGGGUUUUUUAUUAUUUGUGAAUGCUAAGAGUUCACAUGUACAAGUUGUACCACUCGUAUUCUAGUUGGUAGAAUGAAUGGUGAGUUGCUUUCAUCACCUAGUUGGUGGUACGAAGGUGAGUUCCUUCAUCACAUUUCAUCACCUGGUUGGUGGCAUGAAAAUCAGUUCCUUUUUCACCUAGUUGGUGAUAAGAGCGGCAAGUUGCCAAAUAAUAUUAGAGUACGGGUUGUACAUUUCAUCACCUGGUUAGUGGUACGAAGGUAAGUUCCUUUAUCACUUAGUUGGUGAGAAUAAGGGCAAGGUGUCAAGGCACAUUGUAGCAAGUGUCGAAUGACACAAAGUAUGCUGAACCCUUUCGAAGCAUAAUUGGCUUAUGCAUGAAUGUGUUGGAAUGUAUGAUUGAAUGAAUAUACUGUGAAGCUGUUCGUUUAUUUGUAUAGUCUUGUUAACAUAUACUUAGACUUUGUUUCAUGUUGGAAGCAUUCAUGUUGAAGCUUUGAACCCAAGUGCUUCAUUGCUAGGAAUGUAAGAGGAUUAGGAUCGAGUUGUCUAAAUCACUUCUUUAUUGAAUUCAUGCCAAAUGGUCUUCGUUACAUAGGAUGCCGAACGACUGAAGCUUAACACUUGUACAAUGUGAGUUUACUUGUAAUAGUACUUCAAGUGAUCAGUGUUCCAUGGAUGGCCAAGGGUCUUGCCAUCAGAGCUUCUAAGCUUGUAGGAGCCAGGGCGACUGAUGCCAACGACUUCAAACGGUCCAUCCCAGUUUGGACUACGUGUUCUUUCACUCGGGACUUUGUUGCAGUGUAAUAUUUUCUUCAAUACCCAGUCCCUCACUUUGAAAAAACGAGGUUUGACCCUUGAGUCAUAGUAGUUGGAGAUACGCUGCUUGUAGGCGAUAUUCCUCAAGUGAGCCUGGCUUAUGUGUUCCUCGACUAGAUCUAAGUUGAGGGUAAGUUAUUUAUCAUUUUCGCUUUGCACAUAGUUCUGGACUCGGAACGUUGCUUGCUCAAGCUCAACUGGGACAAUUGCCUCUGUACCAAAAGCAAGUGAGAAUGGAGUUUCUCCUGUUGAAGCCCGAUACGAAGUGCAGUAUGACCAAAGAAUUUAGGGUACGAAUUUUGUCCAACAACCUUUAGCCUUCCACGCUGGUUUUUAAAGUGCGCUUAAUUAUUUUAUUAAUGGCUUCAACUUGUCCAUUAGACUGGGGAUGAGCUAGGGAGGCGAAACCUAAAUUGAUGUUGAACUUAGAGUAGAACAUCCUGAACUUAUUGUUGUCGAACUGUCGCCUGUUGUCAGUGACUAUCACAUUGGGAAUGUCGAAUCUGCAAAGGAUGUUCUUCCAUACGAAGUCUUCUAUUUUUACCUCAGUAAUGGUUGCCAAGUGUUCUACUUCGGCCUACUUUGUGAAGUAGUUAACUGCAAUGAUUGCAUAACGGACCUUGCCCUUCCCUGCAGGCAUUGGGCUAAUUAAAUCAAGUCCCCAUUGGGUGAAGGGCCAAGGGCUGAUCAUAGGAGUGAGCGGCUCAGGAGGGGAGUGAGGAAUAGUUGUGUAGCGUUGACACUUAUCACAUGAGCGAGAUAUUCUGAUGGCAUCUUGGUAUAGUGUUGGCCAGUAAUAUCCUUGGCGAAAAGCCUUGUGUGCUACGGAUCGAGAUCCAGCAUGAUCUUCGCAAACUCCUUCAUGUAUUUCCCGAAGGACAAUUUCCGCCUCUGUGGGCGUAAGAAAUCUUAGGUAUGGUAGGUUAAAACCCUGUUUAUAGAGUUGGUCAUUAAUGAUCAAGUAACGGGUAACCUUGUAUCAAAUCUGCUUAGCUUGGACUUUAUUUUUUGGGAGGGUACCAUGCGCAAGGAAUUUAUAAAUCGGGGUAAUCCAACUAUCCCCCUAUUGUAAGUUGCAGGGUGCUUGGUGCUGCCAACAAUUCGACUUGAAAUUUUCUCCCAAUUUUGUCUUCUAUUGCUGAGGCGAGGUGAGCCAAAUCGUCUGCAUGACUAUUUGCCGCUCGAGGAAUUUGGGUGAUCUGGUAGUGGAAGUGCUUGAGCAACAAUUGUGUUUGUGCCAGAUAUGCUGCCAUGAAGCUAUCCUUAGCCUCAAAGUUGUUGGUGACCUGGUUAACUAGCAAUUGGGAGUCACUGAAGAUAUCAAUUCGUUUAACCUCAAGGUGUUUGGCCAAACGUAAGCCUGCUAGAAGGGCUUCAUAUUCGGCCUCAUCAUUCGAUGCAUUGAAUUUGAAACGAAGAACAUACUCCAUUGCCACUUUGUCAGGGGUCGUAAGGACUAGCCCUGCUCUAUAACCUUGUUGGUUGGAUGAGUCAUCAACAUAUAGACUCCAUGUUGGGGCUGUUUGUUCUAUUUUCUGAGCUUCCGAGGGUAAUGAAACCACUUCUUUAGGCAUAGAAACAAUGUCAACAGGAUAUGUGAAGUCGACGAUGAAGUCUGCCAUUGCUUGGCCCUUCUCAGCUGGCUUUGGUUGGUAGGAGAUGUCAAACUCACCUAAUGCUAUCGCCAAUUUGAUCAUUCGCCCCGAAGUGUCAGGACUUUGGAGUAUCUGUCGAAGAUGAUGAUUGGUAACCACAAUGAUAGAGUGUGCUUGGAAGUAAGGGCGAAGUUUUCUAGCAGACAUGACCAAUGUUAGAGCCAAUUUCUCAAUGUUGGAGUAUCGUGUCUCUGCAUUUUGUAAGGCCUUGCUAACGUAGUUGACUGGUCGUUCGACAUUACCAUCAUUUUGAAUAAGAACGGAACUUACUGCUAAAGCCGAUACCAAUAGAUAGAUAAUAAGAGUGUCACCAACCUCAGGUUUGGAGAGCAGAUAGCUUUACUCAUGUAGUCCUUAAAGUUCUUGAAUGCCUCGGCACAUUCAUCAGUCCAUGUAAUGUACUUCUUACUUCCCUUAAGUGCUUUGAAGAAAAGAGCACAUAUGUCUGUGGCCUUAGAGAUGAACCUAGUUAAGGCUGCCACCUUGCCAGUUAGGCUCUAAAUGUCUUUUGAAGUUACCUGUUCCUUCAUGUCGAUGAUUGUUUUGAUCUUCUCGGUAUUAGCCUCAAUGCCUCGUUGGCUUAUCAUGAAGCCUAAGAAUUUACCAGAGCAUAUGCCAAAGGCACAUUUGUUGGGGUUCAACCUCAUUCGAUACCUCUUCAGAAUGGUGAAAGUUUCAGAUAGGUUGGUGAUGUGUUGGUUAUCAUGUUUACUCUUGACUAACAUAUCAUCAACGUAAACUUCCAUGUUCUUCCCAAUCUAUUCGGCGAACAUUGAGUUGACUAGUCUCUGAUAAGUCGCUCCUGCAUUCUUUAGGCCGAAGGGCAGGACUUUAUAGCAAUAUAGUCCCCUGUCAGUAGUGAAGGUUGUGUGUUCUUGGUCAAGAGGGUUCACGAAGAUUUGGUUAUAUCCUGAGUAAGCAUCUAUGAAGCUCAGAAGUUCACAUCCUACCGUAGAGUUUAUAAGUCUGUCAAUGAGAGGAAGAAGAAAAUUAUCCUUCGGGCAUCCUUUUUUUAGGUCAGUGUAGUCGACACAUAUUCUCCACAAGACCUUUGGAGCAGGAGACUUUCUUUGGUUGGAUUUUUCUUAACAAGGACCACAUUUGCUACUUAUGUUAGGUAAUUGACUUCACGGACGAAGCCGAUGCCUUUGAGUUUUUCAACUUCUGCCUUCAUUGCUUCGUAUCUUUCAGCGUCAUAAAAUCUUCGCUUCUGUCUCACCGACUUAGUCUUGGGGUCAAUACUCAAGCGAUGACAUAUGAUAUCGAGAGAGAUUCCUGACAUGUCUUCGUAUGACCAGGCGAAGACCUUGGUGUUCUCUUGUAAAAAAUAGAUCAAUGCCAACCGAAUAGAUGGUGACAAGGUGGUGCCAAUCUUCACCAUAUGAUCUGGAUAAUCUUUUGAGAUAGAAGCGUUUUCCAACUCUUCAGCGGGUUGUGCUUGCUGGGUGAAAGAGUCGUCUCGAGGAUCAUUGGGUUGACUGUUGCCACCGUGAAAAUCCAAGUUGGCUUCGUCUGGGCUGGUCUUUAUGACUUGGUCAUGUAUAUAAAGGGUUUCCUUGGGCACAGGUAAGUGUUGUUGCUUGACCAAAGUGUUGUAACAUGAUCGUGCACUAAGUUGAUCUCUUCUGAUGUAACCAUUGCCAUAGGGGGUUGGAAAUUUCAUCAACAACAUAUGUGUGGAUACCAUGGCCUUGAGAUCAUUGAUGCCUGUGCGUUUGAAGAUGACAUUGUAUGCUGUUGGGCAAUCAACCACCAAGAAGUUAGUGGUAAUGGUAGCUGUGUAAGAGCCUAUACCAAUGGUGAAAGGUAAAUGUAUGCUCCCUAAAUGUUGCAUGAUAUCACCGGAGAAGCUUAUUAGAGGAGAAAUCAAGCGAUCGAGCAAGUGUUCAACUACAUUAAAUGCCCUGAAAGCUUCAGCAAACAUGAUAUUAACCGAAUUCCCCGUGUCUACCAGGAUUCGUCGUACUUCAAAGUUGGCUAUGUGAGCUUCCACGAUCAGUGGGUCAUUGUGAGGGUAGAUGAUACCUCUUUCUUCCUCAUGGUAGAAACAUAUUGGAUCCCAGUUAGGCUUUUGAUACUUGCCUCUCCUAAUGUCUUCCAUGUAAAACACUUGAUGGCUAGGCCUUAAAGCUCGUUCGCUAUUUUUCAUGGCCCUGUUGGAAGAUUUAGAUAUAGGUGUGCCACCACUUAUGGAAUAUAUCACAUUCACCUGGUGUUGGUUACGGUUACCCCUUGGAGGGUGAAAAAGGAAUUGAUCAAUUUUUCCUUCACAUGCCAAGCUUCAAUAUGAUCACGAAGGGUGAUACACUUCUUGCCGUCAUGGCCGUUAUGCUCAUGGUAGUAGUAAAAUGUGCCUAUGUUCUUCGUGGGCUUAUAAUCUGAGUGCCUCGACUUUGGCUUCGGUAUCAGGUUUGCUAUGUUGGGGUAAAUGGCCAUGUAUGUGGCGUUCAAAUGUAUGUAUGCCUCAUACCUCGGGGUAGGGGAUUAUCGUGGUAAUACCCUUAGUUAUCGCAGUAGUGUCCCUUACUCUUUUUACUAAAAUGAGAUUGGUGAUGAUGGAAAUCUUUCCUUUUGCCCUAGAUUGAUAUGUCUAUUGACUUGGCAAAGUACUAAGUAAGGUAGGGGGAGGCACUGCUGCAGUUUGGAAGGUUGAGGUCUUCUCAUUUGGGUGGGUCUGGUUUCCACUUCCCACUUGCUAAUAGGGGAUGUUGUUGGGGGUUUCUCUUGGUAUGUCUUUGCCUCGGUGGAGGUAUGGUUAUAAGCCUGUGUUAUCACCUCAGAGUAAGUCUUCCAAGUGUUGGCAUUGAUCAUGUACUUAAAGAAACAGUCACGUAGGCCUGCCGUGAAGGCUUUGAGGGCAGUCUUGUUGUCUGCCUCGGCACAACGGGAAUACUCAUGGCUGAAGCGGCCAGCAUACAUAUGUAAUGACUCGUCUGGCUUCUGGCGAAUAAUGUAUAAGUCAUCCGCAGAGUGCAAAAGAUCGGUUUGGAAAAUGUGUUGAGAAAUAAACAGUUUCCUCAAUUCCUCAAAUGAGUCAACCGUCUCAGGUGGAAGACGUCAAUACCAAUUUAGAGCUCCGCCAGAGAGGGUGGAGGAGAAAAGAAGACAUCGCUCUUCGUCAGUGUGCAUCCGGUAUGCCAUGGUGGACUCAAAGAGGUUAAAGUGUUCAAUCGAGUCAUUCUUUCCAGUAUGGAGUUGCAAGCCAAGCUUCUGCUUUGUCUUUGCUUGGAGGGGGUGUCGAAGAUCCUCCUUGUAAGAGGGCCAGGCCUAGGUUGGUUCCAAUCAAGUAUCUCAGCUUGUCGUUUGGCCUUCAACUUGUUUACUUCCUUAAAGAGCUGUAGGACAAGAGGGUCCUGAGUGGAGUCAUGUACCACUGGAGCUUUCUUUCAUAAAUCUCCAUCUCCUCUUGGAAGUAGGAAGGUUUGAUCAAGAGCAUGUGAUUUUUCCCUGGACUCGCCGUACUGACUUCCAAGGUAUGUUUGUCAGAACAUCUCUGAGUCCCCUAUACCUUCGUGUUUCUCUAGGACUUGUUGCCCCUUCCACAAAUUGGUAGCCGGCCUGGGACAUGGGAGGGGACCGAGUCUUUCAGAAACCCUUGGGUCAUUGAUCUUCAAGCAUAUGUGGAGAGGAUUCUCUCGAUGUUACUUUAGGAAGUCUCAACAAUCACGAUAAAUGGCCUUUAAUCCUUCCAACCCUUCUGCAAUGAGGGGUUUUCCUCCACUUUUCCUGCUUCGGGUUGAAGCAACUGGGUUGAGAGAAGUCUCAUGUUGAUCAAUGUUUUGAUGAUUAGCUUGCUCCUCAUUAGGAUACUAAUGUCGAAUGAAGGUGAUCCUCCCUGUUGAGGGGCACCCAGAUGAUGGUUGAUGUCCACAGGGGUAACGAACUCACGUGUUUGAGUACGCCUAGUUUCGUGGAGCGUCUUAAAAAGUUUCUCAUACUGCUCCUGGAGGACCUCAUUCUUCAUUGCUAUCUUGUUGGUCUAAGCUUCUAGCUUAUCAACUUUAGCUUGAAGAGCAACCCUCUUUCUUUCCUUCUUUCGUUGCUUCGUACUAGGUGCAAGAGGGGUGUCAUUCUGUGUGCUGUGGCUUCCUUUGCUCCCUAUGUUAGAGAGGGAUGCCUGGUCAAAAGAGAGUGUACAAAUGGUGGAAACCAGCUUGACAAAGUUGAAGAGAGUGGGAAUAAGUGUCAUUCCCAUAGACGGCGCCAAAUGUUGAUGCACAAAAUCAGUGAGGACGUUGGUACAACAGAAAGUGUUAAGUUUGUGACCUUUGCUAGAUUGCUCCAGUUACUACUGUGGAUAAGUAUGUAAAUGGAUAGAGACAGGGAAGCAAACAUAUGAUGUAUGUGGUUCACCCAGAUUUGCUACGUCCACGGAGUAGAGGAGUUCUCAUUAAUUGUGAAGGGUUUACACAAGUACAUAGGUUCAAGCUCUCCGUUAGUGAGUACUAGUGAAUGAUUUAGUACAAAUGACAUUCGGAAAUAUUGUGGGAGAAUGAUCUCCUUUUAUAGAAGAGUUUCUAGCUUUAUCUGACAUUGACACGUGUCGUGUUGUGAUUGGUUUCUGAUGUAGACACAUGUCGCGCUGUGAUUGGCUUUUGAUGUCGACACGUGUCGCACUGUGAUUGGCCUCCUGGUUGGAGGGAAACUCUUCUGGGUCCUUGAUGGUAUAAUGUUGAGCAGUGCUCAGUAGUUUCGGGAUUGGUCAAGUAUGGUACAAACACAUAUGAUUUUAUUGUUGGGUAGUUCAAGUAAGUUUUAGCUCUGUUAUUUUGUACUUAUUUGGAAUUUGAUGGUGUUUGUAUACUGUUGCAGGUGAUUACCAAAAAAUCUCUUGCAUAAAAUUUGUACCAAUAAGUUAUACGUAUCAUUGUUGUCGGACACCAGAAUAAAACAUAUAUACCUGUAGAGUGUAAAUGUGGAUUAUGAUCUAUGAUCUAUGAGUGAACAGAAGAUUAUGAGUUGUAGUAGGUUGCUGCAUCUAUUUUAGGAAAGAGAUCAUCUUCGGAUCUCUUCCACCAAGACCAUCGGAUCAAAUGAUUAGGAUCUUUGAAAUUUCAUCCAACGACAAAAAAUUAUUAUAGCUUUUAAGGGAUCAAAACAGGUGGGUCGUUGGAUGAAAUAUUAAUGGUCCGGAUCACUUGAUCUGGUGACCUUGAUGGAAAAGAUCCGGAGACGAUCUCUUUCCUCUAUUUUCAUGUUUCAAUUACUGUAUCAAACCUUUGAAGUUUCCAAUUAUUGUCCUUUUUGUCGUCUCCCAUUCUCAAACUGUCACAUAAGUUUUGUGGAUUUUUUUCAAAAACUCGCUAACUAUUCCACCUAUGGAGUUUAGAUGCUCACUGGUUGUUUUAGAGUGACAAGCCCUUAAUAAACAUUUUUAAUUUCUGAAAAGAAAAUGAACUAAAAUUCUUAGAGGGAAUGGAUAACUAUUUUUAUUCUUUUUUCUAGUGUUGUUCAACCACAAAUGAUUUUUCCAUAUUCAAUAAGGCAUCUGAAACUUGAAGGAAUAAUUAACCCAGCACAAUUGUUCAUAGCAACGACAAUGAGUUCCUUGGCAUAUGGAGCUUUUAAGAUAGAAGGAUUUGGUGAACCAUAUCAAGAAUACAACAACAACAACAACAACAAAGCCUUUUCCCACUAAGUGGGGUCGGCUAUAUGAAUCCUAGAACGCCAUUGUGCUUGGUUUUGUGUCAUGUCCUCCGUUAGAUCCAAGUACUCUAAGUCUUUUCUUAGGGUCUCUUCCAAAAUUUUCCUAGGUCUUCCUCUACCCUUUCGGCCCUGAACCUCUACCCCUAGGCCUUCUUUGCACAUGUCCAAACCACCGUAAUCGAUUUUCUCUCAUCUUUCCUUCAAUUUCGGCUACUCCUACUUUUCCUCGGAUAUCCUCAUUACCAAUCUUAUCCUUUCUCGUGUGCCCACACAUCCCACGAAGCAUCCUCAUCUCCGCUACACCCAUUUUGUGUACGUGUUGAUGCUUCACCGCCCAACAUUCUGUGCCAUACAACAUCGCUGGCCUUAUUGCCGUCCUAUAAAAUUUUCCCUUGAGCUUCAGUGGCCUACGACGGUCACACAACACGCCGGAUGCACUCUUACACUUCAUCCAUCCAGCUUGUAUUCUAUGGUUGAGAUCUCCAUCUAAUUCUCCGUUCUCUUGCAAGAUAGAUCCUAGGUAGCGAAAACGGUCGCUUUUUGUGAUCUUCGCUAGAUUGCUCCGGUCAUUAGUGUGUGGAUAAGUAUAUAAAUGGAUAGAGAUAGGAAAGCAAACACAAGAUGUACGUGGUUCACCCAGAUUGGCUACGUCCACGGAAUAGAGGAGUUCUCAUUAAUUGUGAAGGGUUUACACAAGUACAUAGGUUCAAGCUCUCCUUUAGUGAGUACAAGUGAAUGAUUUAGUACAAAUGACAUUAGGAAAUAUUGUGGGAGAAUGAUCUCGUAAUCACGAAACUUCUAAGUACCGGAGUGUGGUAUCGUCUUGACUUGCCUUAUCUGUCUCAUAGGUAGAUGUGGCAUCUUCUCUGGAAGUACUCUUCCUCCAUCCAGGGGUGGUAUCUUUAACUGGUGGAGAUGCACAAGGUAAUGUAUCAAUUUCACUUGAAGCUUACUUGUAGUUUCAGGCUUGGUCAAGCGCGAUACAAACCAUGUAGUAGGAGUCCCCCAAGUCGCCGAGCUAGGGGAUCUGCUGAAAGAGGUGACAGACAAGGUAAGCAAUCAGAGCUCCAAGCAAUCAGUCCCAGAUCAGAACUUUGAUUUCGAGUUCCGGCUGAUUGUUCACAUUCUCCCUAUCUUGCAGGCAGCAUGAAGGAUAAAGAGAAGAAAAAUGAGAAGAGAUGAUAUGGGAUACUUUUGCUUUUGAAGAAGUAACUUUCCACAGGCUUAUUCUUGAACUGGGCUGGAGGGUUUUCUGGUUUCCUCCAGAGUAUAAGGCCGACUGAAGAAUUUGAGGGUCAAAACAAGUCCAUCAAAUCUAGAGUACGUUCGACCCUGCUGAUAUGGGAUACUUUUGCUUUUGACAGAGUAGUGGAUGUAUCGGCACGUGUGCUGUUACGCUUGUCUCCACAUGCUUCCUUGUAUCCUUCUCACUUGCCCUAUCUGUUCCUCAGGCAGAUGCGGUAUCUUCCCUGGAAGCAUAAGAUGUUGAAGAUGAGUACUCGAGAGCAAUGCCAGGUAAGUAAUCAGGUAAGGGGUUCCAGGCAGUCAGUUCCUGGACUGGAAGCUUGAUUCCAAGUGCUGACUGAUUGCUCUCUUUCUCCUUGUCUUGCAGGUAAGAACAAGGCCAAAGGAAAAAAGACAGGGAAAAAGCAUGAUAUGGGAUACUCUUGCUUUUAACCCUGAUGAUAUGAGAUAUUCUUGCUCUAGUAUAGCUUGUUUGCAGAGGUAUUAUCGGGGGGAAAGAAAGCUGAAUAUUUCGAAAGGCUUCGUUGGGAGUGCCCUCUCAGAUAUGAGGAAGGGUUGAGCAUUUUUGCAGGUCUGCCUGUCCGUUGGGGAUGGAGGUCGACAUAUAUAGGAGUCUCCCUAACAACAAGUAGUAAUGCUAUUCCUUUACCCUACUUGGUCAUAGCACGGUAGUGGGAGCUGCCAGCUUCACAUGUUUUAACUCUGUCAGAGCACUUUGAAAAAGUGGUCUGUGGUAUCUGGAAAGCUGAUGUUGCGUGUGAAGAUUACAGACAAGCUUUAUCCAAGGAGAUCCGGCUUUUGAAGUUGGAAAAAUGGUGCCUCUUCGGUUUUCGAACAAGCAAUCCUGUCGAGGAUCUGGCUCUCGAGAUUCGGAGAACGAUGCCUCUUCGAUUUUUGAGAAAGCAAUCCUGCUGGGGGUCUGGCUCUCGAGAUUCGGAGAGCGGUGUCUCUUCGAUUUUUGAGAAAGUAAUCAUGUUGGGAGUCUGGCUCUCGAGAUUCGGAGGGCGGUGCCUCUUCGAUUUUGGAGCAAGCAAUCUUGUUGGGAGUGUUUUCUCGAAUGUGAGUAAAGGUUGGGCAUGUUUGCUAGUCUACCUUGCCACGAAGCACAGAGGUUGACACACAGGGACUUUCCAAUUAUCCAGCAGUGGUACUGUUCCUUUACCCUUGUGGGUAAUAAUAUGGUAGCUAGACCUUCAAAAUUUAUGUGUCUAAACUUUGUUAGUGCUGUUUCUUUGCUAUUCUUUUACCCUUCUUGGUCAGAGCGAUGUAGUGGGAGCUGCAAGCUUCACGUGUCUCAACUUUGUCAGAGAACUUUGGCAAAGUUAUCUGUGGUACCCAUGAGCUAAUGUUGCGUGUGGGAAGUGGGUGAUUGAACAGUAAGAUUCAUGUGCUUUCUACUUCACCAGAAAUCUUCGACAGAAUGCCCAUAAUUUCCGCAAAGCUGAGUGUGCGUGUGACAGGUGCUGACAAGGCUGGAAAAGUAGGUGCCUCUUCGAUUUCUGAGAUCGGCCCUCGUGGUCUCUGAGCAGCCCAGCUUUUGAGAAAGCAAGCGCCUCUUCGAUUUCUGAGAUCGGCCUUCGUGGUCUUUGAGCAGCCCAGCUUUUGAGAAAGCAAACGCCUCUUCGAUUUCUGAGAUCGACCCUCGUGGUCUCUGAGCAGCCCAGCUUUUGAGAAAGCAAACGCCUCUUCGAUUUCUGAGCAGGCGCCUCUUCGAUUUCUGACCUUAAGUUCCAAAGCACACUUGAAUCUCCACCAGUAGAAGCUUCAUUCUUGCACUUCUAAGAUCUUGAUUUGUCCGACCUCUUCUUUCUUCAACACCUUUGAAAAUGUCUGGCCCCUCCGACCGUCGUUUUGACUUGAACCUUGUUGAAGAGGCAGCCACGCCUUCUCCAGACAACAUAUGGCGCCCAUCCUUCGUCUCCCCUACUGGUCCUCUUACCGUUGGGGAUUCCGUGAUGAAGAAUGAUAUGACCGCUGCGGUGGUGGCCAGGAACCUUCUCACUCCCAAAGAUAACAGACUACUUUCCAAACGGUCUGAUGAGUUGGCUGUUAAGGAUUCUCUGGCUCUCAGUGUUCAGUGUGCAGGUUCUGUGUCUAAUAUGGCCCAACGCCUAUUUGCUCGAACCCGCCAAGUUGAAUCAUUGGCGGCUGAAGUGAUGAGUCUCAAACAGGAGAUUAGAGGGCUCAAGCAUGAGAAUAAACAGUUGCACCGGCUCGCACAUGACUAUGCUACAAACAUGAAGAGGAAGCUUGACCAGAUGAAGGAAUCUGAUGGUCAGGUUUUACUUGAUCAUCAGAGAUUUGUGGGUUUGUUCCAAAAGGCAUUUAUUGCCUUCGUCUUCUGGGGCUGUACCGCGUAAUGAAGCUCCAAAUGAUCAACCUCUGAUGCCUCCUCCUUCUAGGGUUCUGUCCAGUACUGAGGCUCCGAAUGAUCCCCCUCCGGUGCCUUCUCUUUCUGGGGCUCUACCGACUGCUGAGACUUCUCCUAAGCAACCUUUGUGAAGGCUCCCUCUUGUUUGUUUAUUUUGACUCAUGUAUAUGUACAUAUUUGUAACUUAUCGGGGAUAUCAAUAAAUAAGCUUUCCUUCAUUUCAACGUAUUGUGUUAAAUACACCAAAGCCUUCUUCGCUAAGUUCUUUGAAUUUUUCUUUUGUUGAAGCUUGUAUGUUGAAGCUUUGUGAGUGGAGCAUGUAGGUUGAGGUAGUGUUCCCUUAAUUUCCCGAGUGAGGAAAACUUCUCGGUUGGAGACUUGGAAAAUCCAAGUCACUGAGUGGGAUCGGCUAUAUGAAUCUUAGAACGCCAUUGUGCUCGGUCCUGUGUCAUGUCCUCCGUUAGAUCCAAGUACUCUAAGUCUUUUCUUAGAGUCUCUUCCAAAGUUUUCCUAGGUCUUCCUCUACCCCUUCGGCCCUGAACCUCUGUCCCAUAGUCGCAUCUUCUAAUCGGAGCGUCAGUAGGCCUUCUUUGCACAUGUCCAAACCACCGUAACCGAUUUUCUCUCAUCUUUCCUUCAAUUUCGGCUACUCCUACUUUACCCCGGAUAUCCUCAUUCCUAAUCUUAUCCUUUCUCGUGUGCCCACACAUCCAACGAAGCAUCCUCAUCUCCGCUACACCCAUUUUGUGUACGUGUUGAUGCUUCACCGCCCAACAUUCUGUGCCAUACAGCAUCGCCGGCCUUAUUGCCGUCCUAUAAAAUUUUCCCUUGAGCUUCAGUGGCAUACGGCGGUCACACACAACACGCCGGAUGCACUCUUCCACUUCAUCCAUCCAGCUUGUAUUCUAUGGUUGAGAUCUCCAUCUAAUUCUCCGUUCUUUUGCAAGAUAGAUCCUAGGUAACGAAAACGGUCGCUCUUUGGUAUUUCUUGAUCUCCGAUCCUCACCCCUAACUCGUUUUGGCCUCCAUUUGCACUGAACUUGCACUCCAUAUAUUCUGUCUUUGAUCGGCUUAGGCGAAGACCUUUAGAUUCCAACACUUCUCUCCAAAGGUUAAGCUUUGCAUUUACCCCUUCCUGAGUUUCAUCUAUCAACACUAUAUCGUCUGCGAAAAGCAUACACCAAGGAAUAUCAUCUUGAAUAUGUCCUGUUAACUCAUCCAUUACCAACGCAAAAAGGUAAGGACUUAAGGAUGAGCCUUGAUGUAAUCCUACAGUUAUGGGAAAGCUUUCGGUUUGUCCUUCAUGAGUUCUUACGGCAGUCUUUGCUCCUUCAUACAUAUCCUUUAUAGCUUGGAUAUAUGCUACUCGUACUCCUUUCUUCUCUAAAAUCCUCCAAAGAAUGUCUCUUGGGACCCUAUCAUACGCUUUUUCCAAAUCUAUAAAGACCAUGUGUAAAUCCUUUUUCCCAUCUCUAUAUCUUCCAUCAAUCUUCGUAAGAGAUAGAUUGCCUCCAUGGUUGAGCGCGCCCUGGCAUGAACCCGAAUUGGUUGUCCGAAACCCGUGUCUCUUGCCUCAAUCUAUGCUCAAUGACUCUCUCCCAGAGCUUCAUUGUAUGACUCAUUAGCUUAAUACCCCUAUAGUUCAUGCAAUUUUGUACGUCGCCCUUAUUCUUGUAGAUAGGCACCAAAGUGCUCGUUCGCCACUCAUUUGGCAUCUUCUUCGUUUUCAAAAUCCUAUUGAAAAGGUCAGUGAGCCAUGUUAUACCUGUCUCUCCCAAAACUUUCCACACUUCGAUUGGUAUAUCGUCUGGGCCUACUGCUUUUCUAUGCUUCAUCUUCUUCAAAGCUACAACCACUUCUUCCUUCCGGAUUCGACGAUAAAAAAGAGUAGUUUCUACACUCUUCUGAGUUACUCAACUCCCCUAAAGAAGCACUCCUUUCAUGUCCUUCAUUGAAAAGAUUAUGAAAAUAACCUCUCCAUCUGUCUUUAACCGCGUUCUCUGUAGCAAGAACCUUUCCAUCCUCAUCCUUGAUGCACCUCACUUGGUUUAGGUCCCUUGUCUUCUUUUCCCUUGCUCUAGCUAGUUUAUAGAUAUCCAACUCUCCUUCUUUGGUAUCUAGUCGCUUAUACAUAUCGUCAUAUAAGCCGCUAACUUAGCUUCUCUCACAGCUUUCUUCGCCUCUUGCUUCGCUUUUCUAUACCUUUCACCAUUUUCAUCGGUCCUAUCCUUGUAUAAGGCUUUACAACAUUCCUUCUUAGCCUUCACCUUUGUUUGUACCUCCUCAUUCCACCACCAAGAUUCCUUUUGGUGUGGGGCAAAGCCCUUGGACUCUCCUAAUACCUCUUUUGCUACUUUUCGGAUACAACUAGCCAUGGAAUCCCACAUUUGGCUAGCUUUCCCCUCUCUAUCCCACACACACUGGGUGAUUACUUUCUCUUUGAAAAUGGCUUGUUUUUCUUCUUUUAGAUUCCACCAUCUAGUCCUUGGGCACUUCCAAGUCUUGUUCUUUUUUCUCACUCUUUUGAUAUGUACAUCCAUCACCAACAAGCGAUGUUGAUUAGCCACGCUCUCUCCUGGUAUAACUUUGCAAUCCUUACAAGUUAUACGAUCCCCUUUCCUCAUUAGAAGAAAAUCUAUUUUGUGUUUUUGACGACCCACUCUUGUAGGUGAUCACAUGUUCUUCUCUCUUCUUAAAGAAGGUGUUGGCUAAGAAGAGAUCAUAUGCCAUUGCAAAAUCCAAGAUAGCUUCCCCAUCCUCGUUUCUCUCCCCAAAACCAUGGCCACCAUGAAAACCUCCAUAGUUGCCUGUCUCCCUGCCCACGUGUCCAUUUAAAUCUCCUCCUAUAAAUAACUUCUCCGUCUGAGCAAUUCCUUGCACCAAGUCUCCAAGGUCUUCCAAAAUUUCUCCAAGGUCUUUCCCGAUUUCUAUUCGAACCUAUCCAUACCUACUUGAGGCCGUACCACUAAUCACAUUGAUAAGUUUUUGUCCUAUUACACUUGAUUCCAUGCUUAUCUCCUACUACUUACAUCCACACAUAUUGUGUCAAUGUCUUGUCCACGAUGAUGCCAACACCGUUCUGUUAUUGUGCCCGAAUACCAAAGUUUAACCCUGAGCUCUAGAUCUUGCCUUACGACCAACCACUUAGUUUCUUGUAGGCACAGAAUAUUUAUUCCUUCCCUACCAUAACUUCCACACUUCCAUAGAUUUUCCGUUAAGGUUCCUUAUUCCACAUUUUAAAGCAUUUGCUCUUGAACUCUACCCUUCUGUCCUAGCUUCUUCACCCUCCUCCGGUCUAAUAGGAUCAAAGUACUUCUUUGUGUGUCCGUGUAAAGUUGAGUAGGAGAUUGCCCCUAAAAAACUUUGAGUGGAGACGUUCGAAAGAAGUUUCUAUGGCCCCUUGCUAUUUAAAACUGCAUCGGGUGCCGAUGGAGAUACAGCGCCCUUGCUCACUAUCACUGUGCUCGGGCACACAGCGCGCACUUACGGUGACGCCUGCUUUGGCGCGAUUCUUCUUAUUAUUUUCAUAGGAUUCCGACGUAAUUAUGGAGUGCCGGCUGUCGGACUACCUGACGCCCUCCCCUUCUCCUUUAUCCGGGCUUGGGACUGGCAAUGUAAGAUAAACUUACAUAGGCGGAGUUUGAACCAUAUCAAGAAUGAAAAAGAAAAUUAAAAAAAAUGACAAUAAGCAAUGAAGUAUAUAAGGAUAUUUGUACCGUCUCUCUAAUAGAGGUACUGUCUUUCUAACAGAAGUAGUGUCCACCAACAUAUGUGGGUCACAUCUCUAUAUAAAAGAUGUUAGAAAUAUGUGGUAAGAGCAAUAUUGAGAGCUUAAUCUAUAGAGACAAAAACUUCACUAUAUUUCAAGGAACUCCACUAAUUUUUAAAAAAAUUCUUAAAAAAAUGGAGUAAACACAUAAAAGCAACUAAAGCCCAACCCAAAAACAUGGAAAUAAUGUUUUAAAAUACCAGCCAUACCCCUAAGGUUUUAAGGCUGCUAAUAGAACUCAGCCCUCACAACUCUAGCAAAAUUGAUAUAUAUCAUCAGCUGAACCCAACAUCGACUAUUUUUUGUUAUCCUUUUAAACUAUACUAUUACGCAUUUUUUGCUGGUAUAGAUCAUAUCCAAGUCUGAUUAUCUGUCAGGCCCAAAGACGCUGGUCUGUAGGAUUCCCAGUCACAACAUGCUUCCUAUACCCCUUAUCUUUCUGGUGUUUCUCAACGUGCGCUGCCCAUGUGUGUAUUUGAAUUGAUCCUGGACAAGUUUAAACUAAGCAAAUUGAUUAUGCUCGAGCAACAGCCGCGAAGGGAUGAUUCGAUUUGCUAAGAAUGCUAUGCAUGUGUGAGGAAAUGGGAACAUUUAUAUAAGAUGAAACGGUUUGACAAUUUACACAUAUUUACAAACAAUGUUAACGACCACAUAUAUGUACAAUCAUAUUUAAAACUCUAUUUUAUCCUAAUUCAAUUUACACAUAAAUCCUAAUCAGCAACUCUGAACUCUCUUGUCGAAAGGCUAGAUUCCCCCCCCCUUCACAUGUAUGUUUCUCCGCUAAAAAUUGAAAAAAAAAAGAAAUAAAAAGGAGAUUGUUAAAGUAAAUCUUGACAUCUAGUCAAGAUGAAGGAAACAAAGUGUUAGUUUUGAAGCCUUAAUUUUUCUUUAAUUAUACGUUUAAACAAAAAAUAUUGAUCUACGAAUAUAAGUGCCAUCAACGAAAUUAAAUUUUCAAUUGCUCAUCAAUAAUUAAAAUUGACAUAUGUUAAGAGCAACAUAUUAGAAGUAAGUAGACUUAUUGAAUUGCUUACCUCCCCAGUAACUCUUCUACCACAAUUCUCAGCAUGCAAGUAUGAAUAAAGGUUGCCGGAAUUAUAUACCUUCUGUUGAGUUGUAAACGGAGAGAAACAAUAAGCAUACAUAUAGGAAAAGAUUUAUAAGAUCUUCGAAAAGUGUAGAGAAAUGAUAACCUUGCACGUACACACAUUUCCUUGGAAUGGUUCUUUCACCAUUUCAAUCAACACAAAAAGGUAUAUGCAAUUUUUAACACCCCAGCCGCCAUUAUCACUUUUAUCUCAAAUGUUCACAUAAUGCGUCUUUCUUUCAAUUUCAUUUAAUUUGCUCUAAGGGAACUUCUUUGUCUCUAUGUAGUUAUAAAUCUAUAUUUCCAAAUCUUGCUCGCUUCAUUUGUGUGUGUUUAAGUUUCUUCCAUCGAACAAUCAUCUGAAUAAGUUUAUUUUUCAUGUCUACAUUAAUUUUCUGGACUUGCAUGCUCCUACAAAAGGCUUAUCGUGUCUAAAGAGUUAUGUGAGAUCCAUUUAUGUUAAUUUUCUGUCAACCAUUUUCGUCAGAAUGCAGUGUUAUUUCCCCACUUUUCUUCUAACAACCCGUUUAGAAAAUUACCUUUUUAUUAAUUGAAAUUACAAAAAUAUCCCUAACUACCAGAAAGUGUUGACUUCGUGACUUUGUAGCGAUGCAUGUUAGAAUUUUUCUUAUAUUUUAUUCCUGUAGCACUCAUCGAUACAAACCCGUAGGCGUGAUUGGAAUCCAAAUCGGAGUUAGACGAAGCUUUUUUAACUUUUUGAACGUAAGGGCAUUUGGUAAUUUCACAAGUGAAGAUUUUUCCCGACUUUGGACCUCUACAUGGGUGACACUUGGCACCCCAUUUCUGGUGCCCUUUUUCUUUCCCCUCCUGUGAUCUCUCUCUAGAACUCUUCCUCACUCUCUCGUAUCCCUCUCUUCCAUCUCUCAUCUCCAACGAACCAAGCACACACACACACACACACCCAUACCCACACCUACGAACAACCUCCAUAACGAUCACCACACCAUCACCAUCAUUUCCCCUACAAGUUCUACAAACCCAGAAGGAAUAGAAACCUUCGUUCUUCUCUUUUUCCCUCGUUGCAUAGUACCUUCACUAUGCAGAAAGUUGAUCCGGCGAGUUUUCGCCAUUUUCCAACGAGGGGAGCUCGAUAACUACUCCAAAUCUUUAUCAAUCAUGUUUAGAACUGUGUUUAGGUAAUUUUUGAGACAAUUUGGUAGUGUUUGGAUGCAAAGAUAGCUUGGAGAAAUAUAUUUCCAAUUUUUCGGCGAGAUUCCAUGGCUUGUCUGCCAUUUUUUUGCCGAUCCUGACUUUAACGCCAUCUCAUCUUGAUACAACUCGAAUCCUCACUCUCCUAGCUUCAUUUUAGCUUUUGAAUGGCGGGUUUUGGUUAAGCUUUGACCUUAAAACGGAGUCAGGGAGACUUCCCGGCCAAAACUUCAGUCAUUUUCUUCGUUAGUCCGGUGACUCGCAAGUGGAAACUGGGUUGAGCCUAAACCCACAACUCUGAAUUGGCCCAAAGGUUUGGGCCAAGCAGCCUAUUAGCCCAGGCCCAACCCAAUUCCCUUAGCCCAAGCCCAACCUUAAAGUCCAGCCCAAUAACCCUAACACGGCCCAAACUACCAGACCCAAGCCCAGAUUCGAGCCAGGUCCGACCCAACCUAUGUCUGAUACCCAGAUCCCUAGUCAGCGCGUGGGCACGUGUGAGAGGCUGUCUGGGCCUGCCCGUGGAGCACAUGUGCCUCCGCUGGAGGUACUGUGCUCGGCCGCCAUCAGACGGCACAACAGCGAUGUCAACUACGUUUGGGAACAUCAACUAGGCACGUAACAGCGUGUGGCCAUCCGGACAGUAGCCCCGUAGAGGCGCAUGUACCAUAAGAGGUCCCUUCUUAGGUUUUUCAAUGUGCCGAGUCCGAAUCUGUUGUCUGUUUCCCCAAAUUCGACCGUUUUAAUGGAGUUUUAUUAAAUGUACAUUCUUUGUUGUUUUGGUGCAACAGUUGGAAAUGAUCCAGUCCAUCCUAAUUUGAGCGGCUUUCCAGUAGUAGAAUACUUGUGAGUGGACCCCUUCUUAACAUAUAUGUUUUUAUAAAAUAUUAGCCUAGCAUUUAUAAUUUCUGAUAUAAUAUGUUUGAUAUACUUCGGAUUGAAUUAUUGAUUUGAAUACUCACAUUUAUGGAUUUAGUUUUACUCGGGUUAUGAUUUGGCUUGAGUAUAGACCAGAUGCUUUAAGAUUUAUUUACAUAAGAACAUUUCAUAUUUAUGAGGUAUGACUUUGAUGCUAGUGAGCUUCGAUUUGAUACACUUUGAAUUAUGUUUUUGGUUACUUUCUAGGGUUCCAUACGGCCACAAACACACCCUUAUAGAUGUCUAUGGAAUAGAGAUAUCUUAAGAAGGAGCGAGAUAUGAUUAUAUGAUAUACCCCCACGGCCGGCCAAAAAUAAUGUUGGAUGUUCACUAGCCAGGCUAGUGUGGUGUGAAUCUUGCUAAUACAGCUUCACUUCAGGUGAUGACAGGUUAUUCAACUUCACCUUCGGGUGAGGAUAGGUACUACCUUUGGGCGACUAUGAUACCCCUAGUUGAGUACAUCACGGCUACGCUUUACAGAAGUUUUACGAAUUUUUACAUGGCAUGCUAGGAUUUUUAUAAAACCUAUAUGUAGUAUUAUAUAUGUGUUUUCAAAAUAGGGGGUUAGUAUGUUAUGAAAUAAACUGGUUUUAGUAUUAUUAUAAAUUAUGGUCCACUCACCUUUUCUGUUUUGCGUCUCCUCAGGACAUAGCGACGAAGAGUACGACCAAGCAAGGCUUUUCCCCACCAGUGAUCAUGCUUACUUCUAUUUGCGUAUGGCCCUUAUUGACUCUUGUAAUUUGAUGCUCACCUUUCUUUAGCACUCUGUUUAUUGGUAAGCUAUGGACACAUUGCAUCUUUUACUUCAGAUCUGUAAUCGUUGAUCUUUCUGUUUUGUUCAUGUGGAUUUUUGCAUCUUUAUUAUUGUCCACUUAGCAUUUAUUGUUCCGUAUCAUUUCUGCUUGUUAUACAAUUUUUAGUUUAUGGGUCCUUUUAUAUUCUUAAUUGUUCCCUACCAUUUGUGUUUGUUCAUACAGUUUGGGCUUUCGUCAGUCUUUAGUGUCUGUCCGCACAUGCCAUCCAUGUAUCAUUUGGAUAUCUGGGUGGCCUGUCAUUUCUGGAAUCUUGAAGAACCAAACCUUAUGUAAUCCUACAUUUAUAAUUUCUAAUGUUUUAAUAUGCAUUCUUAUCUAAAUUCACACAAUGACCAAUCAAUAAAAUAGUAGAAAGAUAGAGCACAAAGACCAAUCAACAUGGAAGCAAGCUCAUUGAUCCUUUUAAAAGAGACAUACAUACCUCUGUUUCUUCUGCUCGCAUCCAAUAUUUAUUCCACCAUGUUAUAAACUGGAUAACAGUUGCAAAUAAGUAAAGUCCCAACAUGUUGCUCCCUAAGCAAUACCAAGUCCAUCAGUCUGCACAAGGCCUCAUUUUGCAGAAAACACAGCUCAAUUGAACCAUUAUGUAUGAUAAAUUAGUGAGGAUUUAAAGUAGGGAAGUAAGGACUAUUGCCUACAUGUGCACACUAAAGAGAUUUUUUGGUAAUCACUUGCAACAGUACACAAGCACCAACAAAUUCCAAAUAAGUAUAGAAUAACAGAGCUAAAACUUAUUUGAAAGAACUACCCAACAACAAAAUCAUAUGAAAUAUUGAAACUAUGAUAUUUGCGUAGAACAAAAAUUAGCAAUUUUCUAACCAAAUAACCCACAAUAUAAUCAAAUAAUGCAAAUAGCUUAGUCCCCAGCUUUUGCUAUUUAAUAUAUUCUACAUGAACCUCUCUUUUGUUCCUUAUUGAGAUAACUCUGUCAUCUAAAAAAUCACAUUCUUUAUCAAAUUCAACGACUGGGUAAUUAACAUAGGUUGAAAAAAACGUACUCACAUUGAAACGAAGAUCAUUUAGAAGCUGCGCAAAGUAGUAAUCUAGAAAAUCAAAGAUGUCCUGCAUAGGAAAUAAGAGCAAGUCCACCCCUAAAAAAAUGCGCCAACACCCAGCUUAUUUAAUCCAUUCAAGCCGUGUUUGUUUCCCUUCACUAGCCCUCAUUGGGACUACGUAGAAGUUUUACCAGUCCCAUGUUGUUACUUCAUGGGACUAGCUUUUAGUGAGUAAGCCAAUCGUCUCGAACUAAGACCGUGCUGACGGCUAGCGAGAGGACGUCAUGCGGAACCAUGGGACUAGCUAAUCCCUUCGUCGCCUUUGCUUGUUCCCUUACUCUCAUCUGGCUGCCCUCGCGUUCUCUCCCUUCUUCUCUAUCACCAACCCUGAAUCUGAACAAAACUUAUUCGAAUUUUCAAUAGGAGAACUAGGGGCUCCGUCGGUUGCGCCCUUGCUUUCCAAGUGGCGAUCGUCUCCGGGGCUCCUUCCUCCUAGACUUCAAUUUCGACGACAAAGGACUUCAGGCUCCAUCCUCGCUUGGACCUUUUUCCAUUGCUACUCUGCUCCGGCUUUGCCCCUCACAUCCCUCUCCCUGCCUUCCCAUAACCAGAAAACCCAGAAAAGGGUAAGGGGAAAGAACAGUGGCACAGAUAAAAUGGUAGAGAAAAAGGAGAGGGGAGGAAUGCAGUGGGCGACAAAAAAAAACUGAGAGAGAGGUGAAAUGCCAGAGAAAGAAAAGAGGGAAGGAUUGCAGUGGCGGACAAAAAAAAUGAGAGGAAGAGAAAUGGCAGGGAAGAUAAAGGAUUGUAGUGGGCGGGACCACCAAAAUGAGAAUUUAGAAUAAAAUAUUAAUUUAUCCCGAUAUAGUAUAGAUUAAAUUAAUGAAAAAAUUGUGAUAUAAAUUUUAAUUAUAUAAUACAUGAGUCCUGCUUUUUAGUCCGACAUUGCACCAAACGUUUCACUAAAUCAGUCCAGCUUAGUCUAGUCUAAGCCAAUCCAGCUUAAUCCCUGAAGCUAGUCCAGUCCGAGACAGUCCGGUGCAACAAACGCACCCUCAGUGAAUAGUGAUGGACUCAAAUGAACAAUAAUAGGUCAAAUGCAUCUUCACCCCUAACAAAAAAUAGCCUAGUCAAUUUUAUUAAAAUAUUAUUAUUAUUUAUUAUAAAAUAAUAAUAAAAAAUAAUUUUACUUUUAAUUUCUGAUUUUAUAAAAAAAAUAUUAUUCAUUUUUUAUAUAAUUAAUAAUAUUUUUGGAGUCAAAUUUCGAUGCAGAGGAGGAGAAUAAUCAAACCCUUUAAAAGUAGAAACGCUGCAAAAACCUAAAGAAGCUCGACCCCAAGCCCACCGUCCUCGUCUCAGAGAAGCUUGGAGAACCCAAAAUCAAACUCCUUAAGCAGUUUGCUAAUGUCGACUGCUCCUACAAUCUCAGCCCCGAGAAGCUCUGCACCAAGAUCUAGCUCUGCGAUAAGGUCGCCAGUAGGUGUUCGAGUCCAAGGUCACCUGCAAGGUGUUCGUGUCACCGGCGGAAGGUUGAAGGUUGUGGGAAGAGCUGGCAUCGGCAUCAACAACAUGGAUGGCUCGGUUGACAUUAAAUGGCCUGGCUAUUGGGUCUGUCGAUUCUAGGUCGGUCUGUUGCCUAGCUUGGGCUGGGUGUCAGCCUAUUAGGCUGUGGUGGAGUGCUAGGUGUCGGGUAAUCCACUCCCAGUGGACUUACUCUAACAAAACUGAAAAAAAAUAAAACUUUAAAUUAUAAUUACAUUAAGCAAUGAAAAUAACUAAAGGGAAAUGGAUUCUGUUAUGUUGGAAGGAUUUGGGGGAAUCUGAUUUUGCGAGGACGAAUGAGGUAGUGGGGAUUUGGAAGGGAGGUUUUGGGGGAAAUUAAGUUUUAGGGAAAAAGAAGAAAUACAAUAAGAGUUGGGUUGAUGUAAGGAUAGGAAAGAGAGCUGGGGUGUGGGAGAACUGUGGUAGUGGUGGUUGAAACUUGAAAGUUGAAAGGGUUAUGGUUUAAUUCUUUUGUGGUGAAGCGGUGAGGAAUGGAAAGAGGUGGAGGAAGUUGGGAGUCCCACGUGUCACAUAAUUCAUCUCUAAUUGACAGCAAGACAAAUGGAUAAAGGACAAAAUUAGAAUAACAACAAAAUAAUCGGGAGUAAAACCAGAAAUCCAUUGUAGCUAAGCAACAUUGAUUUCCCCACCAGUUAGUGUGUGCGUGUAUAUAUAUGGGAGACGAUCAAGGGACAAAUAUUUUUACAAAUACUUCUACACUAUUUUUAAGCCUUUUGAUUACAUGACAUCUAAUAGUUCUUAUUUAUUCAUUCAAUGACAUGGAUGCUUAUGUGGAUUUUAACUAAUAUUAAAGAUAAAAAACACUAAAAAAAAACAUAAAAUCUGGAAAAUUAAAACUAAAAUUAAAAAAGGUAGAAUCCCUAGUUGUACGCAAUCCUCUGCCUCCCCCUAUGCAGAAAUCGCAACUAACCCCAUUGCUCAACCUCCAAGCAGAGAUCCAGUUCGGUUAGCAGAGACCCAUGUGCUCCAUAGUUAUCAAAUGUUCCAUUCACAAUCAACAACUUGAGAAUCUUAUGCCGUAAACAAAUAUGCAAUGAUUUAAUGAUUUGGUACAAACAAAGAACUAAUGGGAUUGAAAUUUUUCGACAGGUACCACGAAAAAAACUAGUUGUUACAAGUUCGUUCUAUAUGCAUUCACCAUGAAAGAUAUUUUUUUUUCCUUUUGAAAAUUUGAAGUUUAGUGCAAAGGUUCUUAAUUGAACGUAAACUAUGCAGGUGCAGUCCUUGGUUCAUUUUCACUUGUGCUGAUACUUAUCGGUCUCGAUCGUGUACAUACUUAUUGACCGAAUAGAAAAUGAGCGGCAAACCAUGAUCGAAGAAUUUUUGGAAAACUACAGAACUCUCAGGCCUACAAGGUACUCAUAUGCUGAUAUCAAACGGAUUACAAAUAAAUCUAGAGAAAAGUUGGGACAAGGAACAUUUGGAACAGUGUUCAAAUGAAAGCUCUCGAGUGAGAUCUUUGUUGUUGUAAGAUGCUCAACAAUUCCCAAGGAAAUGGAGAAGAGUUUAUCAAUGAAGUGUCAACAUUAGGUUGAAUCCACCAUAUUAACGUGGUUCACUUGGUUGGCUAUUGUGAUGGAUUUAGACGAGCCUUAGUUUAUGAAUUUGCACCAAAUGGUUCAUUGCAAAAACUCAUAUUGUCAGCAGACAGCAAGAACCAUUGUCUUGGUUAGGAGAAACUGCAACAUAUUACUCUCAGAAUAGCCAAAGGAAUUGAGUAAGUUCACCAUGGAUGUGACCAACGAAUCCUUCAUUUCAAUAUCAAACCUCACAAUGUACUAUUAGAUGACAACUUCAACCCAAAAAUCUCAUAUUCGGUCUUGCCAAGUUGUGCUCCAAGGAACACAGUGCCGUUUCCAAGACAUGAAGUUGCAAAACCACAUUAGCAAAGGGGGAGACGGAGGUUUCCAGUGCCACACCCAGGCCAACCCUAUGAUGGGCCCAAGUCCUCCGUGCCUUUUUUUAAGGCCCAACACUAGUAGCUUUACUGCUGGUUUUUUGUUUCCAACCUGGCCCAUGGCUUGCAGCCCACCCCCAAGCUUUUUGCUCAAGGCACCCAACCCAAAUUUUUUUGGGCUAUGGUAUUUCUUUACCCAACGCUAUUAUUUAGCAUUUUAAAUAAUUUUAACCUGAAUUUUAUUAUUAUUUUUGUUUCUACGAUCAACCUCGUUUGGUCUCAAUCUAUUGAAGUAAUUAAAAGUGACUUGCAGUCCAUUAAUCUGAUAAUGAAUCCAAAAUUAUUGACCUGAUGAUCACUUUUGGACAUUAGCGAUUCAAUAAUUUAUUUUUAUACUUUGAACUGUUGACAUACUUUCGUAGUAACGUAACUUUCACACUUGAGUUCCCGAAGAACCUCAAAUCCACUACACUUAAAUCAGCAUAUUGCAUUUUGUGUUCUUGCAAGAACCUCUCUUUUAUAAACUAAAUGUUCAUAAACUAAAUUGCACAUGUAGUUUCAAAUUUAGUGCAUUUGAAACCCGAAGUUUUCUUAAAACAAUACACCCUGAAAACCCGACAUUUUUCAUGAAAACCAUGUCUUAGAACUCGAAUGUUCUAACUUUGAUGCUUAUGGAUGAUUCAUUCCCAUAGUACCAAUCACAAUCUUGUUCCCUCCAUUCAGUGGAUUGUUGAACCAUAACAAGUUCAAGUUUUCUGAUUUGGAUGUUUCUAAUAUAAACCAUUUUAUGUGGGGUACAAGACGUGAAUCUCCACUUGACCAUCAAGAAGCUGAGAAACCAUUGAAGCCAACAAUGGUAGCACCGAAUAAGCUUUUGCCAUGAUCUUUAUUCGAAGACUUAUGCCCGAAGCAUUGCAAACGGAAAUACCUCCCGAACAAGGAUUCCAUGGCUCUUUGGCUCGCUCAUUCAGACCAUCUAAUCAUGAAAGACAUUACCUAAAGUACAUCAUGAUUACGUCAAUGAACGAGUAUGAUUCUGAAGUUUAUAAAUCUGAUCGAAUUUUGACUAGAUAAUACUUUUCUCGUCCUUCCUUGCUUCUAGCUCUUUCUUGAAGCAACAAGUGUAGAAAAUGGAAGUUUACCAAAUUCUCGGAUCUAAUUACUACCAUAAAUGUGAGAGAAUGGUAUAGACCCGACUAGAGUAUACCAUAUGGCUCAACUCAGCUCGAUCAAAGCCUGCCGAAUGGUGAUGCCCUACUUUAGUAGGGAUGCAUCGAAUGGCAUACUCUACUUCGGCAAAGGCCUUCCGAACAGACCCUUCCAACUUCGGUUGAAGCCUACCACAUCCAAUUAUGGGUCUAUCUUUCUCACAAUCUAAUUUCGAGUUUAUUUUUACAACAUAUGGUAGAAUCAGGGCCAGCCAAGGUGUGGCAUCAUACCCGAAGCAUGAUUUUUAGCACUUAAGACCUAAAACUUCAAGAAUAAAGGAUAAUAUUCCCAAACCUUAACCCUGCAGAAUCUAAUUUUGUCUUGAUGGAAUUAAUCAUUGGUUAUGCACCUGUUUGGGCCCCUACCAAUGUUGUUGAGGAGUACCAUUCUAGUAGUCAAUAUGUGAGACUAAUUUUGCUCUACCACACAUCGUUGGAAGAGAAGAAUUUUGACAUGGAUGGCCUUGUUGGCCGAAUCCCCUUAGUAAACCAUUUACUUUGUGAACAUUUUUUAUGUUCUUGGAUUCACAUUUGGUGUUUGUUUUACUUAUGGAUAAUCUUAUUGAUAUUUUCCUCAAAUAUGAGUUAAUUGAAUCAUGUAUCUUAAUACAUGUGACCCAAUUCAAUUAAACACGUGAUUAGGUAGGAAUGUGGGAAAGUUAGUUGUCUGGAUGAAUGCAAUACUACACACACUAACUUUACACCUAAAUCACAUCUUUGACAACGACUUCAAAUCUAUCCAACCUGAUUAAGAGCAUUGGCACGCUCCUUGUUGUAUGAAUGGUACUGAAUUACCAUUUAAGGGACCUUCAAUUCUCCAUGUCGUUGAGUUUCUUAGGGUAUUCGAGAAAAUAAUGAUCAUCAAUGAAACCACUGAAGAAAAUAAAGUGAAAUAUCUUUGCACCACCUCAAAAAAUGAGCCUGAAGCUUUGAUUUAGGGCCAAUGGGUUGUCUCCCAACUUGAAACACACCAUAUGUGGCCGGCCUGGAGCCAGGUGAUUCAAGUAGUUUACUUGUUUUGGCACGACCUUUUGGGACACUUAGGUCAAACAAUGAUGCUACGACGCAUCUCCUUACCCGAAGUAAAGAUCUUGUGCCUACAAGCACACUUUGCCAAAACCCGCUCGUUUUGGGAAAUUUGAUUUCUAAAUCAUCCUUAACAAAGAUACGAAAUGACUCUCUUUUCACAGUGGAUUCAAGGCAAUAUAUGUGGACUAAUCCAACCAAAAUGUGGACCAUAUAAAUACUUAUGGUUUUGAUUAAUGAAUCGACAAACUGGUCACAUGUUUGUCCACACACAUUGCUGCUAAACAUCCUGGUCGAUUAAGGGUUCACCACCCUACUUAUCCCUUAAAGUCCGGGAGAUUGGAUAAUGCCUGAGAGUUUAUAUCGACGAUUUUCGAUAAAGUAUUGCAUGUAUUUUGGGUUUAUAAUUGAUCAUCGAAUUCCCAUGCCCAAAUAGCCUCACCUAGUGAUCAUAAAGCGCAAUUUAAAUGAUCGCCCAGAUUUUGGUGAACGUACCAAGUUUUCAGUUUCUGCCUAGGGUUAUGCAAUCUUGUACAUAGUUAUGUUGGUCCACUUUGAGGCUCAUUGCUACCCAACCUAUUUGGCGUUACAGUUGGUUACUGGAUACGAACCUGACAUUUCGUAUUUACUUAUUUUGGGUGUGCACUCCAUGUGCCAAGUUGCGCUACCGUAAUGUACCAACAUGGGUCCUCAAUGAAAGAUGUGAAUCUUUGUUGAUUAUGAUUCUCCUUCACACAAGCUCUCUUAGAGCCCUUGCGUGCGAUCUAUUUAUCGCAAAGUUAAGGGUACACUAGCUCUCUUAGAGCCCUUGCAUGUGAUCUCUUUAUCGCAAAGUUAAGGGUUGUCACUUCAAUGAAACAGUCUUCUCGCCAUUAGAGGGAGAUAAGAAUGACGCGAAUUUACGUGGACGUUGCCCCCUAUGUCUCAUCUUGAUCCCCAUACCACAUAAGUGUGAUAAGCAAGUGCGAUGAAUUCUAGCUUUCAAAAUGUUGCUCCAAACGCAUUCCUCUAAUCUAGCUGAAAUGAUGAGAUCAUAUACCAGUCGCAAACAUGCCUGCAAGGAUAGACAUAUUUAAUGGACGUCGAGUCAACAUCCUUGGAGAGUGUGCCACCCCUGUUGGAAGGUUUAGACACCUCUGUUGGAUGGUCUGGUACAUCGACGGAUAGCCAAUCAAUCUGUCCUGGCCUGAAACACGGCAAAUCACUCAGUUUGGAGGAUUCAUUUCCCUUGAAAAGGAAGACACGACAGAACAAUGAAUCCAUACUUGAUCCUAUCUCAAAUCAUUUUCAUCUCGUGAGAUUAAUCCGAAUUACUCCCGAGAUUUGAAGUUCUUGGUCUAGUAUACUAGUUGGGAUGAGAAAAUUGAAUUGAAAUGAGAUUACCAUCGAUGAUGUUUUCACUUAUAUGGUAGCUACCGACAUAAAUGAAAAACGACGAUAUUGAACCAUGUUCCGUUGAUUAAAUGACAACAUAGAACUGAUUAGACAAUCGAAAUUACAAUCCAGGUCAAAUUCCUCACCAAAGUCUGUUUGGACCUAUCAUUUCUACACUGCCCAAGGUAACCUUGUUGUGUUACAAGUGGGAAAGGAAAUGUAUUGAGAUGAAUGAAGUAGUGCGAUAUGAUGCACGCCUUAUGGCGCAAGGUUUUUCUCAAACGUCAUGUGAUUAACUGCAGCAUUAUGAAAUGUGGUUAGUGUUUCUCCAUGAGGAUAUGGAUAUGGAGAUUUACAUGUAAGUUCCUGAAGAAUUACAUAGACUGGUUCAAAUAAGUUCCAAAUCAUGGAACACCCUCUUAACUCUUUUGAGGCGUUCACUUAUAGAUUGAAUAAAUCCGAUGGAUGUGGUAUACCCGUCUAAGUGAUUAUUUGAUCAAUCAAGGAUGAAUUAUACCCUUGCAUGUUAAACUAUGAAGUCUUAUUCCAAAUUGCUAAAUUUACUGUUUAUGUUGUUAACACGAAUCUCACUAAGACUCUAGAAGAGCUUAAGAAAACCGCAUUGCACCUAAAUAUGGAAUUUAAGAUGAAGGAUCUUAGGACAACUCGUUUAUGCCUUAACCUGAAGUUCAAGCAUUGUUCUGACGGUAUUGGUCUAGCAGUCGAACUACGCCCUAAAGGUGUUACCUUUGAGUAUACCUAUGAUCGUCCAUAAGUUAUAUGCAAAUGAGACCCUUGAAGAGGUUAUGGAAUAUGAAAUUCCAUAUCUAAGUUCAACUUUACGCUUCGUUGUACUUAGCUCAUUGUAUUAGACAUGACAUCUCCUUCACUGCUGAUUUGUUGGCAAAGAUGCAACAUUGCGCCUACACGCAACCACUGAAUUGGUAUUAAAGACAUACCCUUAAGGUACUACGAUGGAAAAUCCCAAUGCAUCUCGAGGGAUCUAACCCCCUGAUCCUUGGAAUGAUGCCUGCCUUGUUUGUUAUGCUAACGCUGGUUACUUAUCAAACCCGCACAAGGCAAAAUCCUCAAAUGGUUAUGUCUUUACUGUUAAAGAUAUUGCAAUAUCUUGGAGGUCCACGAUAUGACCUUAGUUGAUAUUCGAAUCUGUCCAAGACUCACGUCACUUCACUACGCCACAAGUAGACAUGGUUAGAAGUUCUUGUUGGGCAUAUUCGAAGUACUUGCUGUGUUUUUCAUCCAUCGUUGAGUCCCAAAAACGAUCCAUGAAGACGAUGUCGCAUGUAUCAACCCGACCAAGCCAUGAUACAUCAACAAAGUCAACACCAAUACAUAUUGCAUCCACAUCUACAUCAACAAAACAUCAAAAGACUAAAGUCAUGCAAACUGAACCCAGACAACCUUGCGACUUCUACACGACAUCACUACCAAAGUUAACCUUCCAGAAGCUUGUCCGAGGAAUUGGUAUGCCUAACUAUCAUAUGCAAUGCUUGUAGUUCUCAUUUGGAAAUUCUGUCAAACUUAAGGGGAGUAUCCGGAAGUAUACUCAUGUGAUCUUAAUGUACAUUUUUUUCCUAAGAUUAUGAGCAUUUUUCCCACUAGAUUUUUGCUACCUAACUAGGUUUUAACGAGGCACCCAUCCUGGGCUGAUCAUACCCUUAUGAGCUCUUCUACUUGCGUCAAGAAGACGUAUAGUUUUGACUUAAUGCAAAUUCUCACUUUUCUCUUUAGCCUUUGGGUUUUCUCCCACCUUGGGUUUUACCAUAGCAAGAUUUUGUGAGUUUUACCUUUUUAUGCAUUCUUCCGUUAAUCUAAGACUCGCAUUCACUCAUUGUGCCGACGACUUUAUCAACCAAUCUACUUCAUUGCUGAAGACCUGAUGCACCAUUUUUUUUUAGUAUUGACACACUCAAGGGGAAGUAUUGCAGUCAUAUUAGAUUAGGAAUGUGAUUUUGUAAAUCCUAACAUAUCUAGAGAUAUCUUUUAUAUUCCCUUUAGUAGUUAAAUUCCUAUUAGAGUUGUAAUCCUAAGUAAUUAACCUUCCCUACUACUAUAAAUAAAUGCACAAUGGGGUGGAAUAACACACACCUCACAAUUACACAUCUCUAUCUUCUCUCUAUGUGUCGCAUCCCUCUCUCUCUAUGGCCUCCAUAACUGUUCAGUAAAUUAUGCCUACAACAAAUAUUGCCCUUUGUUUCCUUCACAUUCAAAAAUAAAAAAAAACUCAGCCACUUAAUAUUACGGUCUAGCGGUAUUCCUCUUCAUUUGUAAGUAAGAGAUAUUAGGUUCGACUCUUGUCAAAGAUGAAUUUGAACUACAUUAUUAUUAGCCUAUUAUGAGGCUUAGCCCACCCCUUCCCUUUAGUGUAGAUAAUAUUAGUUGUUCCAAAAAUAAAAAUAAAAAUUCAGAAAAUCAAAACAGUAUGGCAAAACCUACAUGACAAACACAUCAGAAAAAAAAAAGGUACAAAAAAAGAGUAAUGCUAUAUUUUGCCCCAACAGGAUCCUCUCCGGAUCCUUUUGGAGAGGAUCUUGGGGAUCCAUAAAUCGUGUCCAUUCAUCGUAUAUCGUGGGUCAGUUUUUAUCGGGUACUAUUUGUGUUUAAUUUUAAAUAAAAAUAUUUAUAAUGAUUUCUGACCGCAUGAUGUACGAUGAACGGACACGAUUCACAGAUCUCCAGGAUCCUCACAAAGAAGAUCCAGAUUCAUAUUUACCAUCUAUUUGUACCAUCUCUCUAAUAAAGGUAAGACCCACCAACACAUGUGGGCCACAUCUCUAUUAGAUAGAGAUGUUACAAAUGAUACAUGAAACCAAAAUUUUGUACCAUCUUUCUUGAUUUUCCAUAUCUCUGUUGUCUAGGGAUUUUAGCCGUUAUCUUCCGAAUUUUAUGCACAUUGCUAUUGUAAUGACAUAUUUUCAAUUUACAAGAUAUGGUGUGUCAAUGUCACAUGAAUGUUUUGAAAAAGAAAAAAUAUGACACAUGCAAGCAUUCGUUCCGAGUCAACAAUAAGGGGAAGAGAUCCAUUCUAUUGAUUCUCCAUCCUAUGUAAUGAGAACUCCCCUUGCUUUCCUUAAAAGUGUAACUAGCAAAAAAUAGUUUGACUACUGUGAACUACGUCAAAACUUUAUUUCCAAUUGCAGAUAACCUCAGAAAAUUCUCCUUUGCUUAUGUUUGUUCUUGGUUCUCACACGUGUGCGUCUAUUUGUGUGCAUGAAUUUGCAGUCUUGUGAAUUGAUCAUCUGGUUCAAUAGGAAAUUCAUCAUUGGUGGAGAUGAAGAAGAUUCAUCAUCUGGUUCAACAAGAAAUUCGUCCCAUCUACACUCCUUGUGAAUCUGUUCAUGGGUUGGGGGUUCUUGUAGCCACUAAUUUCAUCCUUGUAGCGUUUUUAUCUUGACGAGCCUUUGCUUCAUAUGGCUCCUUUUCCUCCGCUGCAAAAUGGAAAACAUGACAUUAAUUAAGUUAUAAUUCGCAGAAAUUCGUCAUGUUGUGGAAGCACACAAGAUGUAAUUUAGUAGAAUCACACAUACCAGACAUCUUUUUCCAUUUCUCUCCAAGUACUCUCCCCACAUCAGUAAACGCAAUUCCAUGGUUCUCUCUCUUUACAUUCUGCGGUCAACACAAAUUAGGUCAAUAAUUUUCUUCGAAACAUCAAUACUAACUUGAACCAAAAGUUAGAACCAAUAGAUAGAAAUUAAAAAACCCACAUCUCUCUCCAUAUUUGAGAAGAACAUGAAACCAAACAUUGCUCUUCUCGGUACAUUUGGAUCCUUUUUCUUCUUCUGUUUUUUCUUCUUUGAACCAUCUUCACCAUGAAACAUCAUAAAAAAAAAGAGAAGAAUAAUUCAUGAGAUACUUGUUAGGAAUUGCCUCGUCAACGUCAGUGUUCUAUUUUGUUUAGGAUUGUAUUAGAAAAGCAAAGGUGCGCAAAUUCUUGCCCUAAAAGGAUUGGGAAAGAAUUAAGUUUUCUUGUACAAUUAGAUUAGGAAUCCUAGAGACACAAUUGGAAUAGGAAAGAAAGUGUACUUUCCUAUCCAAUAUAGAAUAGGAAACCUAAUCAGAAAAUAGGCAUGUAAACUGCACCCUAUACUUAUAAAUAGAGUGCGACAAGGGUUGAAAAGCUAGAGAGAAAAAUAGAGACAACCAAGAGGAAAGAGAGUUUAGUUCUAGGGUUUGCAAAAGUACUGUGUGCUAUAUUAUUAAUCAAAGAAGCCGUCAUUUCUCUACAGAGAUAGAGAAAUCACAAUUGACUAUAGACAAAGUUAUGUCAAGUCAAUAUAAAUCUUAGGUGUUUCUAGUUAUCCUAUAUUUGCUAAAUUUAUUCUAUCGUCUGAUACAUUAAAGAGAAAAGCAAUACUUUGAGGGAUGUAGGAAGACUGUUCUUCUUUUCUUUGGGAGAGGAAAACUGUUCCUGUCUGAUGAACGUGAAAAGAAAUCACAUGGAGUUGCAUUUAAGCAAACUACCACAGUUGUUGAGAAUACAUGAUUUACCUUGCCCUUUCCUAUUCUACAGGAAAUCACUAUAUCGAGAUGUCCAGCACGCAACAAGCUACAAUUCUGGCAGUGCUCAAACAAGUAAUCUCAUCAUCGAAAGAGACUCAAAUUGGUGGAAUGGCUUAGUUUGGGAAGACGAAGCUGCUCGAAAUGUUUUUCUUCCUUGUUUCAGACCCUUUAAACGAGGACUGAGGAGGGAUGGUUGGGGACCAGUUUGGAUACGUCUUUUAUUCUCACUUUCUUCCAUUUAGUUAGUUUUUCUUUUCAUGCACUUCGUCUUGUAGUUUCAUUCUGUAGCCUGCUGUAAGUUCAAAGGACAUAGCCAGCCUUGAACUUUGGGGUCGGCUGUGACCUUGUGGGAGGGGGUAGGUUGGGUUGGGGUGGAUAGAUGCACCACGUGUUAUGAUACGAGUUGAGAAAAGUUUUUUCCAAGUGUCCUUCACUUGAAAAUAGAAUUAAGGAUAUGUUGACUCAAAGCAGAACUGUAGAAGUAUAAGAGCUGAAACAGAUGCUAGACUAAUUUCUAUAGUUUUUUUCUUUUACCACGAUGCAAAAAAUUCAAACAUAUGAGGAACUUUCAAUUCGCAAAAUGACUACAAAAAAGAGAGAGCAGUAUCACAACACCUCACUUCAUUACGCCACAAGUGAGACAUGGUUAGGAGUUCUUAUUGAGCAUGUUUGAAGUACUUGCAGUGUUUUCAUCCAUCGUUGAGUCCCAACGACGAUUCAUGAAAAGUAUGCCGCAUGUUUCCACCCGACCAAGACAUGGUACAUCAACAAAGUCAACGCCAAGACAUAUUGCGUCUACUUAUACAUCAUCAAAGCAUCAGGAUAUUGAAGUCAUGCAAGCCAAUCCCAGACAACCUUGCCGACCUUUAUACGACGUCAAUGUCGAAGUCAACCUUCCAGAAGCUUGUCCGAGGAAUUGGUAUGUCUAACUAUCAUAUGCAAUGCCUGUAGUUCUCAUUUGGAAGUUAUGUCAAACUCAGGGGGAGUAUCUAGAAGUAUACUCACUUAAUCUUAAUGUACUCUUUUUCCCUACGAUUAUGAGCAUUUUUCCCACUGGGUUUUUUCUACCUAACUAGAUUUUAACGAGGCACCUAUCCUGGGCUGAUCAUACCCUUGUGAGCUCUUCUACUUGCGCCCAAAAGACGUAUAGUUUUGACUUAAUGCAACUUCUCACUUUUCUCCUUAGUCUAUGGGUUUUCUCCCACAUUGGGUUUUACCAUAGCGAGGUUUUGUGAGUUUUACUUUUUAUGCAUUCUUCUGUUGAUUUGAGACUCGCAUUCGCUCAUUGUGCCGACGACUUCAUCAAAUGUACUUACUUCAUCGCUGAAGACCUGAUGCGCCAUUCACUUGAGUAUUUACACACUCAAGGGGGAAUGUUGUAGUCCUAUUAGAUUAGGAAUGUGAUUGUGUAAAUCCUAGUGUAUCUAGGGAUAUCUUUUAUAUUCCCUUUAGUAGUCUAAUUCCUAUUAAAGUUGUAAUCCUAAAAGGGUAAGGAUUUUACCUAUCCUACUAUUAUAAAUAAAGGCACAAUAGAGUGGAAUAUAACACACCCACAAUUACACAUCUAUCUCUUCUCCCUCUAUGAUGCACCCUCUCUCUCUUUCUGACCUCCAUAAUUAUUCAGUAAAUUAUGCCUACGACAAUUUUCAUUUUACUCAUUUUACUAUCUUCAAGUUUUGCAGAAAUCACACUGUUCUAUAGUGACUUUUUUUGUCUCACUUUCAUAACUGAAGUUUGAUUUUUCUUUCACUUUCAUCACUGAAGUUUGAUUUUUCUUUCACUUUCAUACUUCCGUUAGUUUUUUUGUCAAGUGUUCUGAUAAUUGAUGAUGUGGUAUAGCUUUACCUACCAUUUAUUCCACCGUGGCUAAUCAAGUUCCCUCUCUGCCAGAAUUUUCUCAAGUCACUCAUGUGCCCUUUCUUCUCUUCUUAAUGAAGCAGAUCACCUACAUACAAAGAAAGAAAACUAAAAUCGAAUUUUUUAUAUAUGUUGGUGAUCUACUUCAUUGGUGGGAACUAAAAUAUCCUCUCGACUUCCUUUCAUUACAUAUUUUUAGGGGUAAAUUACAUAGUAGCCUCUUAGGUUUGAGGUUUAUUACAACCUCAUACAACAUCUUUAAAAUAUUUCACUUUCAUACCUCACGUACUACUUUAUUUCAAAAUAAUACCUCCGUUACAUUUUCCAUCCAUUAAUCCGUUAAGCGCUGACUUGGCUGCCACAUUUGUGCCAUAUGGCUGCCAAAUGUGUGCCAUGUGGCAAAAAAACAAUUUUUUAUUUUUUUUUAAACCUGAAUCUUCUAAAUAAAUAUUAAAAGAAAAACAAAAACAAAAGCUAAAACAUCUCCACGCAACCCCCACUUCGUCUUCCUUCCCUCCAUCCCCCACCCACCUACAACCCAGAAGAAGAAGAAGAAGAAGAAGAAGAAGGAAAAAAAAACCCAUCUUCAUCUUCCCCGACCCCCUUUCCUUGCAACCCACCCCUUUCUUCCCCCUCCCAUCUUCCCCAAACCCACCGCACCCAUCCUCCGCACCCAUCUUCGCACCUACCCUCCGCACUUACCCUCUUCCCUCAUUUACACACUCCACUCCUUAAAUCCACACCCAUUGGGGAAAACGGGAUCUGGGUUGCAAGGAAAGGGAGAUGGGUUUUUUUUUUUUUUCUUUUCUAGGUUGCAGGUAGUGGGUGCAGAGGAGAAGGUGGAGGAUGGGUGCACAGUGGGUUUGGGGAAGACUAGAGGGAGAAGAAAAUGGUGGGUUGCAGGGAAGAGGAGUUAGGUGGGGGAAUUUUUUUUUUUUUUUUCUAGGUUGCAAGUUGGGCUCGGUAGUAGAGAGGGAGAUGGGAAGAUGGGUGCGUAGAGGAGGUGGAGUAUGGGUGUGGAGGAGGAUGUGGAGGAUGGAUGGGAGUGGUUUUGGAUUUGGGUUGCAAGGAGGGACGACGGAUGGGGAAGAUUAUAAAGGGGAUGGGGUUUCGGCAAGGUGAUAGGAUCUGGGUUUUCUACGUUUUCUAAGUUUUUUUUAUUUUUUUUAUUUUUUUAUUUUAUUUUUUGUUGUUAAAGAUUUAGGUUUUUUCUAAAAAAAAUAAAAAUAAAAAAUUUGCCACGUGGCACACAUUUGGCAGCCACGUCAAUGCUUAAUGGAUCAAUAGAUAGAAAAUGUAACGGAUGUAUUAUUUUGAAAUAAAAUAGUACUUGAGGUCUAAAAUGAAAUGAUUUAAAGAUAUUGUAUGGAGUUGUAAUAGACCUCAAACUUGAGGGGCUACUAUGUAAUUUACCCUAUUUUUAGUUGGUGUAAUUCAUUGGUGCCCUUUUCCCCUCUCAAAGUCGAGGAUAUUUUUCUAAUCUUUUGAAUCCAUAUUUCUUUAGAUUUUAAAGUUAUCAAAGACUUAUUGUGAAUUGCAUUUCUUUUCUUCUACUAGAUUUUGGCUUAGAAUCUCUUAGUAGAGUAAUAUAUGUGAGUUUAUAUUACUAGACUUAGUAUGGGUGGACUACUAGGUUAGAGUUUGAGCGCCGAACACUUGAAAGAAACAAAAUUGCAACAGAAUAUUUUUUUGGCAAUUAGUUGGAAUAAUCUACAUUUGGUUGCAUAAAUGAUAAAGUUUUAAUAAUGACGACAUAUUAAUUAUCUAUAGACAACAUAACAAUAACAUAACGAUAUCUUUUUAUUGCUCUAUCCAAAUGUCAAAAAAGGGUAUUUUUGUAUUUUCACAGAGUUUGGGGGAUAUUUUCCUUUGUAAAAUGGUUUUAGGGUCUUAAAUAGUGUGCCCAAGGGGCCCGCCCCUGUUUUGUGUCCCCGGUUUCCCCUUCCUCGUGGACUCAUCUCUCUCCCUCACUUUUGUCUCUUCUAUCUCUCCCCCGAAACUCUCUCCCUUCUCUACGAUGUCCCCCUCCUCUUUGAAAAUAACACACACACGUUUACAGACAUACACACAGGCAGCCUUCACCACUUUCACACCAUCACCAUCACUCGAAUCCUCUCUUCUCUCCCGCGCCCUUCCAAGCUCACCUUCACUCUUUUUGGCAUUGUGCACAGCCACAGUGCACGUGAUCUCCGACAAGGUAAAUUGAAAACACCCUUCGAUCUUCCUUCCUAGUGGUCUAGAAGGCUUAAUGGUUGUUAAAAUAUGGUUUUUGGUUUUUGGUGAAAACACCUUUCGAUCUUCUUUCCCCAAUUUUCCAACGAGCACCGCCCCUUUAGAGGUAAUUUCCGGUAAAACCACACCGAGUUGGCCAGCGUGCAGGGUAUCAAUCUUUUCAUCUCGUUGAGUACUAUAACUUUCAUGUUUGGAUCACUUGAUUUCGAUAAGUAACGAAUAAGUUAUGAGCCUUGGAAAAUCAACCACCAAACCGGCCAAAGGGUGGCCAAAAAACCACCCUCAACCCAGGCCUUUGGGCCAGGUUACCCAACCCAUUUACCCAAGCCCAAGUCUGAAAUCCAAACCCAAGCCUUUGGGCCAGAUCACUAAGCCCAAACCCUUUAAGACCCAACCCAGUUUCCUUUUAUUUAAUUUUUGUUUAUUUUUAUUUUCAAACCCAAAACUCUUUUGGUUGGGCCGGGCCUUAAGCCCACAUCCCUAAACCUAUUAACCAUAUACCCUUAGGGCCCAAUCUGUCCAACCCUAACCCUAAACCAGGUUUGACCCGACCCGUUGACUUUGACUUUGACCAGUCAACGGCCAACGUUGACUUUAGGGUUGACUUUUUGGGUUUUAGUCCAGGACCCCUUCUAGGCUAAUUUCGACGUCCUGAACUCGUUUAUGAAAUCAAUUUUUCAAAAUCCAAUCGUUUGAGUAGAGUUUGACAAAAUGUACCAUUUAUGUGAUUAGGGGCAAUUAUUGUGGCGUCUGUCUCCGGUAGUUUACACUGCUUUUCGACGGCGAAGUACUGUGAGUGGACCCUUUUUAAAAAUGCAUGUUUUAAAAGUAGAAAUGAAUACAUGAAAAGCAUGAUUUGAUGAUUACGUUUUAUGAAAUGUUUUGUGAGAUAACAUGCUAACUGAGGCUAGAUUGAAUUACUACUAUUUUAUUAUAACCCGUAUUCUUAUAGAAUAUCUGAUGGAUGAUGAUAUGAUAUUUAGAACAUGUUUCGAAUACCUCUUUAUAGUAUAGAUGAUGGAUGACUUUAUACUAUGAAGUUGCUUUUCAAUAUAUAUAUGUUCAAUGGUUUUGUACUUACCUAGUGGUCCUUUCAGCUACAGGACGUGGGGAUAGAUUCCAGUUCGUCCCGGGCGACGGUUUGGUGUUGGCAUAAGGCCUGGAGUGUGUUUUCUCUAGCUAUUAGCAUAGGGACGGGGAGCUGGCAUGAGGCCUGAAGUGUAUUUUCCUCUAACUGUCUGCUCAGAGACGAGGAGUCGGCAUGGGGCCUGGGGGUUAUCAGACAUUCACUAGUGAUUAUUAUAUAUACAAGUUAUGAUUUGAGACAUUGCAUGGUAUGCUAGGUUUCGAAAAACCUAUGUUUAUCAUUAUAUAUGUGUUUUCAUAAAACCUGGGAGUUAGUACGUUGAUAAUUGUUUUACUAUAUAUAUAUAUAUAUCAACUUGGUCUACUUAUGUUUGUUUUGCGCCCUUUUUAGGACUUAGAAUCGAGGCAUACAAUCUCGGCAUCCAGGCACUUCCGCAUCAGCAUCUUUGAGUCCUCUCGGUGUAGGACCCACUCCUUUGUUCAUUUAAUUUUAUAUUAUUUCCUUUAGUGUUCUAGUUAGUUGUAUAGUCUGAACACAUUCUUUAAAUGCAUAUUCAUUAUUCUUUUAUAUUUCUAAGUCUUAUCUAUCCCUUAUUUUCAGUUUUUGCACUCAAUAAAUUGUUUUCGUCACCCUCGGGUGUCAACCAGGACGUGCCUAUCCUAGUAUUAGGGGAAUAUUAGAUCGGGGCGUGUCAGAUUGGUAUCAAAGUGUGGUUUAUUCAGAGCAUACUUAGGAUUAUCUUUUAUUCUCGUAAUGUGUCGAUUUUGACAUCGUUUGGAUGUCAGGACUUCUGGAUUUGGUGCCAUUCGACGCAGUUGUGUGAACCUUUCUCUAUUUGAAUUGUCACAUUCUGGUUGAAAUACAAGAAUUUGUGUCAGGAUUGUGCCUCAGUAGUGAUGAAGUGGAUUGUCGGACGACUUUCAACAUCAGAUCGAUGCUCCGCAACAUGUGUUCCCUAGGAAUUGCGGGUGGAGUCAGAUCUACAUAUGAGCGUUGGGAAAACAGAAAAACCUAAGUGGUUUGAAUUUGGAAGAUCUGAAGUGGUGUGGUACUCUGUGACAUGCACUCCCUAGGAAUGGCAAGCAGAGUUGUAUCUCUUUGGAAAUUACUCGAAACUUUUAAAAUGUGUACUGAGGAAGCUAGUAAGUGCUAGUUGUUACGAAGCUUAGUAAGUUGUAGUUAGUGGGAUCAAAUCAACAUUCUCAGACUCAUUACCACUGAAGAAAUUCAUGUGGAUCUUUAGAACAAAUUCUCGGCGAUUGUCCUAUUGAUAACCUUCUUGCUUACCCCAACGACGAAGUCAAGUUCCUUAACCUUUGACCGUUAGCUUCACACCAAAUCCUUCGAGUGUUGACUUCGUUUACAUUAAUUACUUUUCUUGGGAAACUCCUCAGUAGCAGACAAUAUUCUCAUCAAUUUUCCAAAAGGGGUUACGAUUCUUAUUGUUGUUGUAGUUGGACUUGGAUGAUGAAGAUCUAGUCUUGUUUGGAUAAACAAACUUCUUGAAUUUCACCUGGGUCUCGUACUCGACGGUAAACCCUAGCUCAUUGUCCACAUACAUUUUGGUAUAGGUGAAUUUAGCCUCUUACUUGUAGCCCAACUGACCAAUGCUCUUGUCCAUUAAUUGUUCAACCUUGUAAAUUUUCAGUGUAAUGGCUUGAGAUUCCACCAUAUUCAUCAUUACAUGAAGAUCAAGCUUUACUUUGAACUUCUCUGGACUCAUUGAGCUUUGGUUUGCUCAAGGACAUCACCUUAAGAUAGCCAAUCAUGCCACUACAUGCACUUAAGAUAGCCAAUCAUGCAACUACAUGCAUAUACAAGUUGUUUUGUAUCUUUCUAAUUCGUUAUUCUGUUGAUUCAGAGGUUAUAUGUUUUUGAACUUUGAAUCAGCUCUCACAAAGUAUUGGGAAUUAAGAAAUGUCUUUGGCCUCGUCAAAUCUUAUUAACAGUUCUUAACUAUUCUUGAGCUUAUACAUGUUUUCUUUUGGCUAAGAAAAUAGUCGGUCUUACUGUGAUGAUUAACCAAAUAAUCAUAGACAGUGACUCUUAUUUCUACAUCUUCACCUUCCUUCACUUGUUUAUUUCUCAAUGUAAACUGGAUCAUGCUGAAACAAUACACCGGGAAAAAAAAUGUUUGUUCUCAGCAUGGUUUCUAGUUCAAAUCCUAAUAUCUUGUACUCUAUAUUCUAAUGGACUUGUUUUGACCUUAAAAUUCCUAAGUGUUCUUUCAGCCUUCUCGACAUGGUUUUUCACUCAAUCAGUGAGGAAUUCACGAUCGAUCGAUUUGACGGAAGUAAGCGCCCAAUUCUUUUCAAUUUGGACAGGAUGUUAGGAGCAUAAUCUUUUCACAAGCUUACUAGACUUACUAGAAACAGUGCCAUGUAGGUGUGAAGUUAAGUCGUCUUUUGGUAAGAGAUUGAUGAAGAUUGUAGUGCAAGUGAUCAUCUGAUUGCAUCAUUAUCUUCAUGUUGAAUUGAAUAGUCACCACUCAUUAUCUUGCUACAAUUCAUAACCAUCAUAUCGUACUCUGGUAGACCUUUUCGAUGAUGUUAUAUGUUCCCCUUAACGUAGCUUUCCACUACCUCGCACCAGGAUCCAUCGGUUCGCGAGCACAUGGGCGUGAGGUUUGAGUUGUCUUUUAUAUAAAAGGUCAGCAGAUUGUAUCUCCAUCUUACUAUAAUUCAUAAGCAUCACAUCGGUUCUUUUCCAACGUUAUAUGUUUGUCUCAACGCAUCAUUUCACUGCUUCACUCCAGGACUCUUUUUUUUUUAUGAGUACGUGGUUGUCGAACACUCUGGGAUAGCAUUACAGCAUGGUCGAGGCGAGUAUCGGAUAAUCUUUACACUUCUCUCAAAAGGUGUGUACUCUCUUUUAUUUUUAGGUUAAUCACUUGAGAGUCCUUCAUCUUUCCAUAAACAUUGACCUUGGUUGACUAGAAAUCUACAACUAAGCAAAAAUGGAGAGGUGGAUUGAGCACUACAACAGUUCCCAAGAGAUACUGCUUGUUGAAGAAGGUGACUUAUCGUUUUCUGCUUGCUUGGCUCGAGUUUUUGGGUCUACUACUAACAUGGUAGCCACUUCUUUUAAAUCCCAAAAUACAGUUUUCAAAAGGGUUCUUUACUGGUGAAACACUGGAGUAGUUGGUCACAUUUGGAAGAACUGAGGAGGAUAGAAUGCUUGGUGCUGGAUAGAGUUUUAUGACGACAAUAGUUUCUGUUUUGUUCAGUUUGAGUACGGGACUUUUUGCGACAUGGUACGAAAGUUGCUACAUGUAACACUGGUUGGCAAAGGAGUAUUGCAAACUUGUAUUCGAAGGAUCAAAUUUUUGAUGUGUGAGAUUGUGCACCCUCAGGAAAUCAUUAUUUUCUUAACGAGACAACAAAUGGGUGGUCGAUAUCGCGAUCAGUUGACUAUGAUAUCGAUGGCUUAUUCGUUAGGUUCGUUAGGCAAGUAGGUAGGAAUAUCCGUCUUCAGCAGUUGUUAUAGAAUUGUUAUUCUUAGGAUUCGACCCAAAGACACAUUUGUUCUCGGAGUACGUGAGGUUACAAAUUCUUGGGCGAGACCCAUUCUCAUUUUCAGUUUUGGUUUUCAGUACAAGCAUUUUAACUUCCUUUACUUUAGUUAUUUGUUUUUGUCGUUACAAAUGUUUUGGGGGAAGUAUCUCCGUUUUCAGUUUUAAGUUCAGCACGAAGUUUUUUUAUAUAUAUGUUAUUACAUAUAUAUAUUGACGUUAUCGUGUUUUGCGUACUUACUUUUGACCUUACUUCAAUAUAUGUUUUCAACUUUAUAUCUUAUUAAAAUAUGUUUCUACCUUUACACUAAUGGGGAAGAAAGUAAGAACUUGGAGGCAUGAAAGAGGAUUUGGCAAACUACUCGCAACGGUGUGACAUAUUCUCUUUGAUGCAACCAUUCUGACUUGAUUUCUUCUUUACGUAUACAUAUAUUCUUCUUCCUAUCUUUGAGCUUUUCAGUAUAGCAAAUUAUUUUAAAUUUCAGUACGAAAUUCUUUUUAGGGUAUUUUUGUAUUUUCACUAAGUUUGGGGGAUAUUUUCCUUUGUAAAAUUGUUUUCGGGUCUUAAAAAGGUGUGCCCAAGGGGCCCACCCCUGUUUUGUGUCCCCGGUUUCCCCCUUCCUCGUGGACUCAUAUCUCUACUUCACUUUUAUCUCUUCUCUCUUUCUCUCCCCCGAAACUAUCUCCCUUCUCUGCGAUGUCCCCCUCCUCUUUGAAAACAACACACACACGUUUACAGACAUACACACAGGAAGCCUUCACCACUUUCACACCAUCACCAUCACUCGAAUCCUCCCUUCUCUCCCGCACCUCUCCAAGCUCACUCUCUCUCUUCUUGGCACUGUGCACAAUCACGGUGCACAAGAUUUCCAAUGAGGUAAGUUGAAAAAACCCUUCAAUCUUCCUUCCUAUUAGUCUAGAAGAUUUAGUGGUUGUUAAAAUAUGGUUUUUGGUGAAGGGUUAGACAUGAAAACAGCUCGGGGAGCUUUCCUCAGGUUUUCGGUGAGCACCACCCCUUUCGAGGCAAUUUUCAGUCAAACCAUAGCGAGUUGGCUAGCUUGCAGGGUAUAAAUAUCUUCAUCUCAUCGAGUACUACAACUUUCAUGUUUGGAUCACUUGAUUUGGAUGAGUAACGAAUAAGUUAUGAGCCUUGGAAAAUCAACCACCAAACUGGCCAAAGGGUGGCCUGAAAACCACCCUCAACCUUGGCCUUUGGGCCGGGUUACCCAACCAUUUACCCAAGCCCAAGUCUGAAAUCCAAACCUAGGCCUUUGGGCCAGAUCACUAAGCCCAAACCCUUUAAGACCCAACUCAGUUUCCUUUUAUUUAUUUUUUAUUUAUUUUUAUUUUCAAACCCAAAACCCUUUUGGUUGGGGCAGGCCUUAAGCCCACUUCCCUAAACCUAUUAACCCUAAACCCUUAGGGCCUAAUCUGUUCAACCCUAACCCUAAACCAGGUUUGACCUGACCUGUUGACUUUGACUUUGACCGGUCAACGGUCAACGUUGACUUUAGGGUAGACUUUUCAGGUUUUCGUCCAGAACCCCUUCUAGGCUAAUUUCGACGUCCUAAACUCGUUUACGACGUCCGUUUUCCAAAAUUCAAUCGUUUGACUAAAUUUACCAUUUAUGUGAUUAGGAGCAAUUAUUAUGGCGUUUUGUCUCCAGUAGUUUGCAUGGCUUUUCGAAGGCGAAGUACUAUGAGUGGACCCUUUCUAAAAAUGCAUGUUUUAAUAGUAGAAAUGCAUACAUGAAAAACAUGAUUUGAUGAUUACGUUUUAUGAAAUGUUUUGUGAGAUAACAUGCUUACUAAGGCUAGAUUGAAUUACUACUAUUUUUCCUAUAACCUGUAUUCUUAUAGAUUAUCUGAUGGAUGACGUUAUGAUAUUUAGAACAUGUUUUAAACACCUCUUUCUAGUAUAGAUGAUGGAUGACUUUAUAUUAUGAAUUUUCUUUUUAAUAUAUAUAUGUUCAAUGGUUUUAUACUUACCUAGUGGCCAUUUCCACUACGAGACUUAGGGAUAGAUUCCGGUUCCUCCCAGGCGACGGUUUGGUGUUGGCAUAAGGCCUGGAGUAUGUUUCCUCUUGCUAUUAGCAUAGGGAUGGGGAGCCGACAUGGGGCUUGGGGGUUAUAAGACAUUCACUAGUGAUUAUUAUAUUUACAAGUUAUGAUUUGAGACAUUGCAUGGCAUGCUAGGUUUCGGAAAACCUAUGUUUAUCAUUAUAUAUGUGUUUUCAUAAAAGCUGGGAGUUAGUACAUUGAUAAUUGUUUUACUAUAUAUAUAUAUCAACUUGGUCCACUCAUGUUUGUUUUGCACCCCCUUCAGGACAUAGAAUCGAGGCAUACAAUCUCGGCAUCCAGGCAUUUCCACAUCGGCAUCUUCGAGUAUUCUCAGUGUAGGACCCACUCCUUUGUUCAUUUAAUUUUAUAUUAUUUCCUUUAGUGUUCUAGUUAGUUGUAUGCUCUGAACUAGGCCUGGCAUUUUGGACCCAACCCGUUAACCCGACCCGACCCAACCCAUUAAUAUUUGUAUUUGGGUGGAUGCUUAAUGGAUUGGGUCGCUAACGGGUGAGCUCGUUAACAACCCGUUAAAUAACGGGUCACUUUGGGUCAACCCGUUAGCACCCGUUAGUUGAGGAUAUUUUAGUAAUUUUAGUAAAGUCUUAAUAACAAAAAUAAACUUUAUGCAAAAAAAUAAUAAUAAUAAUAAUUGUUAACGGGUGUUAACGGGUGAAACGGAUGACCCGUUAGCUUAACGGGUCGGGUUCAGGUGACCCGUUAGCUUAACGGGUUGGGUUCGGAUGACCCGUUAACUUAACGGGUCGGGUUGAACCCGACCCAAACCCAAUAAACCCGACUCGUUUACAAGUCUACUCUGAACACGUUCCUUAAAUGCAUAUUCAUUAUUCUUUUAUAUUUAUAAGUCUUAUCUUUCCCUUGUUUUCAACUUUUGCACUCAAUAAAUAACUUUCGUCACCCUCGGGUGUCUGCCAGCAUAUGCCUAUCCUGGUAUUCAGGGAAUAUCGGGAUUGGGGCAUGUCAAUGUAUGAUAACUUUAUACAUAGCUCUAUCUCCUUAAUAUUACUAACUUGAGCAUCACAAUGUCUUCAACUAGGAUUGCACUGGUGCCCAUCAUCCUCGAGACUUGCUCAUCUUGCAUGUUGUGUUAGUAAAUUCCAAAAAGCGGAAAGAUCGUGCUUGAACACAUAUUUCAAACCAUUAAGUCAUGAAAUGAAACACAACAAUCUUAUAGUCGUCGAACAAACUAAUCAAUUUCUUAUCGUAUUAUGUUAUUGGAUCUAACUGUCAAUAUGAUAAUCUCUACUAAUUAAUAAAACACUCUUUGUCAACCAAAAGUAAAUGAAAUUACCAUUUUAACCCUCACAUUAAAACUGAGCAGAAAUUCAAAAUAUGGGCAAUUUAGUAAUUACAUGACUACACAUUUUACUGUUUUUUAGUUGAGCAUCAUAGCCAUGUAAUACUAACAUAUUUUAUUUAAAAUUUCUCUUCGUUCCUAUUUCUCUCUCAUCACCACUACUGACUUCUCUCUGCAACUCUCUCGCCCAAAACAUCCAAAAACCGCUCUCCCACAUUGUCCUCAAGCUCUCUUCGUUCUUGUUUCUCUCUCAUCAACUCUCUUGGACUUCUCUCUGCAGCUCUCUCGCCAAAACCCUCUUCAACCACCCACCUCGUCCCUUCCACGUUCUCCUCAACCGUAAACAUCAUGAUUUCACUUACCUCAAACUCCCACAAGUUGCAGAAACUCCAAAAUUUGGUUCAUACUUUUAAAAUUUUAGAUGCCCAAUUCGUUUUGAUUUAAAAGAAUUCAUUACCGUUCCCACCCCUACUUCUGUAGUUGUUGAUCGCCAUAAGUCAACCAGUUACGUUGGCUGUGGGGGCCUCACCUUCCUGUGGCAGCACCAAGGUUGUUCAGAGUAAUCAUCAUCAUCCAAUCUCAAUGGCUUCCUUCCAAAUUGUGGAGCCCAGGUUUAAUUUUAAUUCUCUGAAUAGCUUUUGGAAUUGGAUCUUCAAUUUUAUUAGUUUCAUUAAGAGAAAGCAUCCUUUCAAUUGUUUAACUUACCAAUUACAUAUUUACAACAAUUGGAAAUAAAAAGGGACAUGGUUAUUUUUAUUACCGUGUUUGUCUUAGUUGUAUUUUCUCAUUUUUGUUUACUGUAUUUUCAAUAUUAAUAACUUAUUUUUUCAAUCACUUUCAUAGAUAUAGCAUUAUAAUUGCAAGUCAGUGCAAUGAGUCCAACAUCUACAGACCUUGGUGAAAUACGUGCAAGGCGACGCAACAGUUACCAAAUCAAAAUGCAAGUAAUGAGUUCAAAGCAACGACAACAUCUAGCACGCUGUCCUUUUAAUUAUCACCUCCGAAAUAUGAUAAUGAAUCAGCCACAAUGUCGACACAAACUACUACAUCAUCUAUUAAUGUAAGGUGGUCUGUUUAUGAACAUGGAGAAUCAAGUCGAGGAACUCAAAUCACGCAGCCUGUUUAUGUACGUGGAGAAUCAAGCCGAGGACCUCAAAUGAGCUAAUAUGUAUAUGAAAAUGGAGAAUCACUUGAGAUGAGACAACCUGUAUAUGAACAUGGACAAUCAACUCGAUCUCAUAAUAGCCAUGUCCAACAAAGGAAUGCCACAAAUGCACAAUAUAAAUGUGCACAGAAUUUUAGUGAAUCUCAUGGGUUUCAGAAGCUUCGGUUACCACCACCAUCAACAUGUCGGCACUGUGCAACAAAACUCUUUCAUCUUGAGUCUAAGAAGUUAUGUUGCUUGAAUGGAAAGACUAAUUUGCCCCUCAUACCAACACCUAUCGAACUUCUUCAGUUAUUCUCAGAUGAAACAUCACAAGGCAGGCAUUUCAGAGAAUAUAUUCGAGCCUACAAUCACGCCUUCUCUUUUACUUCGAUGGGCGUAAAUGUUGAUGAACAAUUUGCAAAUGCUAAAAGUGGAGUGUACACAUUUAGAGCACAAGGUUUAAUCUACCACCAAAUUGGAAGCCUUUUAGCUACUACAGGAACCAAACCAAGGUUUUUACAAAUUUAUAUAUAUGAUACUGAGCAUGAAAUUGACAACUGCAUGCUGGAAAACAAUGGCCUAAAUAGACAAGUUGUAGAGAAAAUAAAGCAUGUCUUAGAUCAGUACAAUCCAUUUGUGCAUAUGUUUCACCAUAUUUCAUAGUUUUAAGAUUUGAAUACUUGCAAGCUUAUAGUCAAGGAGCAAUCGUCAACUCAUCGCCAAUAUAGUCUUCCAACUAUAUCACAAGUUGCGACUGUUUUCAUAGAUGGUGCUACAAUGAUGCAAUUAAUGGAAGAGAUAUUGUUGUUCAAACUACUAGCGGGCAACUUAUCAAUGUUCAAGAUGUUGUUGGGUAUUAUGACUCACUUCAAUAUCCCUUAUUACUUCCUCAUGGGAGUUAUGGGUGAGACAUAAAUAGCCGCAAUGAAAAUGGAACUGCAUGUACAUGUAGAGACUUUUAUGCAUACAUGUUACUGGUAAUUCCACUUCAAUAUCCUUUUUUUUAUAUAGCUUUUCUCCUUUUAAAUUUGUUUAUACAGUUUAAAAUAUUUGUAAGAUAUAGUAACAAAUAACCAUACAUUAUGUGAUAAAUACAUAUUGCCAAACAGGUUCGUCAUUGAUAUUACAUGGUGGUCAAUUAUUACAACAAUAUAUAGUUGACAAUUAUGUCAAGAUUGAAGCGUAGACUUAGGUUCCUGCAAAGCAAUCAAUAAGCUAUUAGAGCAGAGUUAUAUCAAGGAUUGCAAGACUCACUUGCAUCGGGUGAAUUUCAUGCUGGUAUGUACCAAAUCCACACUUUCCAAGUUAAUUUCUAUUAGUUUACAUUCCUAAAGAAUUUUUAUAAAAAUGUAUUUGAAAUGUCAUCUUUAACAACAAAUAGGAAAUGUGGGACGAACAACAAUACACCCCUCAUCUUUUGGUGGAAGCCUCCGUGAUAUCCAUCAAUGUUAUCAAGAUGCCAUGGCAUUGGUUCAAAAGUAUGGGAAGCCAAACAUAUUUCUAACUAUGACGUGUAAUCCAUCAUGGGAGGAGAUAACAAGUGAAUUAUUUCCUUGCCAAACACCACAAGAUAGGCCAGACUUGCUAACUAGAAUUUUCAGAUCCAAAUACGAACAUAUGAAGAAAGAUAUUUACAACACUGGAGUUCUAGGUAAGACAAUCGCUCAUGUGCAUGUAAUUGAAUUUCAAAAAAAGGGUCUGCCACAUUGUCACAUGCUUAUUAUUUUUGAAGAGUCAGACAAGUUAAACACACCUGAUGACUAUGAUCGCCUUAUGAGAGCUGAAAUUCCAUACAGAGAAGAAGAACCUGAGUUAUACAAUAUUGUCCUGAAACAUAUGAUCCAUGGACCAUGUGGGGCUCUUAAUCCAAACUCUCCAUGUAUGAAAAAUGGAAGCUGUAAAAAAGCCUUUCCUAAGCAGUUUUUUGAAGUCAUAAUGCAAGGAAAUGAUUGUUACCCAGUGUACAUGAGGCGCAACAAUGGUAGAUAUGUUGCUUUAGAUCGAAACAUUGAAGUAGAAAUAGAUAAUAGGUGGGUUGUUCCAUAUAACCCAUGGCCAUUAUUGAAGUAUGAUUGUCGUAUAAAUGUUGAGGUCUGUAGCAGCAUAAAGUGUGUCAAGUAUCUGUAUAAAUAUAUGUACAAAGGACCUGAUCGUGUUUCCCUUGAGGUGUGUUUGGGACCAUCUUAUGAUGAAAUAUCAAAAUACUUAGACGCAAGAUGGAUUUGUGCUCCAGAAUCUUUAUGGAAAAAAAAUUUAUUUCCUAUGAAUCGUAUAUAUCCUUCAAUAUAGUGGCUGCAAGUUCAUCUUCCAAAUAGGCAUCAAGUCAGAUAUUACAGUCACAUCUUAAUUAUGGAAGUUUUGUCUAACAUAAGCAACUCAAAUACGAUGCUUACCGAAUUUUUCCGUAUCAACUGCAUUGAUCCAUUUGCAAGACAAUGGUUAUAUAGAGAAUUCCCUAAACAUUAUAGAUGGGUUGCCACUGGAAAAAAAAAGGCAAAUGAGGGUUUCACAACAAAAGGUUAUCGGACAAAUUUAUACAAGAUGUCCAUAUGAAGGUGAACGAUUUUACUUACGUACUCUAUUAAAUCAUAUCAUAGGUCCCAUGUCAUUCGAUCAUCUUCUAAAAUUUAAUGGAGUUGCAUUUCCAACUUUUAAGCAAGCGGCUGAAAGGAAGGGUUUGCUUGAGGAUGACAAUAGCAUUCACCAAUGCCUCCUAGAAGCUGUAACAACUCAAAUGCCAUCAGCUUUGCAUAGGUUAUUUGUCACAAUAUUAGUGUAUUGUGAACCUAUUGGAGUGCGUACUUAUGGGAGGAAUUUCAUUCAUUUAUGGGGCAAGACUACCCAACAUCCAGUAGCUCAAAGAAUAGGGUUAUCAUUAAUCUUUUGUUGCGAGAUCUGAAUGUAUUGUUACAACAACAUGGUAAAAGAAUUUGUGAUUAUGAUCUUCCACAAAUUGAUACGUCUGAUGCGAAAUAUAUAAGCACACAAAUUAAACCCUCUUUUUAUCAAUUGUAGUAAAGAAUGUAACUAGGGAUCGUUCUAGGCCGGGGAUUAGGAGGGAUUGCCAAAUCACUUGAAAACUAACUCAAAACGUAAAAAUAAAGUUUAAACACUAAACUAGACUCAAAGAAUGCAAAACUAAACUAUAAAACACCAAAACAAACCAAAAGACUCAAAACAGCAAAUAAACACUCAAAACUGCCUUAAAAACACUUUCUGGCCAGUUUUGAACACCUAACACUAAAUUGGACGAAAUUGGGUUAUAACUUGACUCAAGACCCUUAAAACACAAACUAAAUUAAUUUCUACUUAAUCUAACACUUUAAAAUAAAUGGGGAAUUGGUUUUGACGAAAAUUGAAAACAAAAACAAAACUUGUAAAUUGAACAGAUUCUAAAACGAAUUUGAUAAAAGUGAAUGGAUGGAAAGCUAGCUAAGGGGUUAUUCUCCACACAUGUCACACUUGCAUACAAAACGAUUUCCAAUUGCUUCUCAAUAAACCAUGAAUUCCCAACACCCCAAGUUAAUUAGAUACGCUUAAAUUAACUUUCAAAUUUCCCUUAAGUCAAUGAAUUGGAUGGAAAAAGCGCAUCGCAACCAAAUUAUUCCUCAAAAGUUCCCUACAUGAAAGCGCAUAAUAGAGAUACAAUUAAAGAUCAUUACGUUCAAUGGAAAUCAUAAGUACUGACGAGGCACUCGUAACUAUGAAAGCGCAUGAUACUUAUGCCAAGAAUUUACUUAACACGAUUGUGAUCAACAACCUUUACUACUUGUGAAUAUAAGUUUGUAACAAUUAGGUGAAAUUCCCUUAUAUCCUAGCAUUAAACUUAUGCAUGAAAAUUAAGCGUGCACUCUCAACCAACACACACAAAUCAGUUUUAAUUCAUGUAGAUAAGCAAAUUGAAUUCACAACUUAUGAAACACAAUUAGAAGUAAUCAAAUCAUAUAGCAAGCAUAAACAUGGUUUCGAAUCCCCCCCCUAGCCAAGGGGGGUUUAGUUCCUCAUAUGCACAAAGCAAAGAUAAAUAAGUUUAGACAUUGAAAUCCAAAGAAAGAGAACACCUAAAACGCUCCAACUUCGCAGUAGGUGCAUCCACGAUUCCUCCUUCCUCCUUGCUGCGGCACAGAGACUUUGGACAGGUUCUUUGGGUUAUUAAAUGGUGUAGAAUGGAUGGGGGAUGUAUGGUGGUGUUUAGGAUGGAUGGGUGGUGCAGCAAGGGUUGAUUUUUGGCAGAAAUUUGAGAGAAUGGUGGUGGAAGGCUGCAACAAAGGUAGGAGAUGAGUUUCUGACGUGAAUGGUUGUGUAUGAGAGGUGGUAAAUCCGGCCAAAGGGGUUUAUGAGUAUAUAUAGGCAUUCAAAACCCUAGGUAAAUCAGAUAUGGACUUGGAUAACCCAAAUCCAUCAAGAAAUAGGUUUAAACAAUCAGAAUUUAAAAGGGAAAAAGCCCAAAGGUUCGGUAGAUAAGGGAUAGGGAGGAUAGGGCUUCUAGAAUGCCUUGCAAGGCAAGGAAAACAGAUUCUACCAAGGGCUAGGUGCGGCAGGUUUUGGGAAAUAAGGAUAGGGCUUCUAGAAAGCUCAAAACUAAGAGGAAAUAGGCCCCAACCCACGACAAGGAUGAGAAAAUAUUCUAAAACCCUUCUUUGUGUCUUCCAAUGCUUAGGAACCUUCUAAUGUUGCUGAAACAUAAGGCCAACUAGGUUUAGGAAAGAUCAACCCAAAGUAGAAACUUUUAGGCUUAACUUUCCUACUUCAAGUAGGAAACCUUGUUUGAGUAGGAAUCUUCAUUCUUCUAGGAAUCCAUCUUCAACUAGGAAUCCCUCGUUGAUUAGGAAUCCUUCUUCAAUUAGGACUCCUUCUUGGACUAGGAAUCCUCAAAUCUUCAAAUCUUCAAUUUCGCCCAAACCUUUUGUUCCAAGCAUGUGCUAUUCACUCUAAGCUCACAUUUGCUCCAAAAAGCUUUAAUUUGCAUCAUUUUGUAUAAUAUGCCCUUAAAACCUGAAAAUACAUAAAACUAGCUUAAAAGACUACUUAAACUAAGAAAACAUAACGAAAAUGCAUAAGAACUAGCUAACUAAGGCGCAUAAAUAUGCUCCUAUCAAAUUCCCCCACACUUAGCUUUUGCUAGUCCUCGAGCAAAACCAAGAACAAACGACAAACGAAACAAAACACACAAAUAAAACAUAACCUAAACCUUCCAACGUUGCCUCAGGGAUUUCCAAUGCACAUGACAUAUUAAAAAUCAUCAUUCCCACAGAGUUUAGUCAUCUUCACACUUAAGCACAUACUUAAUCAUAGUCACCACAUACUAGUUCACAUUUAACCAAUUAAAACGUGGUUUUGAAUGUAGUAACAUGCCUUAGAGAAUUUGCUCAAUUCCUUACAAGAUAUACACUCAAUUUUCACUCAAAUUUUCUAAGUACACACCCUAUACUAGUUAUAUGUGAGAAGAUUGAUGUAGACAUAAAAACGAAUGCUCACAUAUAUAUACAUAACAAAGAAAGCAUUUUCUGGAGUUAAUAAGCAUUUAGAUAUGAUCUCAUGAAUGGAAUGCUACUACUUAGACGCGAGAACCAGUGACACCAUAUGCUCAUACCAAUUCUAAACUCCACAAAUUGAAACACACAACACUCAAGAUUAAAGUCAAGGGUUGUAACGGGGCUUGAGGUAUUGGCUAACAAAGAACGGAUAGGGAUAACAAAGGUUCUUUAAGCAAUAACACGCAAGGCAAUGAAGUCGAAACUUAGAAUUCACUUUAGAAUGCAGAAAUCAACUUUUAAACAAAAGGUAGGAUUCAUGCAAUACUUAGGGUCGAAUUCAAUGUUUUGGACCCUUUCUUCAACAAUCAACACUUAAGAGCUCAUCUCCACAUCUUUUUCAACUUUUUUUCAUAUUUUUCACAACUUUUCUUUUUUUUUCUUGCUAUUUUCCACGAAAUUUAUCUUUUUGUUUUUUUUUUCUUUUCUAACCUGUGCCACAUGAAAGACUUAGGCACUCACAUACAUCCAUUCCCCCAAACUUGUUUUCUGCAAUACAUUGAUCAAAAGGAAUUCAUCUUGAGUCAUGCUUUACUAUGCUUUAAAAACAAGGGUAUGGAUGGUCCUAAUCUAGGCUAGGUGAGGAUAAUGAGGGUUAACAAACAAUAUAGGCUAAACAAGGCUCAACGGGGUUAAAACCUACAAAACAUAUGAACAUGGGGGACACGGCAAUUUGGCUUAAAUGGUGGUCACUACACAACUUCAUCUUGAAUAUGUGUUAUGCAAAUCAAUAGCAUGCUUUGAAUGAAAUGGGCAUGAGUUUUAGUGUUUGGAACUAAAUGAUGAAACGCCUUCUAAGUAGUAACCAAGCAAAGAAUAAUGAGAUCAUGCAACGACUUUAGAAAACAACAAUGCACAAAUUAUUACUCUCCAAAUAAACGUUUAGGCUCAAGUCUCCCAAGGUUGUAGCGUUAAUUUGAGUUCCUUCCUUCAAGCAUGUUACAAAAACUAAUUUUUUUCCUUUGUGAUUACAUGUGAAUUCAUAAGUUAUAACCACAACCAAGCAUAAACCAAAGAGUAAAUCAAACUUCCAUCCAUGUUUACAACUCUCUUUAACAGUCAUGCAAUUAAAAACCGAAUCCUCAUCAUUGUGUUGGAAGGUACCCUAAGACACAAACAACUACACAAAACAGCUUUAAAACGACUCUUUUUGGCUUUUUCAACACAUUUUUUUCAAAUUUUUUUCUGGGAUUUUCGGAUUUUUAUGUAAAACACACUAAAAUGCAUCAAAACAGCCUAAAAACAGCAAGGAACAACAUUGGAAAUUAUGGGUGAUACUGUUGGAAGUAUGCCCACAAAGCCACUCAUUUGAUGUAAUAGCUUUUGGAAUACUUAUUGUAUUAAACUUUUAUAUGUUUAAUGAAGGGCAAAGCUUAUUGUUAAUCACUAUUUAUUGUAUCAUGUGUUUAAGCAAUAAGGGAAUCCAAGGAAUGUAUUUGAUCUAAGAGAUAAGUGAUUUAAGUAAGUUAGAUUAUCGAGACCUUUCUCUUAUGUUCAUUCCUAAAACGUUCCUAGCCAUAGGAUUGCCAAUUGGGCAUUGACAAUCUGCUAAGGUUAGUAUGUGUUAUGUCGACUCAAGCGUGAGUAUGACAAGUCUCAAGUCAUUUAGUGUUGGACACUAAGGCAAACACAUAGGUGCUCGAAAGAGUGAGCGAGUACACUGAACAACGAUCAAAAGAGAGUUCGAACAUACAUGUCAUGUAAGAACUCGAGAAUUGCAAUAUACAAAGUAGUCCUUUGACCUGAGGCAUCAUAGAUGUCUAAUAGUUAGGUCUUUGAUCUUUGAUCAUGUCAAAGGCAUUCCAUUGGAGUGUCCACGGCAUUGUUGUGGUCAAGCUACCUAGUCAUGUAGGCAUAUGAAUGCACAACAAGGAAUCUCUAACCUUCCAUGGUGGAAGGAGAAUACUCUAAGAUAUGAUUCGAGAGUCUUUGGCCAAAGCAUAUGAAUAUGACUUAGGAAGUUUGUUCCAAAUCAUAUUCAACUGAAUCAUAUAGAUAAGUAUCACAUUGGAUAGUAGACAUGAAACAAACUAUCACUUAAAGAAUGUGAUUAAGAGUAUUGUAUUAGAGAAGGACCGUAUUGCAUUGUAGUUGUAACUGGAUAGGUUCUCCAACCACUUCUACUUAGCUUGGGUAACCAUGAUAUGCUGCUAGGUGUCACUCAUGGUUUGUGGAAGCCCUAAAGAUUAGCAAACACUAAUUUUAAGGGAGAAUUGAAAUGUGGUUUCAAUUCACAAUCGAUCGUUAAGAGUAACAAUGGCCCACUACCUCGCUAAAUAGAACCUAAUGGAUCGUACACCGAGUAAGGAUGUUGGUGAAGAAAUUAAAUGAAAUGGAUAAGCAAUUAAAUGGUUUAAUUGAAGAAUGGUCAAGAUUAAUUAAUUAGUUAAUUAAUUAUACGAAAUGUAUGUAUUGGGCUUAUAUGUUGGUUUUGGGUUUCGGGGCCCAAAAGCGUUUUGGUCCAGAAGGCCCAUUAUGUUUAAGUUGUAUGACAACUAAAACAAAAUGGGCAAUUAGCCCAAUCAAUUUGAUAUGGCCGGCAAUUAGGGUCAGAAGUGUCAAACUUGGAUUAAUUACAAGUUUGCCACUCACUUGUGAUGAAGUAUAAAAGCAACUUUAUAGCUUUAUUUUCAUUUAGGGUUUUUCUUGGUGAAAUGAGGUGAAACUUUUUCUCUCAUUUUCUCUAAAGAGGCCGGCCACCUAGGGAAGGAAUAGCUAGCAAUCUCUUCUUCCCUAAGUCAUCCAUUUCAUCUUUACAUCACAUCCUUGGUGAAGAGACUUAGAGACAUCAAGAUUUUGAUGUUUUGGAGAACAAAUCCUUAAGUCCUCAAAGAAGCAAAGGAGCACUAAAAGGAAGAAAAUCACAAGGAAUAUCCAAGGAGCAUGGAGGUGACUUGAAGGCCCUCCACUUGGGUGAAUCCCUUGUGUAAUCAAGGAUGAGCUUCAAGGGUAAAGAAACUCUAAAUAUUUCCUUCUCUUUAUUGUUGUUAAAGAGUUUAUUGGUUCACCAUAUACUAGGCUUUGAAAGUCAUGGGUUUUAUGAAUUGUUUUUGAAUGCAUGUCUACAUUAAUGUGUUAAUAGUUUGCAUAUGUAUUCAAAUGUUCUUACUUGUUCUUAGCUAGGACAAAAAAUUUCCUUCAGAUGCAACCCUACGAAUUUGCAUCAAAACACUUUGGUUACCCCCCCCCCACACUUAAAUCAAACAUUGUCCUCAAUGUUUCAAGCAUAAACUAACACAAUUAACAAAUAAACAAACAAGCAGCAACUAACAUAAUAAACAUGGCAGAAACGAAAUAAACAACAAAGAGAAGGGUUUAGGAACGCAAAUCUGGAAUUGGAGUGAUUCCUUGGUCUUCCUUUGUUGCAUGCAUGGGUUGCCUCCUAAGUAGCGCUUUCUUUAACGUCGUGCAGCCGGACGAAGCACCAAUUCACUCCCCAUUGGAGCCCACGGCAUGCAAGGGGAUGUCAUCCACGGCAUGCUCCACAAAGUUGUCAUAGUAUGGCUUCAAUCGGUGCCCAUUCACCUUGAAUUCUUGUCUAGUUUUCAUGCUUUGGAUUUGGACUGCACCAUGCACAAAAACAUUAGUAAUAACAAACGGGCCAACCCACUUGGAACGUAACUUACCAGGAAACAACCGAAGGCGGGAAUUAAAGAGUAACACUUUCUGCCCGAUUGAGAAUGAUUUGCCACGAAUCAUCUUGUCAUGAAAAGCCUUGGUCUUCUCCUUGUAAAUCCGAGCGUCUCAUAUGCUUCAUAUCUAAUCUCGUCAAACUCAUUUAAUUGGAGCUUCCUAUGUACUCCAGCGGCAUCAAUAUCCAUGUUAAAGGUCUUGACCGCCCAAAAUGCCUUGUGCUCAAGCUCCACGGGCAGAUGGCAUUGCUUGCCAUAGAUAAGCCGAAAAGGUGACAUGCCAAGAGGAGUUUUAUAGGCCGUUCGAUAAGCCCACAGUGCAUUGUCCAAGCGCAUGCUCCAAUCCUUUCUUGUUGGACCCACGGUCUUCUUUAAGACUUGCUUGAUCUCUUGGUUAGAAACCUCGGCUUAGUCAUUUGUUUGAGGAUUGUAAGGUGUAGAAACCUUAUGGGUGACGUUGUACUUCCUCAACAAUGCCUCAAUGGUGCGGUUACAAAAAUGGGAACCGCCAUCACUAAUUAGAACUCGAGGCAUCCCAAACCUAGCAAAAAUGUUAGUUUUCACGAAAUCUGCAACCACCUUAUAAUCAUUAGUACGGGGGGCUUUUGCUUCCACCCAUUUCGAGACAUAAUCCAUAGCGAGUAAUAUGUAAAGGAAACCAUGCGAUGAAGGAAAAGGACCCAUAAAAUCGAUGCCCCAAACAUCAAAAAUUUCAACAGGAAGUAUGACAUUUUGCGGCAUUUGAUCCUUUGCCCCUAUAUUACCCAUUCGUUGGCAACGAUCACAAGACAUACAAAAGGUUCUAGCAUCUUUAAAUAGAGUUGGCCAAUAAAAACCACAUUCUAAAACCUUAAGGGCAGUGCGUUGUGUCCCAAAGUGUCCCCCACAUGCAUAAGUGUGAUAGAAAGUUAAAAUUGAAUUAAACUCCAUAUCAUACACACACUUACGUACAAUAUGAUCCGAACAAUAUUUCCACAAGUAUGGAUCAUCCCAAACAUAAAAUUUAGCAUCCUUUUUUAAUUUAUCAUGUUGGUUUCUGUUUAGGGUGUUUGGAAUGUGUUUUGUCACUAAAAAAUUCACCAAGUCGGCAUACCAAGGCUCACUUACCUUCAUGGACAACAAUUGUUCAUCGGGGAAUGUCUUGGCAAUAGGUAGGGACUCCUCAGUAUGCACCAUUCGGCUUAGGUGGUCAGCCAUCACGUUUUCACUUCCCUUCUUGUCACGAAUCUCAAUAUCGAACUCUUGAAGUAACAACAUCUAACAAAUUAGCCAUGGCUUGGCUUCCUUUUUAGUGAGCAAGUACUUCAAAGCUGCAUGGUCAGUGAAAACAAUUACUUUAGUACCAAUUAGAUAUGAUCUAAACUUAUCUAAAGCAAAAACAACGGCAAGAAGUUCUUUUUCUGUAGUGGAAUAGUUCAAUUGGGCAUCAUUCAACGUCCGUGAGGCAUAGUAUAUCACAUGCGGCCUUUUGUCCUUCCUUUGUCCCAAAACAGCUCCUAACGCAUAAUCGAACGCAUCACACAUAAGCUCGAAGGGUAGGCUCCAAUCCGGUGGGACAAUGAUUGGUGUCGUGGUCAACAACUUCUUGAGUUGGUUGAAUGAUGCCGUGCUCAUUAAACUCAAACGUCACAUCUUUUUGUAAGAGUCGGCAAAGAGGUUGUACCACCUUGGAGAAAUCUUUGAUGAACCUACGAUAGAAACCUGCAUGGCCAAGAAAAGAACGAACCUCUCUAACCGAAGUAGGAGAGGGUAAGUGACGCACAAGAUCUAUCUUUGACUUAUCAACCUCAAUACCAUUUUCAGAGAUAAUAUGACCCAAAACUAUGCCUUGUUUAACCAUGAAAUGACAUUUUUCCCAAUUAAGCACAAGGUUAGUUUCAGCGCAACGUUUUAAGAUCAAGCUAAGAUUAUGCAAACAACCAUCAAACGAAUCACCAAAGACGCUAAAAUCAUCCAUAAAAACCUCAAUUAUUUUCUCAACAUAAUCAGAAAAUAUGCUCAUCAUGCAUCUUUGAAACGUUGCAGGUGGAUUACAUAAACCAAAAGGCAUGUGACGAUAAGCAAAUGUACCAAAAGGGCAUGUAAAAGUGGUAUUUUCUUGGUCCUCGGGUGCUAUGACAAUUUGAUUAUAACCAGAAUAACCAUCAAGAAAACAAUAAAAAGCGUAACUGGCUAACCUCUCAAGCAUUUGAUCAAUGAAUGGCAAGGGAGAGUGAUCCUUCCUUGUAGUGGCGUUUAGCUUCCUAUAGUCGAUACACACUCUCCAACCAGUUUGAAUGUGAGUAGGCACAAGUUCAUUCUCUGCAUUUGCUACCACCGUCACUCCGGAUUUCUUCGGAACGCAUUGAACAGGCGAAACCCACCUACUAUCCGAGAUUGGAUAGAUAACUCCACAAUCUAAAAGCUUGAUGACUUCUUUCUUCACAACUUUCAUCAUAGGUGGGUUGAGUCGGUGUUGAGCCUCUCGAGAUGUUUUAGACCCCUCCUCCAAAAGUAUGUGAUGCAUGUAACUUGUGGGGCUAAUUCCUUUAAUGUCGGCCAACAUCCACCUAAUUGUUGUUUUGUACUCCUUAAGCACCCUCACUAACUUACCUUCUUCUUGUGCCGUGAGCAAAGUGGAAAUGAUAACGGGCAACGUCUCAUUCUCUCCCAAGUAAACGUACUUCAAGUGACUAGGCAAUGGCUUAAGUUCAAGUGUAGGUGCCUGCACAACUGAUGGAAGCAUCUUAUUAGCCGAAACUGAACUUAAAAUAGGGUCCAAAAACUUACCAGAUUGUGAUGGCAAUGACUCAAGGGCAGCCACCAUCUCAAUGACUUCAUCACUAGGGGGUACGGCAAGGGAGAGUUCUUGCAUGCCGUGAGUGUGCAUGGGUGUUGUCUCAACGUCUUGUUUGUCCAUUCCUCGUGCAAUGACCAAUUCAAGUGCAUCGUCAUUCAAUUUGUCAAAAUGGUCCUGCGCCAAAGAGUCAAUUACAUCAAUAGCAAAACAUGAAUGAUUCUCACUAGGAUAUUUCAUAGAAUCAGAAAGAUUGAAAUUAAUAACUUCCCCAUCAAACUCCAUCGUCAAUGUUCCAUUAAACACAUCAAUCUUUGUCCGAUCCGUUUUCAUGAAUGGCCUUCCAAGGAUGAUGGGCAAUGAAAGGGCAUGGUCUGAUUCAUCCAUCUCAAGCACGUAGAAAUCCGCCGGAAAGAUCAAAUGAUUAACUUGCACUAAAACAUCUUCCAAAACUCCCUUUGGAUAGGCAUUAGAUCUAUCGGCUAAUUGUAUAAUCACACCAUCAUUUUUCAACUCUCCUAGGUUCAUAGAUGCAUGACAUUUAUGGAUGCACCUAAGUCUAACAUGGCAGAUUCAAACCUAGUAUUACCAAUGACACAAGGAAUUGUAAAACUACCCGAAUCUUUGCAUUUAGGGGGUAGUUUGCGUUGCAAGAUGGCUGAGACAUUUUCACUUACCUUUACAACCUCCUUGGUCAAAAUCCUCUUCCUAGUGGUGCAAAGUUCUUUCAAAAAUUUACAUACCUUGGUACUUCCUUAAUUGCAUCCAAAAGAGGGAUAUUGACUUGAACUUUCCUAAAUGUCUCUAGAAUGUCCUUUUCAGCUUCCUCUUUUGUUUGCUUGAACCUACUAGGAAAAGGGACAUUCAAAGGAAAAUCAUUAGUAGGAAUGGAAUUGGACACGUUCUUACCUUUAUUGGACAUAUUGGAUGGCUUAGGAGCCAUGGGAACUUGCGGCAAUGGGAGUUCCUUCCUUGCUGUGGGCAUGCUUUGCUCCUCCUCUUUGAUGAUCAACUCUUCCACCUCAUUUGGGGCUGAUUUGGAUGGUUAGGGGGCUGCUCCCACUUGUUUCCCACUUCACAACAUGAUUGCCUUGGCAGAUUCAAAGCCUCAUUUCGGAUUCACAGCGGUUAAACUAGGCAACUUGCCUUGCUCUCGAAAUUGGCCCACAAACUCCGCAAUCUGCCCUACUUGCUUCUCCAACUCGUCCACCUUCUUGUCCUUAAUUUGCAUACUCUGCGCCAUAGAAGUUAGUAAUUGAAAAUUUUGAUCAUUAUCAAUAGACGAACCUGAUUUGUUUUGGGCAGGUUGUGCUUAGGGUUGAGUUGGUGCAAACGGCUUUUGAUAGAAACCCGGGGGUUAUUGCCUAAAUGUGCUUUGGUGUGGGCCUUGUUGGGGUUCUCGCCAUUUGAAAUUUAGAUGAUCCCUCCCACGGCAUUGAGGGUUUCCCACCCUCCAUUCUCUAUCAAUUGUGGGCACUUGUCCGUAAGGUGUCCUUGCUUGGAGCACAUGCCACAAGCACUCAUAUUUUGCACUUUUGGUCGUUCCACAACUUGAGAAAGAAAAGUAGUAAGGUUAGCCAUUUGAUUUUGAAAUUCGGAGAUGGCACUUACCUCAUUCACUUGGUGUUGUCGUGGGGUGCUCCUUUGUCCAACACCUUCGUAUUGUUGAGCGUUCAACGCUCGAUUAGCUAUCAAGGUCUUUACUGUCGUGGGAUCUUGUCCACCAAAGCUCCUUCCGCCGAGGCAUCUAGCAUUUGACGUUCGAUUGGUAGAAGCCCCUCGUAGAAGUAUUGUAGAAGAAGCUCCUCCUUCAUUUAAUGCUAUGGACAAGAAGCAACAAGAGAUUUAAAACGUUCAUAAUAUGUAGGAAAAGACUCACCUUCAUCUUGUUGAAUUCCACUUAUCCUUUUUCGUAAGAGAAUGACUCGAGAAGUUGGGAAAAACUUCUCCAAGAAAGCCCGUUUCAUGCUCUCCCAAGAUGUGACCGUUCUGGGAGCUAAUUCAUAUAACCAAUCUUUCGCCUUUUCCAUGAGAGAAAAGGGAAAAGCCUUCAUCUUCAAUAUACUCCCGUCAACAUUGAUUGGAGUCAUGCUCGAACACACCACCUUGAACACUUUCAAGUGCUUGUUAGGAUCAUCCAUGGACAACCCAUGGUACUUCAGAAUGUGGUGUAGCAAACUUGACUUCAACUCAAAGUCCUCGGUCUUUCCUUGGGCAGCUGCGGGAUAUUGAAUACAUAGAGGUGUGGCAUUGUCCAAUCCCGAAGCCGAAAGCUCCUUGAUUGUACAAUUGUCUUGUGUCAUGGCUUCCUCUACUUCACCCACUCUUGCUGUGGGUUCCUUAACUUCAACCUCAACUUCGGCUUUUGAAUUUGAACUUGAUUCACUAGGCUCUGGAUUCUUUCUUUUUCAUCUCAAUUCUCGCUCAAUUCGUCGUCAAAGUCCAAGAUGUGUUCACGAAUCGGAUGAGAACUCCGAGUCAUAAACUAGUACCUAAAAACAAGAAAACAAAACAGGGUCAGAAUCUGGAAUUAAUUAAAACAACUGAAAUAAAACAAUCCAAGGGAUUAGCAAUGUUGCUAAUCCCCGGCAACGGCGCCAAAAAUUUGAUGCGAAAUAUAUAAGCACACAAAUUAAACCCUCUUUUUAUCAAUUGUAGUAAAGAAUGUAAGUAGAGAUUGUUCUAGGCCGGGGAUUAGGAAGGAUUGCCAAAUCACUUGAAAACUGACUCAAAACGUAAAAACAAAGUUUAAACACUAAACUAGACUCAAGAAUGCAAAACUAAACUAUAAAACACCAAAACAAACCGAAAGACUCAAAACAGCAAAUAAACACUCAAAACUGCCUUAAAAACACUUUCUGGGCAGUUUUGAACACCUAACACUAAAUUGGACGAAAUUGGGUUAUAACUUGACUUAAGACCCUUAAAAACACAAACUAAAUUAAUUUCUACUUAAUCUAACACUUUAAAAUAAAUGGGGAAUUGGUUUUGACGAAAAUUGAAAACAAAAACAAAACUUGUAAAUUGAACAGAUUCUAAAACGAAUUUGAUAAAAGUGAAUGGAUGGAAAGCUAGCUAAGGGGUUAUUCUCCACACAUGUCACACUUGCAUACAAAACGAUUUCUAAUUGCUUCUCAAUAAACCAUGAAUUCCCAACACCCCAAGUUAAUUAGAUACGCUUAAAUUAACUUUCAGAUUUCCCUUAAGUUAAUGAAUUGGAUGGAAAAGCGCAUCGCAACCAAAUUAUUCCUCAAAAGUUCCCUAAAUGAAAGCACAUAAUAGAGAUACAAUUAAAGAUCAUUACGUUCAAUGGAAAUCAUAAGUACUGACGAGGCACUCGUAACUAUGAAAGCGCAUGAUACUUAUGCCAAGAAUUUACUUAACACGAUUGUGAUCAACAACCUUUACUACUUGUGAAUAUAAGUUCGUAACGAUUAGGUGAAAUUCCCUUAUAUCCUAGCAUUAAACUUAUGCAUGAAAAUUAAGCGUGCACUCUUAACCAACACACACAAAUCAGUUUUAAUUCAUGUAGAUAAGCAAAUUGAAUUUACAACUUAUGAAACGCAAUUAGAAGUAAUCAAAUCAUAUACCAAGCAUAAACAUGGUUUCGAAUCCCCCCUAGCCAAGGGGGGUUUAGUUCCUCAUAUGCACAAAGAAAGAUAAAUAAGUUUAGACAUUGAAAUCCAAAGAAAGAGAACACCUAAAAUGCUCCAACUUCGCAGCAGGUGCAUCCACGAUUCCUCCUUCCUCCUUAUUGCGGCACAGAGACUUUGGACAGGUUCUUUGGGUUAUUAAAUGGUGUAGAAUGGAUGGGGGAUGUAUGGUGGUGUUUAGGAUGGAUGGGUGGUGCAGCAAGGGUUGAUUUUUGGCAGAAAUUUGAGAGAAUGGUGGUGGAAGGAUGCGGCAAAGGUAGGAGAUGAGUUUCUGACGUGAAUGGUUGUGUAUGAGAGGUGGUAAAUUUGGCCAAAGGGGUUUAUGAGUAUAUAUAGGCAUUCAAAACCCUAGGUAAAUCAGAUAUGGACUUGGAUAACCCAAAUCCAUCAGGAAAUAGGUUUAAACAAUCAGAAUUUACAAGGAAACAAGCCCAAAGGUGCGGCAAAUAAGGGAUAGGGAGGAUAGGGCUUCUAGAAUGUCUUGCAAGGCAAGGAAAACAGAUUCUAACAAGGGCUAGGUGCGGUAGGUUUUGGGAAAUAAGGAUAGGGCUUCUAGAAAGCCCAAAACCAAGAGGAAAUAUGCCCUAACCCACGGCAAGGAUGAGAAAAUAUUCUAAAACCCUUCUUUGUGUCUUCCAAUGCUUAGGAACCUUUUAAUGUUGCUGAAACAUAAGGCCAACUAGGUUUAGGAAAGAUCAACCCAAAGUAGAAACUUUUAGGCUUAACUUUCCUACUUCAAGUAGGAAACCUUGUUUGAGUAGGAAUCUUCAUUCUUUUAGGAAUCCAUCUUCAACUAGGAAUCCCUAGUUGAUUAGGAAUCCUUCUUCAAUUAGGACUCCUUCUUGGACUAGGAAUCCUCAAAUCUUCAAAUCUUCAAUUUCGCCUAAACCUUUUGUUCCAAGCAUGUGCUAUUCACUCUAAGCUCACAUUUGCUCCAAAAAGCUCCAAUUUGCAUCAUUUUGUAUAAUAUGCCCUUAAAACCUGAAAAUACAUAAAACUAGCUUAAAAGACUACUUAAACUAAGAAAACAUAACGAAAAUGCAUAAGAACUAGCUAACUAAGGCGCAUAAAUAUGCUCUUAUCAAUGUCCAUGAAUAGCUCAGCAACUCUAACAAAUAUACAAGAUAAGCUCACAGUUCAUGUUCCCCCAGAAGACCUGCAAUCAAUUUAGACAUUAAACAAUGAUCAACGCACUGCAUUCGACAUAAUUAUGAGAGCUGUUACAUGUAAUCAAUCAUCAACUUUCUUUGUAGAUGGCCCCAGUUGUACUGGAAAGGCUUACCUUUAUCGUGCAAUUCUUGCUUCGCUAAGGAAUGAUGGCCUCAUAGCUAUUGCAGCAACCACAUCUGGUAUUGCAACUACUAUUUUACCCAGAGGAAGAACAACACAUUCACGAUUUAAGAUUCCUAUCGACUUAUUGUCCACCAACACUUGUUCUAUAAGCAAGCAAGGAAUCAAAUUUGGCGGAGCUUCUAAGGCGUUCAGCUAUGCUUAUAUAGGAUGAAGCCACUAUGACUCAUAGGAAAGCAUUUGAGGCUUUAGAUAGAACCUUACGAGAUAUAACGGGCGUGGAAACACAAUUUGGUGGCAAAGUGAUGAUUCUUGAAGGAGAUUUUCGUCAAUUUCUUCUCGUUAUGCCUUAUGGAACCAAAGUGCAACCGAUAGAUGCAUGCAUUGUAAAAUGCUCAUUAUGGAAUGAGAUUCAAGUUAUCCGGUUGAAACAUAAUAUGAUAGCUCAACAAGACCCUAAUUUUGAAGAAUUCCUACUCCGUAUUGGUGAUGGAAAUGAGUCAUUUGUAAAAGAUGAUAUGAUUAGAAUCCCGAAUUCAGGUGUUAUUCCUUGGCAUGGCGAUGAAUCAAUUGGUGAGCUUAUUGGUUUUUGGUUUUGUAUUUCCAAGAUUAGAGGAGAAUGCUUUCAACUUUUCUUAUAUGGUUGAUAGGGCUAUCAUCACCCCAAGGAAUAAAGGCGUUGACAAGUUAAAUGAAGUGGUGUUAAACUCAUUUCCUAGGGAACAACACAUUUAUUACUCUUUUGAUAGAGUUGACGAUGACCCUCAAAACUUAUAUCAACAAAAGUUUUUGAAUUCUAUAACUCCAAGUGGCUUACCUACUCAUAAGUUGACUUGGAUUUUGCAAUGGCAUAUGAUCUCUUCUUAGCCAACACCUUCUUUAAGAAGAGAGAAGAACAUGUGAUCACCUACAAGAGUGGGUCGUCAAAAACACAAAUAGAUUUUCUUCUAAUGAGGAAAGGGGAUCGUAUAACUUGUAAGGAUUGCAAAGUUAUACCAGGAGAGAGCGUGGCUAAUCAACAUCGCUUGUUGGUGAUGGAUGUACAUAUCAAAAGAGUAAGACAAAAGAACAAGACUUGGAAGUGCCCAAGGACUAGAUGGUGGAAUCUAAAAGAAGAAAAACAAGCCAUUUUCAAAGAGAAGGUAAUCACCCAAUGUGUGUGGGAUAGAGAGGGGGAAGCUAGCCAAAUGUGGGAUUCCAUGGCUAGUUGUAUCCGAAAAGUAGCAAAAGAGGUAUUAGGAGAGUCCAAGGGCUUUGCCCCACACCAAAAGGAAUCUUGGUGGUGGAAUGAGGAGGUACAAACAAAGGUGAAGGCUAAGAAGGAAUGUUGUAAAGCCUUAUACAAGGAGAGGACUGAUGAAAAUGGUGAAAGGUAUAGAAAAGCGAAGCAAGAGGCGAAGAAAGCUGUCAGAGAAGCUAAGUUAGCGGCUUACGACGAUAUGUAUAAACGACUAGAUACCAAAGAAGGAGAGUUGGAUAUCUAUAAACUAUCUAGAGCAAGGGAAAAGAAGACAAGGGACCUAAACCAAGUGAGGUGCAUCAAGGAUGAGGAUGGAAAGGUUCUUGCUACAGAGAACGCGGUUAAAGACAGAUGGAGAGGUUAUUUUCAUAAUCUUUUCAAUGAAGGACAUGAAGUGAGUGCUUCUUUAGGGGAGUUGAGUAACUCAGAAGAGUGUAGAAACUACUCUUUUUAUCGUCGAAUCCAGAAGGAAGAAGUGGUUGUAGCUUUGAAGAAGAUGAAGCAUAAAAAAGCAAUAGGCCCAGACGAUAUACCAAUCGAAGUGUGGAAACUUUUGGGAGAGACAGGUAUAACAUGGCUCACUGACCUUUUCAAUAGGAUUUUGAAAACGAAGAAGAUGCCAAAUGAGUGGCGAAUGAGCACUUUGGUGCCUAUCUACAAGAAUAAGGGCGACGUACAAAAUUGCAUGAACUAUAGGGGUAUUAAGCUAAUGAGUCAUACAAUGAAGCUCUGGGAGAGAGUCAUUGAGCAUAGAUUGAGGCAAGAGACACGGGUUUCGGACAACCAAUUCGGGUUCAUGCCAGGGCGCUCAACCAUGGAGGCAAUCUAUCUCUUACGAAGAUUGAUGGAAAGAUAUAGAGAUGGGAAAAAGGAUUUACACAUGGUCUUUAUAGAUUUGGAAAAAGCGUAUGAUAGGGUCCCAAGAGACAUUCUUUGGAGGAUUUUAGAGAAGAAAGGAGUACGAGUAGCAUAUAUCCAAGCUAUAAAGGAUAUGUAUGAAGGAGCAAAGACUGCCGUAAGAACUCAUGAAGGACAAACCGAAAGCUUUCCCAUAACUGUAGGAUUACAUCAAGGCUCAUCCUUAAGUCCUUACCUUUUUGCGUUGGUAAUGGAUGAGUUAACACGACAUAUUCAAGAUGAUAUUCCUUGGUGUAUGCUUUUCGCAGACGAUAUAGUGUUGAUAGAUGAAACUCAGGAAGGGGUAAAUGCAAAGCUUAACCUUUGGAGAGAAGUGUUGGAAUCUAAAGGUCUUCGCCUAAGCCGAUCAAAGACAGAAUAUAUGGAGUGCAAGUUCAGUGCAAAUGGAGGCCAAAACGAGUUAGGGGUGAGGAUCGGAGAUCAAGAAAUACCAAAGAGCGACCGUUUUCGUUACCUAGGAUCUAUCUUGCAAAAGAACGGAGAAUUAGAUGGAGAUCUCAACCAUAGAAUACAAGCUGGAUGGAUGAAGUGGAAGAGUGCAUCCGGUGUGUUGUGUGACCGCCGUAUGCCACUGAAGCUCAAGGGAAAAUUUUAUAGGACGGCAAUAAGGCCGGCGAUGCUGUAUGGCACAGAAUGUUGGGCGGGUGAAACAUCAACACGUACACAAAAUGGGUGUAGCGGAGAUGAGGAUGCUUCGUUGGAUGUGUGGGCACACGAGAAAGGAUAAGAUUAGGAAUGAGGAUAUCCGGGGUAAAGUAGGAGUAGCCGAAAUUGAAGGAAAGAUGAGAGAAAAUCGGUUACGGUGGUUUGGACAUGUGCAAAGAAGGCCUACUGACGUUCCGAUUAGAAGAUGCGACUAUGGGACAGAGGUUCAGGGCCGAAGGGGUAGAGGAAGACCUAGGAAAACUUUGGAAGAGACUCUAAGAAAAGACUUAGAGUACUUGGAUCUAACGAAGGACAUGACACAGGAUCGAGCACAAUGGCGUUCUAAGAUUCAUAUAUAGCCGAUCCCACUCAGUGACUUGGAUUUUCCAAGUCUCCAACCGAGAAGUUUUCCUCACUCGGGAAAUUAAGGGAACACUACCCCAACCUACAUGCUCCACUCAGAAAGCUUCAACAUACAAGCUUUAACAAAAGAAAAUUCAAAGAACUUAGCGAAGAAGGCUUUGGUGUAUUUAACACAAUACGUUGAAAUGAAGGAAAGCUUAUUUAUUGAUAUCCCCGAUAAGCUACAAAUAUGUACAUAUACAUGAGUCAAAAUAAGCACACAAGAGGGAGCCUUCACAAAGGUUGCUUAGGAGAAGUCUCAGCAGUCGGUAGAGCCCCAGAAAGAGAAGGCACCGGAGGGGGAUCAUUUGGAGCCUCAGUACUGGACAGAACCCUAGAAGGAGGAGGCAUCAGAGGUUGAUCAUUUGGAGCUUCAUUACGCGGUACAGCCCCAGAAGACGAAGGCAAUAAAUGCCUUUGGAACAAACCCACAAAUCUCUGAUGAUCAAGUAAAACCUGACCAUCAGUUUCCUUCAUCUGGUCAAGCUUCCUCUUCAUGUUUGUAGCAUAGUCAUGUGCGAGCCGGUGCAACUGUUUAUUCUCAUGCUUGAGCCCUCUAAUCUCCUGUUUGAGACUCAUCACUUCAGCCGCCAAUGAUUCAACUUGGCGGGUUCGAGCAAAUAGGCGUUGUGCCAUAUUAGACACAGAACCUGCACACUGAACACUGAGAGCCAGCGAAUCCUUAACAGCUAACUCAUCAGACCGUUUGGAAAGUAGUCUGUUAUCUUUGGGAGUGAGAAGGUUCCUGGCCACCACCGCAGCGGUCAUAUCAUUCUUCAUCACGGAAUCCCCAACGGUAAGAGGACCAGUAGGGGAGACGAAGGAUGGGCGCCAUAUGUUGUCUGGAGAAGGCGGGGCUGCCUCUUCAACAAGGUUCAAGUCAAAACGACGGUCGGAGGGGCCAGACAUUUUCAAAGGUGUUGAAAGAGAGAAGAGGUCGGACAAAUCAAGAUCUUAGAAGUGCAAGAAUGAAGCUUCUACUGGUGGAGAUUCAAGUGUGCUUUGGAACUUAAUGCCAGCCCCUAUAAAAAUCUGCACUCGACGAAGCUUCAGAAAUCGAAGAGGCGCCUGCUCAGAAAUCGAAGAGGCGUUUGCUUUCUCAAAAGCUGGGCUGCUUAGAGAUCACGAGGGUUGAUCUCAGAAAUCGAAGAGGCGUUUGCUUUCUCAAAAGUUGGGCUGCUCAAAUACCACGAAGGCCGAUCUCAAAAAUCGAAGAGGCGCUCGCUUUCUCAAAAGCUGGGCUCCCCAGAGACCACGAGGGCCGAUCUUAGAAAUCGAAGAGGCACCUACUUUUCCAGCCUUUUCCAGCCUUGUCAGCACCUGUCACACGCACACUCAGUUUUGCGGAAAUUAUGGGCAUUCUGUCAAAGACUUCUGGGGAAGUAGAAAACACAUGAAUCUUACUGUUCAAUCACCCACUUCCCAUACGCAACAAUAGCUCAUGGGUACCACAAAUAACUUUGCCAAAGUUCUCUGCCAAAGUUGAGCACGUGAAGCUUGCAGCUCCCACUACAUCGCUCUGACCAAGAAGGGUAAAAGAAUAGCAAAAGAAACAGCACUAACAAAGUUUAGACCCAUAAAUUUUUGAACGGUCUAGCUACCAUAUUAUUACCCACAAGGGUAAAGGAACAGUACCACUGCUGGAUAAUUGGAAAGUCCCUGUGUGUCAACCUCUGUGCUUCGUGGCAAGGUAGACUAGCAAACAUGCCCAACCUUUACUCACAUUCGAGAAAACACUCCCAAUAAGAUUGCUUGCUCAAAAUCGAAGAGGCACCGUCCUCCGAAUCUCGAGAGCCAGACUCCCAACAUGACUACUUUCUUAAAAAAUCGAAGAGAGGGUAAAGGAACAGUACCAUUGCUGGAUAAUUGGAAAGUCCCUGUGUGUCAACCUCUGUGCUUCGUGGCAAGGUAGACUAGCAAACAUGCCCAACCUUUACUCACAUUCGAGAAAACACUCCCAACAAGAUUGCUUGCUCCAAAAUCGAAGAGGCACCGCCUUCCGAAUCUCGAGAGCCAGACUCCCAACAUGAUUACUUUCUCAAAAAUCGAAGAGACACUGCUCCCCGAAUCUCGAGAGCCAGACCCCCAGCAUGAUUGCUUUCUCAAAAAUCGAUGAGGCAUCGUUUCUCCGAAUCAAUCGAAGAGGCGCUCGCUUUCUCAAAAGCUGGGCUGCUCAGAGACCACGAGGGCCGAUCUCAGAAAUCAAAGAGGCACCUACUUUUCUAGCCUUGUCAGCACCUGUCACACGCACACUCAGCUUUGCAGAAAUUAUGGGCAUUCUGUCGAAGACUUCUGGUGAAGUAGAAAGCACAUGAAUCUUACUGUUCAAUCACCCACUUCCCACACGCAACAAUAGCUCAUGGGUACCACAAAAUAACUUUGCCAAAGUUCUCUGCCAAAGUUGAGCACGUGAAGCUUGCAGCUCCCACUACAUCGCUCUGACCAAGAAAGGUAAAAGAAUAGCAAAGAAACAGCACUAACAAAAGUUUAGACACAUAAAUUUUGAAGGUCUAGCUACCAUAUUAUUACCCACAACUGUAAAGGAACAGUACCACUGCUGGGAUAAUUGGAAAGUCCCUGUGUGUCAACCUCUGUGCUUCGUGGCAAGGUAGACUAGCAAACAUGCCCAACCUUUACUCACAUUCGAGAAAACACUCCCAAUAAGAUUGCUUGCUCCAAAAUCGAAGAGGCACCGUCCUCCGAAUCUCGAAUCUCGAGAGCCAGACUCCCAACAUGACUACUUUCUCAAAAUCGAAGAGAGGGUAAAGGAACAGUACCAUUGCUGGAUAAUUGGAAAGUCCCUGUGUGUCAACCUUUGUGCUUCGUGGCAAGGUAGACUAGCAAACAUGCCCAACCUUUACUCACAUUCGAGACAACACUCCCAACAAGAUUGCUUGCUCCAAUCGAAGCCAAAAUCGAAGAGGCACCGUCCUCCGAAUCUCGAGAGCCAGACUCCCAACAUGAUUACUUCCUCAAAAAUCGAAGAGACACUGCUCUCCGAAUCUCGAGAGUCAUACCCCCAUCAUGAUUGCUUUCUCAAAAAUCGAAGAGGCAUCGUUCUCCGUCUCGAUCUCGAAUCUCGAGAGCCAGAUACCACAGACCACUUUUUCAAAGUGCUCUGACAGAGUUAAAACAUGUGAAACAGGCAGCUCCCACUACCGUGCUAUGACCAAGCAGGGUAAAGGAAUAGCAUUACUACUUGUUGUUAGGGAGACUCCUAUAUAUGUCGACCUCCAUCCCCAACGGACAGGCAGACCUGCAAAAAUGCUCAACCCUUCAUCAUAUCUGAGAGGGCACUCCCAACGAAGCCUUUCGAAAUAUUCAGCUUUCUUUCCCCCCGAUAAUACCUCUGCAAACAAGCUAUACUAGAGCAAGAAUAUCUCAUAUCAUCAGGGUUAAAAGCAAGAGUAUCCCAUAUCAUGCUUUUUCCCUGUCUUUUCUUUUGGCCUUGUUUUUACCUGCAAGACAAGGAGAAAGAGAGCAAUCAGUCAGCACUUGGAAUCAAGCUUCCAGCCAGGAACUGACUGCCUGGAACCCCUUACCUGAUUACUUACCUGGCAUUGCUCUCGAGUACUCAUCUUCAACAUCUUAUGUUUCCAGGGAAGAUUCCGCAUCUGCUUGAGGAACAGAUAGGGCAAGUGCGAAGGAUACAAGGAAGCAUGUGGAGACAAGCGUAACAGCACACGUGCCGAUACAUUCAUUACUCUGUCAAAAGCAAAAGUAUCCCAUAUCAGCAGGGUGGAACGUACUCUAGAUUUGAUGGACUUGUUUUGACCCUCAAAUUCUUCAGUCGGCCUUAUACUCUGAAGGAAACCAGAAAACCCUCCAGCUCAGUUCAAGAAUAAGCCUGUGGAAAGUUACUUCUUCAAAAGCAAAAGUAUCUCAUAUCAUCUCUUCUCAUUUUUCUUCUCUUUUAUCCUUCAUGCUGCUGCAAGAUGGGGAGAAGGUGAACAAUCAGUCGGAGCUCUGAUUGCUUACCUUGUCUGUCACCUCUUUCAGCAGACCCCCUAGCUCGGCGACUUGGGGGACUCCUACUACAUGGUUUGUAUCGCGCUUGACCAAGCCUGAAACUACAAGUAAGCUUCAAGUGAAAUUGAUACAUUACCUUGUGCAUCUCCACCAGUUAAAGAUACCACCCCUGGAUGGAGGAAGAGUACUUCCAGAGAAGAUGCCACAUCUACCUAUGAGACAGAUAAGGCAAGUCAAGACGACACACCACACUCCGAUAUACUUAGAAGUUUCGUGAUUACGAGAUCAUUCUCCCACAAUAUUUCCUAAUGUCAUUUGUACUAAAUCAUUCACUUGUACUCACUAAAUGAGAGCUUGAACCUAUGUACUUGUGUAAACCCUUCACAAUUAAUGAGAACUCUUCUAUUCCGUGGACGUAGCCAAUCUGGGUGAACCACGUACAUCUUGUGUUUGCUUUCCUAUCUCUAUCCAUUUAUAUACUUAUCCACACUAAUGACCGGAGCAAUCUAGCGAAGAUCACAAAAAGCGAUCGUUUUCGCUACCUAGGAUCUAUCUUGCAAGAGAACGGAGAAUUAGAUGGAGAUCUCAACCAUAGAAUACGAGCUGGAUGGAAAGAGUGCAUCCGGCGUGUUGUGUGACCGUCGUAGGCCACUGAAGCUCAAGGGAAAAUUUUAUAGGACGGCAAUAAGGCUAGCGAUGUUGUAUGGCACAGAAUGUUGGGUGGGUGAAGCAUCAACACGUACACAAAAUGGGUGUAGCGGAGAUGAGGAUGCUUCGUGGGAUGUGUGGGCACACGAGAAAGGAUAAGAUUGGGAAUGAGGAUAUCCGAGGUAAAGUAGGAGUAGCCGAAAUUGUAGGAAAUAUGAGAGAAAAUCGGCUCCGGUGAUUUUGAACAUGUGCAAAGAAGGCCGACUGACGCUCCGGUUCGAAGAUGUGACUACGGGACAGAGGUUCAGGGCCGAAGGGGUAGAGGAAGACCUAGGACAACUUUGGAAGAGACUCUAAGAAAAGACUUAGAGUACUUGGAUCUAACGGAGGACAUGACACAAAACCGAGCGCAAUGGCGUUCUAGGAUUCAUAUAGCCGACCCCACUUAGUGGGAAAAGGCUUUGUUGUUGUUGUUGUUGUUGUUGUUGCUAUUUUUCAUUCAGACUUGAGUAUAAAAUUUGGUUCUCUUUAAUCUAUUUAUGAAUGAAAGAACUACUUGGUCUAUUUCUAAAGCUUGAUAAAAUAGUUGAGGCCCCUAAUUCUUUUCUUUAAUUUUGAAUGCAUAGGGGUUGUUGUAUAGGAUAUGCUAAUCUUUGAAAAUGCAAUAUGAAAACUAUUAUGUAAUUCUAGGAGAGCUGAGUUAUUCAUGAUACAUAUAUAAGGUUAUGUCUUCUCUAUAUGCAAUUAAAUUCCUUUCCUUUUAUUAAUAUUUUUAAGAAAUAAGAGACUAUUUUGAGAUUGUGUAUUCACAUUAGCUUUGAUUUGUUGACUCUAAUGUUCUUUUCACUCUUUGUUGCAGGCCUUGCUCUCAUCUUUAGUAAUGUUCAAAAUUCAACCUUUGCUUGAAAGUUGGAAGUGGUACCAAAAUUCUGAAAUUAGUAAAGUUCCAUGUCAAAUCAUCAUUGGAAAUUAUUUCAAAAUGCGUUGUAGCCCAACUCAUGUGUACUCAGCAACUUCUAAUUUAUUCAAAUUUGGAGUGUUUAUGUAUUAUGUCUAUUGUAUUUUUAUCUGCAUUCUGGAAGUUAUGUAGAAUCUGCCACAUCCUAUACUCUACUUUUGGAUGUUUCAAUUAUGCCGAAACAAUAAAAAAAGAAAAUAAUCAAAAGUAAAUUUGAUUGCACACGUAUAUCGUGUGUGCCUAUUGCUAGUUGUAUUAAAUAUAUGUAAAUUUUGUAGCUAGUUCUUAUUUUAUGAAAUUUGGCUACAAUCAUCAGUUUAACAAUCUGAACUUUUUAUCUGCUUAGUGAUCUUAACCAUUCAACUCGUACGAAGCCAUAAGAAAACCACUAUAAAGUCUCCAACACUCUAAUCAUAUCAAGCACCAAAUAUAAACACUGAGGGUGCAUUUACUAAUCCGUAAUCAAACUAAGAGGAAUUGAAAUGAGGUGGAAUCAGAAUCAGAUUCAUGUUGAAGUUGUUUACUAAAAUUGUCUGGAAUCGGAGUAGGAAUGAUGUCGAGUCCAUAUAAGUUGUUUACUAAUUCACUUCAAUCGGAAUGAAAACUAGGUUGGUUACUAUAUUGCCCUUACAUAAAUAAAUUAUUUUGAUACUAAUUAAUUAAAUUAAAUUCUUAAUUAAAUUUAUAUAAUAAAAUUCAUCUAUAUAAACAUUUAUAAAUAGAUUUUAUUUAUUUAUUAAAAGAUGGCAUGAAUAAUGUUGAGUUCAUAUAAGUUGUUUACUAAUUCAUUUCAAUCGAAAUGAAAACUAGGUUGAUUACUAAAUUGCCCCUACAUAAAUAAAUUAUUUUGACACUAAUUAAUUUAAUUAAAUUUAUAUAAUAAAAUUAUCUAUAUAAAAAUAUAUAAAUAUGUUUUAUUUAUUUAUUAAAAGAUGGCAUAAUGAGUGUCAAAUGAAGGGCAAUGUUAGGAUAAUAAAAAACAAGUGAGGGCAUAAUAGAAAUAAAAGAUGCAUUCCCGAUUCCCCUACCCUUAGGGAAUUCAAAUACCUCACAAAAUUAAGGAAUCUCGUUCCUCCAAUUUCAGGAAUUGGAUUCCUUGUUUCGUGUAGGCUCCACCAUUUUUUUUAUUCCUUAAUAUUUAGUAAACACCAGAAUACUCCGUAAUCGGAAUUCAAUUAUGUUUCUUUAUUCCGUUUACCCUUACGUAAACAUGCCAUGAAAUUACUGGGAAUUAAAAAUAUUCUCAUUCAUUACAACAAGUAAAGUAAAGAAGGAUUAAUUAAUGGUAGCUCACUUGAAGAAAAAAAAUUUCUCUAAUGCUCCCCAUAGUAACGUAGAAACUGUAACCAGAGACCACUCACUCUUCAGAACGUAGAAAGUAGAAACUAGCCGAGCUGAUGCGCGUAAUGUUUUUCACUGUAAUCAUAAUCCGAGAUUUCGCUUAAAAUCUUCACUCUGGGACCUCCCCAUCUCACUAAAUUCUCAAAUUUACAUCUGGGUUUUCUUGUUUCUCUGGAUUCUGACUCAUUCAUUGCAAAUUUUUUUAAUGUUCAAGCACAAUGCGUCUCAUUCCUUCACUGACACCCACUGAUUUCUUCUGAUACAGCAUCUGGGUUUUUCUUAAGCUUCAGCUCCAACCAUUUCCCGGAAAUAAUUUUCUUCUUCUGGGUUUUUUGGCAUUUCAUCAAACAGUUGGAGUGCAACUGGGUCGCAAGUUACAUACCAACAUGAGUACUCCAUUGCCUACUCGCCAAUUUUUUGCUCAAUAUCUUGAAUCCGGUGACAACGGGCGUCAGAUAAAACAUCAAAUUCCUACUGAGGAGAAAGAAAUCGAAGCUCAAUCUGACAUCAAGGCCCAAGCCUUCAAGAAACCCAGAACUUCUGAAGCCGUAUCGAACUUGAAUGCGGCCUCGGGGCAGAACAAAAUGUUGCCUAGCUAUUACAAGACCCAACUGUGCCGUAAAUUCCAAAUGCGUUGUUGCUCUUCUGGGCAGAGAUGUUCCUUUGCUCAUGGCAUCAGUGAUCUCCGCAGGACUUUGCGUGAUGCGCAAGGAAUGGAAACUGAGAAGGGAAACUUGGCCAGGAGGACUUGGAAUGGUGAUCAUGGAAGUUCUAAUGGAGUGAGAAUAUGCAGGUCGUUCUUUAGAUGGGGAACAUGCAGUUACGGAGACAAAUGCCGCUUUCGUCAUGUCAAUCCUGAAAAUAUCAGAGAUAGUUCGUUCAUAAGCAUUUCAACUGCUGGUGGUUCUGCUCAAUUUGACUGCAAGAAGUCUCUGGGUAUGGAUUUUGACACUACUUAGUUUAAUAUGUUCAAAUGAUGAAUUUUUCGGGUCCAAUGUAAAUUACAAUUUUCGAUAGGAUACCUGUAUUGCAUAGCUUUGCUAAUUUUUCCUUUUGCGUGUACACGUGUGUUGAUCGUAUGAACGGUUUAGAUGGUCUACUCUUUGUUAGAGUAUCGGUUGAUUUCUCAUGUGCUCUAGAUUCGUUUAACUUGCACUACAAGAAAAGUUGUCAUAAGUAAAACCCAAUUGGUUCCGUAUCAGAAAAUUAAGAAACCACACUCGACCUUAUGAGCUUUUUCCGUUAAGAAGGUAUUGAAUCAUGCCAAUAGGUUGGACUGCUGAAGGACUUGAACAUUAGAAGAGGCACCCGGGACAUUCAUCUAAUGAACUAGGUAUUUAUAUUGCAUAAUGCUGAAUCACUGAUUGCAAUUUCCUCAGUUGUUAUUUCGAAAGGGGCCAGUCUUCUCCAAGUAUGAAAGAAAGCAAAAAAGACCAGACCUUUUCCAAUUUGAUUAAUUCAAAUUGAUAUUCGAUGCAUAUAAUUUCAUAGUGGCAUCAGACUUUCAUUUUCGUCUUGCUGCAGAUUUGGUAUAUAGGUUUAUUCUGAGAUUGUUUCUUUCUGUCUGGUUGUCUUGGCUUGUAAUUAAAGUGGGCCAACUUUUUCAUAUGCUUUUAUAAAAGUUGUGCAUUAGUCGUUCAUACAAUUUAACCACCAUCUUUUUCUAUUUAGUUUUACCUGGCAUUUCAAAUUGUGGCACAAAUUCAUCUGUAGCCAUCUCCAAUGAUAAACGAGAGAAGUUGAUGACCCUGUAGAACCGAUCUUGAUUCAAGAAUUGCUCACUAUUGACUGAUGUGCAAUGAUUUUAAAAGAACAAAUUUUGAGAUGCAUUGUUGUUAAUUUUGCAGAACUAAGGAAGCUUUGUGGCUAUACGACACUGGAAAGUGGAAGUGUCCAGGCUAACAGUUUAACUACUUAUACGAGGGGCAACAAUGCAUCAAAUCGUAGGAUGGGGGUUGCAACUGCUUAUAAACAAGGGCAGAGUACGCAUUGCAACUUAGAGUGGAACGAACUUGAGAAAAUGAGUCGCAUCUAUGCUGAUUGGAUUGAAGAUAUGCCUCUUCUACAUGGCCCACCAAGCAAAGUGGAGUUCUAGUCGAGUUUACUAUGACGUGUAAGGGAAUAGAUUACUUCUCUAUCCAUAGUAGAUAUAAGAAGCUUCUUGUAAUUUCCCCUAACACCUUCCUUUUGUUAUAUGAGUGUGGGAUUGACUUUGAGUGCGACCUGUAGUCUAGUAAACAGGAGAUGCUUCAUACCCAAGACCCUACAAAGCCAGAUUUUAAAUAUCUUGAUUUUCCGUAUCUCUCUUGUCUAGGGAUUUUAGCCGUUAUCUUUUGAAUUUUAUGCACGUUGUUAUUGUAAAGACAUAUUUUCAGUUUACAAGAUAUGGUGCGGCACUGUCACAUGAAUGUUUGGCUAGUGUGAACUAAGUCAAAAUCUUAUGUUCAAGUGCAGAUAACCUCAGAAAAUUCUCCUUUGCCUAUUUGAGUUCUUGAUUCUCACACGUGUGCGUCUGUUUGCGUGCAUGAAUUUGCAGUCUUCUUGCAAACUAAAACUAUAGUGGCACGACAAGGACUUAAACCCCUGUCGUGUUUGGGGCCAGGACGGCCUCAAGCCACCAGGAUAGCCCCUUCUGGAUACCUUUGGUUUCAGAUUUAGUACAAUAGGUCUUAAUCUUCACAUGCAGAAACAGUAAAAGAAAUAGACUUACUCUAACAUUUGAUGAACAUCAGAAUAUACAACGGUAGGCCAGUGGCCAUGCUAUUGGUAAUAGGUAUUCCAUGUUCGUCUCUUUGGAACUGGCGCUGGUAAAGCUCCAGACGAAUUUCUGUCUUUACUCUUUUGAUGAACUGCACUCGAACUCUACACCUCUAGGACGGAAAGAAUCACUCAAACGUUGUAGAUAUAUCAUCUCUGAAGAAUAUGAAACAUGUUCAUAUCCUUCACAUUCUGGAAUAUCCUAAUUUGGACGAAUUUGCAAUUUAUUGUGCAGAACUAGCACGUAAGGUUCCUCAGAUGUCAAUGAUGACAAUUCAUGUGUGCUUCCUUGGCCUUCAGUUUGUACAAGAUGCCAAAAUCUUCGGAGAAGAAUGUCCAGCGCUGAAGAAGCUGCCACUUAAAAGAGGACUGAAGCAUUCUACGACACUUGGCCGACAAUGGUGACCGGAGAGUCUGCUGUGAAUUGUAUAAUAGUAGAAUGCAUGAUUUUCUUAGAACCCAAUGUGAGGUUCAACAAUAACAAUAUACAGGAGCGUAGAGUGAAUGAAAAGAAUCACAUAACAUGGAAUUUCGAGGUUUUGAAUAUCCAAACAACAGCACAAUAUUGAAUAUAUUAUGGUAUGCACCUGUAUACAAGCAGAAUCAUCCUCCUUGUUCUUACGUAAGGCCCUCUCGCUGCCUCACUUAGUUGUCGUAUGUUGGAAGCAGGGAAGAAAAACUUUUCAAGCAUCUUCGUCCUCCCACUCUAAGAAAGACCACCAUGCCUCAUGUCCUCUGAUUACAAUAUUGCUCCCCUCAGCACUUGUGGAGUUGAGUGGAAGCUUUCUCAGCGUUGGAGAUGCAGUUACCUUGAUUUCUUUCAGGUACGGAAAGGGCAGGGGACUAUCAUGUAUGCUACUCAGCCGUGGAAGCAAACUCAAAAUCAGAACGGUAAGUUUUCCAAAAGGGUUAAGUUCUUGUACCACAUUUCCAACUCCACCCAUCUUUCCAGAUUGAUUAUUUUCUCAAUAUCACAGCAGGCUUCUACACGUAAAUGGCAGAGAUUCGGGGCAAAAAUGAGCCAAGUCAAGUCCGUUAGAUUUGGGCAUUGUGAUACUUCUAUACACUGAAGGCAAAGGAAGCAAUUUUGUUUUAUCAUCAUUAAAUCCCGGGGAUCAUUGGGUGCUCGUCCUGCCCAAUAAACUUCCAAUUGUUGAAUUGUGGCCAAGUGGCCAAGUGGACAACAAAAUAAAACAACUUUCGACUAAUAAACAAACCAUAAUAAAAAAAGGUGAAAGACAUCAUGAUGAGGAGGCAUCAUGAUUAUGUUUGUUGAAAAGAAAAAUUGAUGGUCAUGAUGAUGUUUUUGAGUUUUUUAUUGGGUGCUUUUGUAUUGAUGAAGUGAGGAUACGGAAGUGAGAAUGAUAGAGGAAGUGUGCACCAUUUUUCUGUUUUAGUAGCCCAUCUUUGAGAGAGCAGAGCUGCAGAGAGCAGAAAAGAAGAAGAAGGUGCUCUUCUUUUUGGUUAGCAAUCAUCCAUCAUAAUUAUUGUUGUAAUAGCUUUGAGCUACAUGUAUAGAGAAGAAAUUAUUCAUUAUAUUUCUUUCUCUAUUUGUUUAUGUGGUGUGUGAGAGCUAUUGGGUGUAUUGGGUUAUUUGGGUUGUGAGAUUGCCAACACUUUGUAAACUCCCAUUUGGUUGAUAGUGGAUUAUUAGGUGAGCUCCUACUGCUCCGAGGACGUACUCCAGUUACACUGACUGUUGAGGAACCUCGUUAAAUCUUGGUGUCUUUAAUAUUUUGUUCUUGCAUUUUCAUUUGAUAUAUUUCUUGUGGGUUAGCUUGAGUUGGUUCCAAAAAGGUUUGGUGCUAUCCUAGCACAACACCAAUUGUUUCCAAUUACGAGUAUCCCGAAUAUAAAGGGUAUCAAGAUGUUUCAUAUCCACCAAAGAUGAUAUGUCUAGAAAGCUUGCUUGGUUCUCGCCAUCUGAGAGCUGUAGAGUCCGAAUACGGGUCACCAAUUUGUGGUAGCUGAACAAUUUUUUGAAACAAGAGCUACUUCGUACACUUAACGUCAAGACUUCAAGGUAUUCCAAACCCUGAAUUUCCUCUAUCAGGGCACCCUCACCAUAAAAAAGAAUUCUAUCUGAAGAACCGCAUGCUAAAGUUCUCAAAACUUUUAGCACUGGAAAACUUGAUAUUAGAUUCUGUGGAACAAAAUCAAGCUCAUCCAUAUGCUCCAAGUCCAAAUACUUUAGCCUUACACAUUCCUUUAACUGAAUUGGCAACUUUCUUAAACCAGUUCUUGACAAAUUGAGAUGUUGUAAUGAAAUCAGGUUGGAAACGCCAGAUGGCAAUUUGGUUAUGUUCAGAUUUUGAGACAAAUCCAAAACUCGUAGAGUAGGCAUAUGAUCGAAAAAACCAUCAACAAUCAUAUUCAAAGGACCUCCUCCACCUCUAAGUAAUAGGGUCAACAGAUUUGGAGAUUUUGGUGUUUCAACCAGACUUUUAAAAUCACUACCAACCAAUGAUACCCUUUUUGUGUUCUUCCAUUUCUCCACAUUUGGCGUUCCCGGGAGACCUGUGUGCACGAGGAUACUCUCGUUUUUUUUCCCAGAGUCACAAGCUAACCACAAUGCCAUGUCACGAAUUACGUCAUGCAUUUUUACAAAAUUUCCUUCCUCUUCCAACAAACAUGCAGAAAGGAGAGUUCCUAUGAUAUGGUAAGUCUCAUUUUUUGUUUCAUCUACGUUAACAUACUCUUCAAACAUCUCCUCACACAUCCAAAAAUAUAGUAAAUCAUCUUUACUUAUCAGGAAAUCUUCGGGAAAUAGAGCACAAUAUAAGAAGCAUGAUUUGACUUUCUCACUUGGUAGAUUAUCGUAACUAAAUUUUAAGAGAGGAAAUACCUUGUCUCCCAUAAUGGAAAACUCUGAGGCAGAUUCCUUUAGAACACGAAUUGCAUGCUUCCAUUCGUGGGGUGUUUUCUUGCACGUCAUGGCUCGACCAACUGUAAUUAUUGCAAGUGGCAAACCGUCACACUCAUUUGCCACUACUUGCGCAAGUUUGGGGAUAUCUGGAUGACUUUGAAGAGUUUCUUUGCCCACCUUCUCCUGAAACAAGGUCCAUGCUUGGUUCGUCAUUAGACAAGUGACUUUCAUCUUUAUUUGAGCAUCCAUACAACUACAUAUAUGCUCCAAGCGAGUUGUGAAUAUUAUCUUCGACUUCUUAUUGUUAGCUGGACCAGGAAUCACUGGAUUAGGAAUCGCUGGAUUAGGAAUCCCAACUUUAAUCAUUUCAAUCGACUCCCAUAUAUCAUCCAACAAUAGCACAAAUUUCUUCUCACUCAAGAAGUUGAAGAUGUGUUGAGCUUUUUCAUGCGGCUCUUUGUGCUUCCAUUUGUCAUUAAGAAUCCCAAGCUUUUCACCAAUCUUAUCUUGGAGGAUUCCAAGUGUGUGGUCUUUUGAGACCACGAUCCAAAUCACAGGAUCAAAAUGGUAAGUAUUAAAGGCGAAGUUGUUAUGGAUUUUGGUAAGGAGGGUGGUCUUACCCACCCCUCCCAUUCCAUAUAACCCGAUUGUUCCCACCUGUUCAUCUUCAACAUGUCUCCAGACCUCAUCAAACAUCGACUCCAUCCCCACUGUUUGUUCAGUAGGCAUUUCAUAGACUACCCCUACCCGCUGUAAGCUUUCUGUUGCCACCUCUUCAAAGCUUCCCUUGCUUUUCAAGGCAUCCACUUCCACCAACAAUUUAAACACUUUUUUUCCGUACUUGUAGCUGGGAAAGUAGUUCUUGGAGCAGUAAACUCCGCCACAUGAUUUCUGAAUUUCUCGAUCUGCACAACUUUGAACUUCUCUGACUCGUGUCUCAAUAGUUUCCGCCUUUUUAAUCCACAGUUGUACCUGGUGCAAGCGCAUCAUGGAUGUCUGAAGCUCGGCAACCUCAACCCUUCUCACGAGAUCAUUCUUUAAAGCGGUCAGUUCUUGCAAAGAUCGAUCCAGAGCUUCAAGGUUUUCUCCGAGCUUGCUGAUGUAGUU
rnacentral:lncRNA from 1 species